rnacentral:lncRNA from 1 species
UUUUAUCAAAACAUUCUAAGCAGAAUCAAGCAGAAAGUCCAGAUCUUAUAUCUUUCCUGCAGGCAUGGAAAUCAAACUGGAAUGAGACCUUCCUUCUGAUUCUGAGAUGCCGAGAACCUGGUCUUCUUGUUCACGCCUCAGCUGCUAAAGAAAGAAAGAGAUCUUCUUCAUUUACUCUAUGGAAACCAUUGAGAGUUCGGUUCUAGCCAAUCCUAAUCCAAUCCCAUCCAGUUGGAGUCCUUCUAAUCAUCUAGAGUGCCUGUUGAAAUUGGAGCUGCAGUUACAGCAGUUGGACUUUAUACCCUUCGCCCUGAUUGAGUAGGCAUUCCCGUAGCAGAGGGCAAUAUGUCUAGUAGCAGCGAGUAUUUACUUGAGUCAGCCUAUAUAGUAUAGUCUUUAUCUCCAGAACUAGGAAAAAACCUUAGAGUGUAAGUGCACGAGGAGACAGGCGAGCCGGUGGUAGAAAGCUUCCAUGUCGUAGGAUAGGCCAUAAUAGUUGCCAGUAUCCCUUCCAGGCAUUUAUCAAGUGCUUCUCUUUCAGGCUUCCACAGUAGUAUAUCUAUAUCUUGGGGGGCUAUAUAAGUACAUUUAUUUCCUGCCUCUCUCCCGGGCGAGGGCUUCUAUGUUCUGGUUCACCACCCCAUAUUGACUAAGCUCCUGUAAGAGUUCCGAUAUCCAGGCAAUCUUAAUAUAAGUCGUCCCCUUUAGUGUAAUCUCUCUAGUGCCAGUACCCUUUACAUUAGAGUUAGGUCAGCUCCUUUACCAGCGAGCCCUCCCUUUCUUCCUUCAAAUUAUCCCAGUGGACUGACUCACAGGUUAUAGGGCGGGAGUCAGAAUUAGGGAAUACUUAUAGAUCCUCCGCCUAUCAGCGAAAUGAGCCCACAUCCCCACUCCCCUUUCCCACCCAUCGCUGGGGGCCUCAUCCUUCCCGAAAAAGAACAAGAUUACAUCCGAUUUAGACUCGAACCAUCCUCUAUCAUACUUUAAACUCAAUGAGCCUCUGCCCGUCUACUUACCCUUUCUUCGCGUCAUGAUCAGCCUCAAAAUGAAAGAAAUACAACUACCCGUUAGUUGUCCCGCCCUCUUACCCUUUCUUCGCAUUAUGAUUAGCCUCAAAAUGACCACUUCAUUUCUAUAAAACAUAGUCAAGAAUUUAUAAAAGGCCGAAUGGUUCCCAAUUUUAAUGAAAUUCUCGUUUAGACUAACAGGAUCACAAAAAGAGAAAUCCUCCAAAAUCGAUUGCACGCUAAGCCCGACGCUUUCUUCCACUUGUGAGCUCUUCAUUAUGUCUUGAGAAUACAACUUAUGUUCAACACAUUUAUCAACUCGCAUGAAAACAUAUAGAAUCAAUACUAUGUAUAAAUAUUUCAACCUUAGACUACCCAUUUUAUUUCACUCUUUCCUUCAUUAUAGUUGAUUUUAAUGGUACCGCCUGAGAAAGGGAUAGGAUCCCCACCCCUAACAGCAUGUUCAAUGUCAGGCGAAGUAAAAUUGCAUUCUUUGAAAAUAUCGUUCAAAGCAGCAUAAAGUUCUAUAUUAUUAACUUUAUUAAAAAUGGGAAUAAAUAUCUCAUUUAGAAAGCGUGCAUAUUUAAGUUUAGGCAAUCGUUCUUCAAUAGUUUGAUCAAUAUCGUCCAUAAUUAUAUCAAAUAGAAUUUCAGAUAUGAAAGGAAUAUAAGGAAUGCCAGCUAUGCGUUCAGCUAUAGCACGGGACUAAACUAUUGAAGAACGGGCAGUAAAUUAGCGAAAGGGAAUAGAGAUACUCCAUGAAAUACAGCAAUACACCAACUCUUUGUUGAACGCUAAAGAUACGGCAGAAGGUGCACCAAUAUACAAGGGUUCAAUAUUGACUUAUAUUCCUAUAUAUAAGUCAGGUUAUAGAGUUGAGAUGGGAUAAGUAGAGGAGUAAUGAAGGGGAUAUUCGACAAAGGCUCUCAGUCCACCUGCUAAUCCAGUAUACCCUGUAAUCUCAGGUGCUAUAGAUUUGAAUUCCAAUUCCCUCUUUUCAGGCCCUGAGGAUAGUAUGCGAACAAGCUCAGCCUUUUGCCCUAGAUCUAGAGUUGAAGGGCAAUCACUACUAUCUAAAAAAAGAUGAUCUUAGUAGUAACUAGGGAUAAAGAAAGGAUAGAGUAAGCGUGCAAGAGCUAGAUAAUCCCGGGUUAGAGUGCAAGCUUUUAUAGUACACGACUGUCAUUAUAUAAGUCCCAAGUUUAAGCUAAUCAGUCGUAAGGUUAUGUAGUCAGCCUAUAGCCCUGACUUUAAUUUAAGCAUCAAAAGAUGAUCUUUUAAGUCACUAGGGAUAGUCUUUCUCUGUACCCAGAUGCUAGAGUAGGAGAGGUGUAAGCUAACCUUCUCCAACCGUUCGUGGAAAUGCGUCAUCAUAUCAGCCAGAAGGAGACUAUAGCUGAACGCAUUGAUUCAGAAUAUCUGUAGUAGUAACUUAUAUGGUAGGCCUUUACCCAUAUAAGUUGAUUACUAUAGCGUGACUUAACCCGUGAUGUUCUUCUCAUAAUAUCAGCCAAACCUAUGCGUCUCUCCGGUGACCCCAUGAAUUUAUCUUUACCUUUUCCGACAAGAUCUAUUCUUCGAAUCGAAGGAACUCUAUUUAGAAGUACCAUGGGAUAAGAUACCUUAUUAGCGAACCGCGAAACUUUAUACCCUAAAAAAUUAUUACUACUGCUCAUCACCCCUUGUAUAUUGUCUUUUCUCCAUGGUUUUCAAAUAAUCGGUAAAACUGGCGCUCUGAUGAUACGUCUACUACUACUACUACUACUAGCAUUAACUUGAUUGUUAGAACCCUCUCUUUUCUUAUAAGACACAGUAAGAUGUUUGAUUUGCGCAAUUAGACUUUUCAUGUUUUUUGUUAGUUUUUCCAGUUGGUUCGUCCCGCCGUUCCGGCUUCCGGCUUCCUGCUUGCAGCUUCCAGCUUCCGUAUUUAUUAUAUUUUAAUGAUAAACCCCACACCUUCUGCCUUACCUUGGAUCUACUGUGAUGGUUAUAGUUUGAUCUCCCCUCUCUAACUCUGUUGAGUUGGUCUAAGCCUCUACUCUUUGCGUUUUGAUUUAUGUUUCGAGUGUUCUCAUACUGUAGAGAGGGACGAGCAUUCAGGUAUCACUUUUUAAAGGUGUGUUUCCCGACGUUCCUAAGGAAAAAAUAGGAUAUUGUGAUUCCUCUUUUUUCCCUAAAGAUCAACAAAAAGCGUUGGGUAAUUUCGUCGAGUCAAUUUUUCUCUCAUAAGUGAUAUAACAAGCAAGGGGAUCAUGGUGUAUGACAAGACGGUGGUUCACAAAAAGGGACAGUGAUGCGCACAAGGAAAUUGUAGAUCAUACAAAGAUAAAAUAUUGACUUUAUGGAAUUUGAUUCAAAGUGGAGAUUGUUUAGUGUCUCGAGUUCCUAAGUGGAUUAUGCUCUUUUUUGUAGAUGGAAUAUUAUACAACAUAAUCCUUAGUUUAUAUGUGAUUAUAAUUAGAUUCCUUAUAGAAUAAGAAAAACUAGUAAAAAUAUCUUUAUAAAUAUUCUAUGUCAUGAGAGGAAAAAGUCACGGGAGAGAGAUAGGUUUGUGAGGAUCACACGUAGUGGAUAAAGAUGUGAGAAAUGACAAAAGACACCUCAUGGAGGAAAAUGGUUCACCAGGUGUGGAUGUGAGGAAGAGGAAGAGUAAGAAACACUUGGUGGAUCAAAAUGACUAGUCAGGAUGGAGAUACAAAUAAUUGGGAAAAACGGAAUGUUUUGGAACCUAAUAGUUGUAUCUACUUAUGUUGUUUGUAAUAUCUCUAUCGUAUAAUGAAAUAUUCUCUUUCAUUUAUGAAAGUAGGUAUAAUUGGUUUAACUUUAUUGAAAUUUUGUGUAUCCUUUUAUGUAAUUGAUAUUUUUAUGUUUUUUCAUUAAUAUGUUUAAAUUGACGCUUCUAUUGGCACAACAAUAAGAUAAUACCAUAUCUCUUUUGUAUUUUUUGUCGUAAGAUAUCUAAUAGGAAUAAUGUUUUUAAUGAAAAAUAAAUGAAAAUAUUAAUCAGAUAAUAUUUUUGGGUUUUAAAAAUAUGGAGAAAACAUCAGUUUUUUCGAUUGUAAAAAAAGUUUAUUAAAAAAGAUAUUUUUAAAAAGUUAGUUUAAUAAAGACGACACUUUUAAACUUUUUUUGAAAAACAUAAUAUUUUUAAUUGAAAAUAGAAAGAAUUAUCUUCAUUAGUUUUUAUACUGAGUUGCACCAGUUAAGUAAGCCUCUUAUUUCCCACAUGCCUACAAGAAAGAAAAAAAAAAAAGGUAGUUUUGAGUAAAAAUAAUAUAUUAAAAAAAAAUCCAUGUAAUACAUCUUCAACAAAAAUAAUUUUCAAAUUAGUACAUCAUAUGGACAUCCACAUAACAUAAGAUGUUAUUUUUUUUAAUACCUUUUUUCUAUCACAAAAUCAUUAUUAAAUAACUAUAAUUUUUAAAUUAUAGUUAUUAACUAUAAUUUUAUGACAUAAUAUAAUAAGUGGUUUGAGAAUUAUUUUGGAAAAAGAUUUACUUAGUAGAAUAUUUUUUAACUAAAUUCUCUGGCUAACACAAGGUACGCUUUAGCCGCCCUAACAUGUGUCAAAAGCCUACAAGCUCCUGUGGCUUAAGUUAAUAAUAAUUAAUAAUAAAUUUUUAUUAAAUUUAAUAACAAUUAAAAUUAAUUUUUUAACAUGUGAAUCAAAAUUUUCAUUAGGUACAUAUAUUUAAUACUUAAUUAUGCACAUAAUAUUUUAGAAUACUUUGAUUUAAUAUGCAAUUUCAUUAAUUAAAUCUAUUGUUUGAAUUUUAAAUUAUUUUUAAAAAUCAUUAAACUCAUUAAUAAUUUAAAUAUAAAGUAUCACAUGGUUUGAAGCUCAUUUAUUUAGUGAGAAAAUUUAUAAAAAUAUAAUUACGCAAUCAAAAGUCAUAAUAAAAUGGUUAUGGACAAAUUUUUAUCCAUAAAUUUUUUGUAUAAAUUGCUAAACUUGUAAAUGAAUUAAAUAUAUUAAGUUUUAUUUAAUUUAAAAUUUAUUCGUAUGGUGAAAAAAAUGGUUCUAAUAUAAUAAAGCCAUUUUAAAUUUAUGGUAUUAAUUGGAUUACUAUUUUAAUUUUAAAUUAUUUUUAAAAAUUAUUAAACUCUUUAAUAAAUCAAAUGUAUCAAGUAUAAUUUGAUUUGGAAUUUAUCUAAAUAUUAAAAAAUUUAUAAAAAUAUAAUUAUACUUAAAGAAAAAAACUAAGUCAUCCAAAAUGAAUUUUAAUCUAUAAUUUUCUAAUAUAAUCGAAUUUCAUGGUAUUUUUAUUAUUAAUUAAAUUAGUUUUGAAGUUUCAAAUUAUUUUUGUAAAUUAAUAAAUUAUAUAUAGAGUAUAAUUUGAUUUAAAAUUUAUUUAUUUAAUAAUUUUUUUUAUAUAAAAAUUAAAGGUAAUUCAAGAAAAUAUAUGUAAAGAAGAAAAACCUAUUUAAAAAUUUUUAUGAAAAUAAAAAGAGGGAUAAUAUCAUAUUAAUUAUAUUUGCUUUUUAUAAUUUUUGUUUUAAUUUUUUAUAUUUUCUUUUUAUUCAUAACAACCUAUUAAAACAUUGGUGAAAACAAUUCUCCUUGAUGCUGGUCUUCGAAUUCAUUCGAGGAGAGGGAAGAAAAUUUAUCUUCUCACAAUGGUAAACCGAAAAAAGGAGAAAAAAAAUAAUACCAACAUUAACAAUAAUAAGAAUUUGGAAGGAAAAAAAGGAAAGAAAGAAAGAAAGAAAGAGAGUGAAAUACAACGACUUGUUCAUGUUGGUAGAAUCCAAGGAGCAUUGACGUCUGGCAAAGGAGAAGUAUCCACAGGCGGCGUCCGGUGAAUGAUAUUCCUUUGGCGGUGGUAGGCUGUCCGCUGUAAGUGUGAGAUGGCGUUGGAGGCUGAUGAAAUGGAUUCUCUGUUUGAGGGGAUGAUCCUGUUUAACCCUUCUCAAACCCUUGCAGACCAAGACGGCGUCGAUGGUAACUGUGAUCCAAUCCCUCUAACUGAUGCGUCUGCAUCAUUAUCAUCGUCCUCAUCUCAGCCCCUUGACGAAAACCUCUUCUCAGAUCUCACGCUUAUCACUCCCAAUCAAUUCCGAAAUCCACUCUUGGAUCCCUCUCCAACUCCUAUCUCAACGUCAACAACCAGGGAAGAAACCCCCUCGGUCUCCCGACAGAUUUCCAGAAAGAAAAAGAGAGCCAGUUUAAGGAUCGGAUACGGUAGAGACAGCCUCAACCAGCUCUCCCUUGUUGACGAUGCAGAAGUACAAUCCUCUCCAUCCGAUGAUUCUCAUUCCCAAACCAAAUCCUUUUCUUUGCUUCCCGAUGAGACGCUGGAUUCUCAUCCAUCACCACCAACAACAUCUCAAGCUAUCUUAGUUCGUGAGGAUCAUGAUUUGGUCUUAGAUGAUGUGCAAUUCAAGCCUUUCCCACAACAGAACGAACAGGAACAAAUACAACUAGAGGAAGAAAAGACUACCUGUUCCACUUCCACUGAAGCCAACUUUGAUCGAGUCAGGGCCAUCAUUUCUGAGAAGCUCCACCAUGCUCGGCAAUUGGCUGCUUCAAUUUCUGCAUCAAGGAAGGAUUCCAUGAGGAGGAGACGAAAAGCCGCUCAGAAUCUAAAUCUAGCAUCCACAAAGUCCAUGGAACUUGAGAAGGAGCUUGAGGAAGCAUGCGAGGCUGAAGAUUUUGAGAUGGCAGAGAGGCUGAGCCAGAGCCUUGCUGGAGCAGAGAAGGACAAACAAGCUUUUAUUGCCGCCCUGAGGGAUGCAGAAGCCGAGUGUGAUGCUAUAGAUUCAAAGAUGCAGGAGGUUCUAGAGCGGCAGAUUACAGCUGAGGAAGAAUGCGUUUCUUUGCUGGAACAAUUCGCAACGGUGAGCGUGAUGAUUCAUCCUUGUUUUGGUUGUAUAUGACUCGUCAUUUAAUUUAGCUAAAUGCGGAACAUCAUUCUCAAAUCUGAAAAUUCCAAACUUUAUACUGAACUUUGUCAAAAGAAUCUCUAUUAAAAAGCAGAAAAGUAAAAGUUGCACUACUGAGAAUUUUGAUUGGACAAAAAAAAACAAAGAUAGGGAAAGAAUAGGGAUUGCAAUUGGAAAGUUGGAUGGUUUAAUCCUAAUCUGGAUAAAUUCAUACCAAUAAAAAAUGGACUCUUUGAAAUAUGAUGAACUUGGAUUAUUUUAGAACAGACAGUCAAUUAGGUCCAUAAUUUGAAGGUAACUUAUUUCAAAAUGUGACCCAAUAGUGUAUCAACAACUAAGAUGAUAGCCGGCUCAGGAAUAAUGGAUGUUUUUCAGAUGCUUUCUUGCUUGUAAGAUAGUUUCAUAUACAGUUGCGAUUCUCAUUCAAGAUGUUGAUUUAAUCAGAAGCAAAUUUCCUGACAUUCGAAUUCCCUCUUCCCAGGAUGCUGCUAACAAUGCAAAUGAAAUCUCCAAGAGGGCACAGUUCCUGUCUUCAAAAGAAAUGGACCAAUGGUUUUCAUCAACUGAAGCCUUGGAAGUCAGGAAGUUGGAAUUAGAAAUUGAAUCGCAUUUAAUAAGUGACACACGCUUGUUAUUGAAUGAUUCCAUUGAGCAUGCAGCUGAAGAUGAAAGGAGAGAGAGAGAAUUUCUUUGCAAGAGAAAAGAUACGCUGAUGGAUGAGCUGGAGAAAUUGCUUGCUUUGGUGAGAGAGAAGGAAGAUGAGAUUGCAGAAAAUGAUGCUAACAUCAAAGCUGUUGAUAAAAGAAUAGCUGAUGUUGUCUCUGGAUUUCAAGAGAUGCAUUUAAGCAUCAAUAUGAAAUAUGAUAAUUUGCAAUCAAGCCUAUCUCAGACGGAAUUGGAGAGUGAAGCUUUAUCAAUGAAGAAAAAGGAAAUUGAUGACUUGCUUUCUGAGGAAGAAGAAAGGGGAGCAAAACUUAGGGAACUUGCUAGGAUUUCUGCAGAUGAAGCAAAAGCAUAUGAAGAAGUUGUUGGUCUAAGAAAGAGUUUUGCAUUGUCCAUUGUGAAGUCCAGGGAAGAUAAACUGAGGCUUGCGAAGACUGAAGAAAAACUCUCUGAGGAAGUGCAAAUUCUCAGACAGGAGGUUUCUGCCGCUAGAGCUUCUCUUCAGGUUAGUAUCUCUUCUUGAUCCUGUUGUGUGGUUUCUUCCAUUUGUUCCAACCACUUAGCUUUCAAAAAUGUCUACUUGUUGCGCAAGACUGGAUAUUGUUUAACCUAUAAGAAACUUGUUUUCUUUUCUUGAAACCAAAAAAAGGGGGGGGGGGCAGGUUUGUUUGGGUGGGAGAGAGGGGGAGAGGGAAGUAGUUUUUUUAAUAGAAAAACCUUCAGAGUUUGGCCUUCUAGGUGUUUCUAUUAAAAGAUAAAAUAAUGUAGUCACCCAUAGAUGAUGCAAAGACACAAAAAUUAUCAUCAUUUAUUAUAUUAUUUUUGUUUUAUAAUAAUUAACCUUGUUCAUUGGCUUUAGAGAAUCUUAAAUAUCCAACAAGACCUUGCAUUGAUCUAUUAGGAUUCUUAAGUUCUUUCCUAAGAACUCCUAAACCUGUCAAAAAAAAAAAAACAAAAACAAAAAACAAACAACAGAAAGAAAAAACUCCUAAACCUUUCAAAUUGUAGAAGUGAAGUAUAAAUAAGACAAUUUUCCACUAACAAGACUUGCCAAAUUCUAAAUAAGAAUUUUAAAAUUAUAAAUAAGAUUAAAGUGUGUUAUAUCAACCAAAUUUUAAAUUAGACUUAAUUAACCAACAACUACAAACCAGGAAUCAACUUAGGAUUUGUUUUUCGGUUUUUUCAUUUUCGUGACUAAACCUGAAGAGUCGCAUCCUCAUCAACUCAUUCCAACUUGUCAAAAACUUGACCUCAAAUUGAGACAACUUUCCAAGGUCUAGUGAAAUUCUAAGUCAUUUUUUUUUUUUAAAUUCAUUACCCCAUAAAAAUGAAUUUGUCAUACUUAAUAUAGAACUCUUCAUUAAUUUUGUCUUGGAACAAACCUUUAAAAGACAACGACAUAUUGCUUGCAUGUAGCCUCAAGUUGUCUGGGAAUGGCACUAGAGUCAACGACUCAUGUGAUACUUGGUUCUCUAGAGGUGAGAAAACCAUGCUCUGGAUCUCUAGAAAGAAGGAAGCAAAUGGGCCAAACUUUAAAAGCAAUGAAGGCUAGCCCAAAGUGCAACUUUGGCCCACUAAGAAAUUUAGGCACCUAUCUUUUAAUGUCUUCCUUUUGCUGAGGAAAUUUCAAUCUGGUUCCCCAUGGUGUUUUUGCCCAUCUCAUGACUUGAGCUUCCUUUAAGUAAUUGGGCUUGCUUCCCACUUAUCAAAAAAAAAAAAAAAUUGGGCUUGCUUCCCUCUUAUUAAAAUCUUCUUACCAACCCAACCCAUUUGAUUAAAAAGUUGUCUAACUUGCAAAGGACUCAAUCCUUUUUACAAGUAUUAACAAAUCUGAAAUUUGAAAUUUGACUCGAGUGGCGUGGAGUGCAAUUGUCCUCCACCUUCUCCCAACGUCACCCAUGUGGCCUUAAGUAUGGCAACCUUCCAGCCCUUCAAUUUUCCCCAAGCCCCUCAUCAUUGACACAACCAUCAGAGAUGAGAAUCCCACCUUGAUUCAUCUCAUUGUUACCUGUUUAAGCAUUGACAACUCCUCUAACAAUCAUUAUCAAUGCUGAAAAGGUCUCAUCUCCAUCUGAAACUAGGAUGGGUCUACCAUGGCAGGUGGUGAUGUGAACACUGAAGAAAGGUUUUACAAUGGAGGUUGGAAGGCCCAUAAAUAAGGGUUUGAUCGGUCCUUUAGCUAAAGCAAGCCUAAAAAAGGAUCAAGUUUCAAUUGCCUUCAGGCAAAGGGUUUGCUUUCCCAACUCAGAAACAACUCAGGAUAGCACUAGAGGGGUUGAGGAAGGAGGAAGGCUUUCUCUCUGUAGUUCUCCAAUCCGUGUUUUUCUUCUAUCCCUUGCUUGGCUAAAUGAUCUACUAUGUGGUUAGCAAAGUGUGAAGCCCAAGAAAAAGAAUAUCUUAAGUCACUAGUGACAUCAAUAACUCGGUGGAUACAUUUAUUAUACUUCCAUGAGCCUCUUUCCUUUUGGAUACUCGCAAAAUGACAAUGGAUUUGGGUUAAUAGCUACACCUUUGCUAGUAGGUUAUGAAAAAGCUCUUAGCAUGGUUCAUGAUGAUUCCUAAACAAUCUAAUAUUAAGUUGUUCCAGAUUAAAUUUAUUGAGCCAAUUGGAAGUGGAAUCCACUUAUGCUAAGUUUCCCGCUUAAAUUAUAAUUCCAAUCUAGCAGUGACAAGCUAAUGGAGUACCAAUAGAGAUGUUGGUCAUCAAGGCCCUUAAAAAAGAAUAGAAAUGAACCAAAUCCCACAACCUCCAUAUAAUUCAUCUAGCUCCAAAGAUCAUUUCCUUCCUCUCUCAUUAAAAAAUCCAAAUUAAAAAUAAGGCUAGCCUCAAGCUAGAGGCCCCACCCUCAAGAGACAUCCAAAUCCCCUAAAGAAAAUAAUCAUCUUUUUCUCACUUUUGGGUGGUGACCACUCAAUUUCAAUAAGUUAAGCAACCUAUGGAAGAGUCCCAAAGUUAAAUGUGCAAUGCAAAAAAGAUGGUUAGGUGUUUCAAUAUUUCCCAAGCACAUAACACAAUGUUCUGGACAGAGGGCUUUGGAGGCCUCUCCUUUUGAAGCAUAUAAUUGGUUUUUACUUUCUUAUUAACUACAAGCCAUGUGGAUUUACUUGGCAUGAGUUUUUGAUUUCCAAUAUAAAAUUGGUUGGAAGGAAUAUAUCAUAUUAGCAAAAGCAUAAGAGUUCUAAAAAUUGAACUAACUGAGAAUGAACUUUGAGGAAAUUAAAGAAAAAGUAGGUAAAAAAUAAACAUGAAGUAGAGAAGAUGUGAGAGAUGUGAAUUCUGCAAAUCAUGGAUCAGAAAAGUAACAGUGGAAAUAGAAAUAUCUUUGUUAAGAGUAUUUGAUUGUGUUUUUAUUUUUUCUUUUCUUUUCAAAGAUGUUGGUUGAUCAUCUGCCUCUUGGAUGGUGGAACUUGCUUAAUUGGAUGGAGAAUUUUCAUAUGCCUCUUGUGCAUAAGAGUUAGUAUUUUUGUAACCAUCAUGUUAGACUUCUCAAUAAAAAAAGUCACGGAUAUCCAUGAAUAUGGCUAACUUUUAUUGGCCAACUGCCAGUCUUGGGGUGGUUCCUCCAUCUCUUGGGCUUAAGGGAGGUUCUAGUGGGAAGCUGCAGACGGAGGAGGGAAGUAAGACUAUUCUCCCUGUGGAUGAGUCUUAUGCAGAAAAAACUCGGAAGGUUUUAAAGGAAGUGGGGGAGGCUAUAUGGGUACAGUUAGACAAAAAGGUGGUGCUCUCAAGGAUCACGUCUUUAAAAUGCUGUUUGGUAGGCAGAUGGGGAGAACUUGGGGGGCCAAGUCCCGGAUUUGAUAGCACUAAAAAAUUGGGCUGUCAUGAGCUGGCAGUUGAGAGGAGGAGUGUCUUUGUCUUUGCUUGGGGGUUGGUUCUCUUAGACUUUGAAGAUCCCUCAGAGGCAGUUUCUGUGUUGAAUAGAGGGUUGAGAAGGUUUGGGAAAAAGUUGUUGUUUUUAAAUUGGUGGGACCCACAUUUAGGAUUCUUUAGAAGUGGGUUUCAUGCCAAAGAAGUGUGGGUGAGAUUGCUAGGACGUCUAUUGCAUUUGUGGAGCUUGGAGCUGUUCAAAAUGUUAGGAGAUCGGUGCAGAGGUGGAUGAAGAUAUUGCUCGGAAUCGCAAUAGACCCAGGCCAGAGUUCUUGUAAAACCUGAUGGAAGAAAGACUCCUAGCUCCCUGCAAGUGUUUGUGGGGUCUGAAUGCUACACAGUGCAACUUUGGUGGGAAGUUCCACCAUGGAAAACUUUAUUCGUUCCAAAAGGAGGUGUACAGGAGGUUAGGGAAGAGGGUAGUGGUAGUUCACGAGCCAUAAAGGUGGUGGAAAAUCGUUCUCUAAAAAGUCAACAUGAGGUGGGUAUUCUCUAAAAUCGUUCUCUUGAUUGGAAGGACAUGGCAGGAGUGAGGGAGAGGAAAGCGUAUUCUCAUGGCGUGCUUGAGGGUUAUUAGAUUUGAACAGGAAAGUUGAGGAUGCUGGGUUUUUAAAUUGCCCUCUCUUUUUUGGGUUGGGUUGGGCCGGGAGAGUGUUAGUUUAGCACAAAAGAAGUAGAACAGGCCUUUAAAGGGGGGUUGGGGUGUUUAUGGGUCUAAAAAGGACUUUAUUGGGCCUCCAGUUCUUUGCUUAGCCCAACAAUUGUGUUAGAGGCCCUGGUUUUGGGCUAGAGAAUUUCCUCAGUCAAGGCAUACCCUUUGAAAAGGAGCCCUUAGGCUUGUUUGGUAAUUGUUUUCAAAAAUAGUUCUAAAAAAUAGUUUUUGAGAACAAUUUUUGAAAACUGUUGUCUGAUUUUUGUAAAAUAAAAGUUUGUUUGGAAGCCUAAAAUUUUUUUAACCCAUUUUUAAUAUUUUUAAAUAUGUUUUAAAAAUAAUUUUUUUUAUAUCUAAUGUUUUAUUUUUAAUUAUUCUACAUGUUUGCAUAAUGAUUUUUUAAAACAACCCUUAGAAAACAACUAAAAAGUGUUUUCUAAAAACAUCAUAUUUUUUGUUUUUAAGAAUAGAAAACAGAAAAUUGUUCUCAAAAAUAGUUCUCAAAUAGGCCCUUAAGUACUCUUUUGGUCUCUUGCGACCCUUGAAACAAGAGAUGAGGGACACCUAGAGAGUGCUAACUAGUAUCCGUGGGUACCAUCCAAAGUCAGCUUUUUUGCAUGGGAAGCUAAUUGGGGAAAAGUGCCAACUUUAGGAAGAGUGCUAACUUUAGAUAAUCUCUAGAAGAGAGGGUGAAUAGAUGAGUUGAAGAAUAGGGUUUCACGGGAAUAAAUUUUCUUUCAUUGAGAUUAUUCUUUUAUAGAGUUUACAACAUAUACAAAUCCUUCAAAUUAGGAAACUAAAUCACUGAUUAAAAGGAAAGAAUAACUCCUAAUAAUUACUUUCCUAAAAAUACAAAGAUUGACAACUAAUAAAUAAUUUACAGUUUUACAAAGUUAUUUCUUUCCAUAUCAGUUUCGGUUUUCCAACACUCCCUCUCAAGCUGACUUAAAGAUAUCUUCCAUAGCUAGCUUGCCAACUAGAAAAUCGAAUUGCCUCUUAUGUAGCCCUUUGGUGAAGACAUCAGUCACUUGUUCCUCAGUAAGGAUAUAGGUCAUACAGACCAAUCCGUUGUCUAUCUUCUCUUUAAUGAAAUGCUUGUCCACUUCCACAUGUUUGGUGCGGUCAUGGAGAACCGGAUUGUGAGCUACUGAAAUUUCUGCCUUGUUGUCACAAUACAACUUCAUAGGAGAUGAACCUGUCAUCUUUAACUCUUCUAGUAAUCUUCUUAUCCACAUAAUCUCACAAAUACCAUGAGCUACAGCUCUAAACUCAGCCUCAGCACUACUUCUAGCAACCACAUUCUGUUUUUUACUUCGCCACGUAACCAAGUUGCCACCUACAAGUGAACAGUACUCAGAGGUGGACCUUCAAUCCACUAUGCUUCCAGCCCAGUCUGCAUCGGUGUAGGUUUCAAUUUGUAGGUGUCCUCGUGACUUGAACAGAAGACCUCUGCCUGGUGUCCCCUUUAGAUACCUUAGAAUCUUGUAAACAACUUCAAAAUGCUCUGGUCCAGGCCCAUGCAUAAACUGACUAACCAUACUCACUGAGAAUGCUAUGUCAGGGCGUGUAUGGGAUAGGUAAAUCAAUCUCCCAACAAGUCUCUGAUAACGAUCCCAGUCCUUCACAUUCUUGGCUUUUGUAGGCUGCAGUUUUACAUUCGGCUCUAUAGGUGUUUUAGCAGGCUUACAUCCUAACAUACCUGUCUCAUCAAGAAGAUCAAGAACAUACUUCUGUUGAUUUACAAAGAUAGCUUCUUUGAACCUAGCAAACUCCAUCCUAAGAAAGUAUUUUAAUGCCCCCAGGCCCUUAAUCUCAAAUUCCUCAGCAAGUUUCCCCUUCAGCUUCUCUAGUUCAUUGCAAUCAUCCCCAAUUAACACAAUAUCAUUAACAUACACAAUUAAGAUGACUACUUUACCUUCAUUUGAAUGUUUGUAAAACAUCGUGUGAUCAGCUUGGCUUUGAGUAUAUCCAUAAUGCUUUAUUACUUUGCCAAAGCCCUCAAACCAAGCUCUAGGCGACUGCUUAAGUCCGUAUAAGGACUUCUUCAAUUUGCACACUUUCCCAACUCCAAAACUUUCUUCAAAACCUGGUGGGGGACUCAUGAACACUUCCUCCUCUAGGUCUCCAUUAAGAAAGGCAUUUUUAACAUCCAAUUGGUAUAAGGGCCAAUUGGAAUUUACUACAAGGGACAACAAAACUCUAAUCAAGUUUAUUUUAGCUACGGGGGCGAAAGUCUCUUGGUAGUCUAUCCUAUAGGUUUGAGUAAAACCCUUUGCCACAAGUCUGACUUUGUAUCUCUCAACACUUCCAUCUGCUUUACUCUUUAUUGAAAACACCCAUUUGCACCCUACAACUUUUUUUUCCCUUGGUAAAUCUACAACCUCCCAAGUGCCAUUCUUUUUUAAGGCAUUCAUUUCCUCAAACACUGCCAAUUUCCAACUCAGUUCAUCUAGUGCUUCUUGAAUAUUUCUAGGUACCACAAGUUUUGAAAUAUUUGUAGUGAAUGCUUUAUAGUUGUCAGAAAGGUUACUAUAGGAGAUAUAUUUGGUAAUGGGAUGUUUAGUGCAGGCUCGGGUUCCCUUUCUAAGAGCAAUAGGGAGAUCAAGGUCAAGGUCCUGUGCAGGAACAAUUGGGGCUAAUCCUAAACCGGGUUCGGGUGCAGAUAUUUCUGGACUUGGACCAAAGUGUGAUGGUAAACUUAAAUCAGUAACAGAAGAAGAAGAAGCAUGUAUAUGAGUAGGAAUAGAAGGAGGGUUACCUAAGACAUUUAGAGAGCCAUUGCCCAGGGCUUUUGGUUGACCAUGUGCUGGGAUGAUCAGUUGGUCUUUACUUCUUCCAGGGACUUUUUUCCUUGAAUAAACCACAGGCUCAAGAUUGUUUCUAUUUUUUUUCAUUCGUAGUAUUUCUUCUUCUGACAGACCAAUUUCAGAUUCGGAUUCAGUAAGCUUAGUUUCCUUAUUUUCUUUUUCAAGAGAGAUAUCAAGAAUUACACUAGGCAAAGGUUCAACAAUUUCCCAAAAAUUUGGUUCCACUAAUUUCUCCCCUUGAAGUAAAUUUUUGGUAAAAUAUGGGACAUUUUCUAUAAAGGAAACAUCCAUAGUUGUGUAAAAACGUUUUGUAAGGGGAUAAAAAAAUUGGUAACCCUUUUUAUUAGGAGUAUAUCCUACAAAAACACAUUUUUCUGCUCUUGGGUCUAACUUAGAUCUUGAUCUUUUUGGAAUGUGUACAUACGCAGUGCAACCAAAUAUUUUCAAGGGUAAUUCAGAAUUAAUUCGAGAUUCUGGAAAUACUUUUUUCAAGCACUCCAAAGGAGUGGUAUACUGUAAAAUUUUUGUAGGCAUCCUGUUGAUUAGAUAUGAAGCAGUUAGUAUGGCAUCCCCCCAUAAGUAUUUUGGAAUAGUCAUGUAAAACAUCAUAACCCGUGUUACUUCUAACAAGUGUUUAUUUUUACGUUCAACUAUUCCAUUAUGUUCAGGGGUAUCAGAACACGAGGAUUGAUGUAAAAUUCCUUUCUCGUUUGAAAAGGUUUCAAAACUUUAAUAUCAGUCCCAUUAUCAGAUCUCAAAAUACUAAUUUUUGUUUGAAAUUGGUUUUCAAUCAUUCUGUAAAAUUCUUUAAAAAUCCUUUCGACUUCAGAUUUUUCCCUCAUUAAAUAUACCCAACAAAGACGUGUAUGGUCGUCUAUAAAGGUCACAAACCAUUUUUUUCCUGAAAUUGUGGUUACUUUUGAAGGUCCCUAAACAUCAUUGUGAAAAAGAUAAAAUGGUUUUGAUGCAUAGUAGGGUUUUGGAAUGUAAGUUUUUCGUUGGCUCUUUGCCAAUAAACAACUUUCACAUUGAAAUGAUAAAGGAUCAACCUUUUGAAAUAACACUGGAAAUAAAUGUUUUAAAUAAGAGAAACUAGGAUGGCCUAAUAUGGAAUGCCAAACCAUUAUUUGAUCGGGAACAAAAAGAGAACUAAUACUACUUAGUCCUUGAGCAAUUUUAUUACUAGGUAAAUUAUCCUCGAAAUAAUAGAGACCAUUGAUCAUCCUAGCACUGCCAAUCGUCUUCCCUGAGCUCUGGUCCUGAAAAAUACAAUGGGAUUCAUAGAAGAUAACACAACAAUUAGAAUCUCUAGAUAAUUUGCUAACAGACAAGAGAUUACAAGUAAGUUUAGGAGCAUGGAGAACAGAUUUAAGAUCUAUUCCCUCAGAGAUUUUUAUUAGACCUUUUCCUACAAUAGGUGAGAAAUUACCAUCAGCUAUCCGAACCUUUUUAUUUCCAGGACACGGUGAAUAGGAUUCAAACAUGUUUGAGGAAUUGGUCAUGUGGUCGGAUGCUCUAGAAUCGAUUAUCCAUGGAGUAGAUUUAAAACGACAAGAUAGAGCAUAUAAUUCAUUACCUGUGUGUGCCAAAGAAACACUAGAAGUACCGGAUGUCAAGUUGGAUUUUAGCAGUGCAAGAAGAUGUUCCAUUUGCCCAAUGGUGAAGGGGCUGGUCUCAGCCUCAUUAGUCUGUGAUUGAUUCCCUAAAUCAGAAUACAUCUGAUUUACAUUCUCCCAAAACUCUUGUGUUGUUGGAUAGCACAUGUAAUUAGAGCUAAUGUCUUCUUCCAUAGAAUUCACAAGCCAUGUCAUCACCAUGGAAUUCUCAGCAUCCCAUAUAGCAUAGUUCGGAUCAUCCACUGCAGGAGCCUUCUUUUCACCUGUUAGGUAGCCCAUCUUUCCACGUCCUCUGAUGUACAUCCGAACUGAUUGAGACCAUCUCAGAAAGUUGUCACCAUUCAAGUGAAUCGUGGUGAUUUGGACAAAGUGAGAUUUUGAGGUGGUAGGACUAAUUUUUGAAGAAUCGGUGAUGAUGGGAUUGUUCAGAGAAGGUUGAGGAACAGUAGUGGAUUAGUUUGAAAUAUCCAACAUGAUUUCAGAGAACAGGGAUUGAAAGAGAGGAAGAAGGAGGAUUUCGGCAAACAAAUUGCUAGCUCUGAUACCAAGUUGAAGAAUAGGGUUUCACGGGAAUAAAUUUUCUUUCAUUGAGAUUAUUCUUUUAUAGAGUUUACAACAUAUACAAAUCCUUCAAAUUAGGAAACUAAAUCACUGAUUAAAAGGAAAGAACAACUCCUAAUAAUUACUUUCCUAAAAAUACAAAGAUUGACAACUAAUAAAUAAUUUACAACUUUACAAAGUUAUUUCUUUCCAUAGCAGUUUCGGUUUUCCAACAAGAUGUUAUAUGUGUAGGCAAGAGGGGGAGUCUAUUGAUCAUUUACUUCUUCAUUGCUCUAAAGCAAGGCUUCUUUGGCACCUAUUGUUUUCCUUAUUUAAGGUGUCUUGGGUGAUCCCUUCUUCAGUGAGGGUUUUGCUCUUAAGUUGGCAAGGCUCCUUUGUUGAGAAUAAAAGAAAAAAGGUGUGGAACACUACUUCUCUUUGCAUUUUUUGGAUAAUUUAGAGGGAACGAAAUCAAAGAGCUUUUGAAGAUAAGGAACAAAAUGACCAAUGGUUAAAAAUUUUGUUUCUUUGUAAUCUCUCUUCUUGGGUUAGCAUAUACAUAAGGGAAGACUCAAUGCCCUUGUUUGAUUUCGUAGAGUGAGUGGGGUCUUGUUGAGGGCUUGAGUGUUUUUUGUGCUCUUUUUGGAGAGCUUGUUUUAGGUGCUCCUUGUAUAUGUCUUGUGCACAUUGGUGUACUUGGCUUCCUUUUCUAAUUUUAAUAUACAUUCCUUUACCUAUCAAAAAAAAAGAAAAAAAAAAAAAGAGAGAGACUUACUAAAACAUUUACCUAUGUUCUUGAAAAAGGGGUUGGGUGCUUCUCCAUUUAGAUUAGGCUUCUCAACAAACCUCUAACAGAGCUAUAUUCAAACUGUUGCCUCGAUCAAUAACCAUAAUGCAUCAUCCUUCUUGGCAGAAAGAAAAAAAACACAAGUUUGGAAGUUGGUACUAUGUCAGCAAUUCUCUUGAUUUGCUUAUGACAUAGCUACUAGCAACAACGUUAAAAAAUUAUUGCCGUUAGUCAUGGUUGCAUAAAUUGUUCCACUCCUAACUUACAUUUUCAAGUCUAAAACUUUUUCUCUAAAAACAAAAAUUAUAGCCUUUAGUCCUGAUUGACUGAAUCAUUCCACUCCUUUAGUCACAUACAACCUGAAGUCAAGAAUUUCUGAUCUGAUAUCAAAAUUGAUUUAGGGUCAUUCUAAGGUAACUACUGCAAUCAAAUUGCAAUGCACUAUGGUGAUCCCAUUUAAAUUUGAAAUCAAAUAUCAUCGUACAAGUACUAUUCUAACUUUAGGUUGUAUUGAGUAUAUUUGUUAUAUUAGAAACUAAAUCACGUUAAUGGAUUUAAUUAUAAGGAGAUUAAAACUUUUUAUUAUAAGUAAUGUAAAAUAAAAAAAUAGGAAAAGAAUAUGAAAAAGAAUAAGAGACAACCAUUUUCCAUCCAAGUAAAACCUCAAUGCUAUACAAGAUUUUAUGAUAUUCAUUAUUUAAAAACAGUUUUUACUUUUCUCACUCACAUUUUCAAGAAAAGAAAAAAUAAGAAACAAAAAUUAUUUUCAGAAAAUAAAAAUAUAAAAUGAAAACUAGAAAGCAUUUUCCAAACUAGAAAGCGAUUUCCAAACUGAGCAAAACCUGAUAUUCUCUUUAAUUUCUCUACAUCUGCCUCAAGUUGUGGGACCAUAAUGAUGCAAGCAAGAAAGGAGAAGGUGAAAUAAGGAGCGGUAAUAAACCCUCCUAAUACUAAUAUCCAUGAAAGACGAAGAAGAUAAGCAAAGGCUUCAAAAACAACAUGGAUCAAAUAAAGAUAAAACCUUCAAUUUCCUCUACAGUGAUUCUUCAAGUUAUAGAGGAGAACACUAAUCUAAUCUAGGGGCAGAAGUGAUACUACUGGUGGCCUCCACAAAAUAUGUAAUGGCUGAUCACAUUGGCACCCCUUGUAGUGAAACUUUAAAUCCUUAUGAUUCCACUUGCCAAGUUAAUUUAAAUUAUUUAUAACUAUUCUUACUCAAUUUUGUUGAACUGUCAAAUCAGUAGUGGCAUUGUAUUAUAAAUACCUGUACAUUUUGUUAAUAGUAUGUUUAUUGCUUCUCUCUCUUUUCCCCUUCUUUAUGGGCUUAUGCUUUGUUUUUUCCUUUUUCCUCUUCAUGAGGAUAUUGGUUCUUGCCAGGGAACUUGGCCAUGAGGUUUUCUAUUGCAUAUUUGUUGUCUAUAUAUGUUUUCAUUUGUCUCGUGUGACUACUACUGCACAAGGAACUGUACUUCUCAUUUUCACUUGAAACAGCAAAUUGAUGAACCUAGGACGUCUAACUGCCACUUUUUUCCCUUCAAAAACUUUGCUAUUAUAUGCAACCUAUGGAUUGAAUCUUCCACUUAUCUGUUGUCAGGAAUUAUCAUCAACUAAGUCUAGCAUUCAACAAGAAAUAGCAUCCUCCAAGCAAAGAAUUUUCUUCAUAGACAAAAUAGUCCCUGAGCUGGAAGCAGAAAAGAAAGUUGCUGCAGCUGCAAGAAAUUUCAAAGAAGCAGCAAGAGUAGCUGCUGAAGCAAAGAAAUUAAGUGUUGAAAAAGAAGGUGAAGAGGUUAAAAUGGAUGGAGCCAUGUUAGAGCUUGGGAAGCUUGAGGAAGAAAUUAAAGACACUGUUAAUUGGCUGGUGGAGGCUGAUGAAUUGAUUUUGUUCAAGGAAAAAGAGGUGGCAAUGGCUAGAUUCCAGAGGUUGCUUUUAGUGGCUGGUGCUGCUAAAGCAGAAAGGUUGGCUGCUGUAGAGUUGGGGGACCUUGAAGAAGCUAAUCUUCUACUUGCAGAGGCUGAAGCAGCAGAGGUCGAAGCAAAAAACCUUGAACAAAGUUACAAUUUCAAGGAGGAAGAAUUUGAAAAUCUUCCUAAACACUUCAUGUCCAUGGAACUAGUAUCAAACCUUGGUGGGAAACAGUUAGCGGAACUGGCAGCUUCAGUCCAUCUUCCUGCACUGUAGUGAUUUACCACCAGAUUGAAGUCAACUUUGGAACUUUUGAUGGAAGAUUUAUGAAGAAACAAGAACCUGUCUGCUUUUCGAGGGAGAAGCAGAAAAACUCUUAUGGGAAAUAUUGAACAUUCGUGAAACUACUCGAGAAUUGCAUCCCCUAUCUAAGGCUCUUCCAGCCGUUAGGUUUCAUACUGCCCAGGGUUCUGUAUACUUUUCUGGGUGCUUUCUGAUUUGGCCUCGUUGCUGGAGCAGGAAAAAGGAGUGGUAUCCCCAAAAUAAUUUGUCUUCGAAUUAUUCUGAGCUGUCCAUAUUUUCCGGAGUUAUUUUAUAGCACUGUGUUCUAUUGGCAAUGAUGAGGUCUGGACUCUUUUUGCCCUUUUUCUCCUCGGCCGUAUGCUUGUGGUAUAGCUCCUGCCUAUGUGGAAGGCUUUAGUCUAAUCCACCUUCAUGAAUUUCCUAAAGGUGCUUGUUUUCAGUCUAGUGGCAGCAUCCGAUAGGCUUAUUUUGGGUGAUGUCCCAAAAGAUUUGUACUCGAAUCUUAUGAUUAUUUUUAUUCAAGUAAACCUGAAGCGGAUAGGUUUUAUUUGAAUGGACAAAGGACAUUUUUUAAAACUUUAAUUUUCCUUUUUUAACUCUCUUACCAUAAAUGAUCAAAUAAAGAAAAGUUCAUAAAUCCUCUUUUUGCUUUUUCUCGUUUUAUAUGUUUUAUUUUCUUUUCCUCAGACUCUUUGGAAUAAAAAAAUAGCAAUAAUGUUUAAUAUUUAGAGUUGCGUAUCAAAAUAAUAAUAUUUUAAAAAAAAAAAAAAAACCUAGAUAAACUUUUAAUCUAGUUGGUUUGGUCCAUGUAGACAUCCAUCGUCCAACUGGAUAAAUUUUGUUCUUUUGGGUGAAAAUCCUGCAGCUUUAGCGAUGUGUUUUUAAUACUUUUAUUUGGAAGCCGACCAUGAUUACAUUUUUCUAGCACGUUAUUUAUUUAUUUUUAAUUUUUUUGAGUGUUUAUAUUUGCAUUCACUAGAUAUCUCUAUACAUUCACUUAGAUUAUUAUUUUUUAAAGAUAAAUAUGAUCCUUGAAAUAAAUAAAAUACCCUUAAGAUUAGCAGUGUUCAGAAUUAUACUUCUGGAUAUCUUUAAGGCAUUUAGAACUAUACUUUUGGAUACAUUCAAGGGCGCCUAGAAUUAUACUUCUAGACAUGCUUAAGAGCAUCCAAAAUGACACUUCCGAAUAUACUUUUGAAGCGUUUAGAACUAUACUUCUAGACAUGUUUAAGAGCGCCCAAAACUAUACUUCUGAAUUACUUUCAAUGUCCGGCCUUAUAGGUUCGAACACCAUGAAAUAGAUUUUUUUUUUUUUUUUUCUCUUUCAUCUUGAAAUCUGAAUAACAUUCAUUCAAAAAAAAUAAAAAUGGUUCUUUCGGCAUUCUUGGACUUUUGUUGAAAGGAGUGCGUAAAAUUUGAUCAAUUGCAAAGAUAUUUGGAAACAUUUUUUUUUUUUAUUUCACUUCCACUUUUUUCAAAAUUUCUCACUUCUAAAUUAUUUUUAAAAUAGAUUCAUGUAGUACAAAUCUAAUAUCCACACAUGGAUUAAAAAAAAUGCAUUAAAAAAUUUUAAAUUAGCUUUUGAAUUUAUCUAAAAUGGUUUUGUACUAACAAACAAGUUUCGAAGAAAGGAUUUUAUGUGAAGAUUUUGUUGUUUAGAAGAAAAAAAAUUGAAAUAAGAAGAUAGGUGUCAAAGAAAAUAAUGAUAAUUGUAUUUCAAGUAUAUUGAAAAUAAAGAAACAUUUUCUUUUUCCAAUCAAGGGUGGGUUGAGAGAGGAACAUAAGCUAAAGAGAGAUAGGUCAUAUAGGAGGUAUUUUAUUGGAUAAAGUCAUUAACAGUAAAACAUAAUAUAACAAAAUUAAACUUAAGUUUCUAUUUUUCUAUCUUUUAAAUUCAUUAAAAAAAAAUUGAGCAUUCUAAUUUGUAUUACUUACAUUGUAUAUGACUUGAGUGUAUUAGGAAAUGUAAUAAAGAUUCAAGUUAUAAGUUUCUUACAAGUUGAUGAGUAGUUUACAACCGAUUUAAAAACUUAGGCAAUUCAUUUGAGACUAUAGUGUACUACCUCCUUAUUAGAAAAAUGAUUUGUCUUAAUCAUUAAUAUGAGUUUCCUAAAGUGAAUGCACUAGUAUGUAUGAUUACAUAUUGGAUAUGACUUACGAUGAAUCAUGACAUUGGUUAUCAAGUAAUCAUGAUUUCACCAAGUUACUAUGCUUUAUGAGCUCUCAACCUUGAGAGAAUAUUAAGUCAAUACUGAAAAUUUUAAUAGUUUCGACCUAUAAGUAAAAAACCCUAAUGUGAUUAUAUAUUCCUUGUGGAUUAAGUCACACUUGAUUAAGAUAGGUAACAGUAGGUAUUUUUAAGAAAGACAUCAUGAUAUCUAAUGAGUUUGAGAUAGUACUACAUCCACUUAGGUGAUCUUUAGGACUUAUGAUCAUAAAAUUUGUAGGUGUUAGGAUAGAGCCCUUAAAAGUAUGACAUGAUGUAACAAAUUUGGAAUUUGUUAUUUAUUUAAUGAUAUUCUAGUUUCAUUUUUAUUUAUCUUUAUUUCAUAUAUUAUAUUUUAUGAGCAUUGUCACCUAACAUCUUUUGCAUUGUAUAUGAUUCGAGUGCAUUAGAAGUUGUACGGAAGAUCCAAGUCAUAGGUUCCUUGCAAUUAAAUGACUUGUUCAUAUUUUGUUCAUGGGUCUAGGCAACCCGUUAAAAGUUGUAGUGCACUAUCUCUUAAUUGGAGGGAUGAUUGGUCUUAGCUAUCGGAAUGGGUUUCCCAUGGUAAGUGCAUUAGUACGUAUGGUUACACAUUUGACAUAACUUAUAGCGAUUGAUGACUUAAGACUAUCAAGUAAGCUGCUUCAUUUGUUCUCUCUCAACCUUAAGAGAAUAUUGAAUUUGUGCUAAAGUUACUAGUAGUUUUGACUUAUGGGUGAGAUAAUAAGUUUAUCAUAUAUUCCAUAUGGAUUAUAUCACUAUUGAUGAAAAUCAAUAACAAUAGGUAUUCUCAAUAAAGGUACCAUGAUAUCUCAUAGGAUUAAUACAGAGGUCCCCUUAUGUGAUCCUAAGGAGAUGUGUUCAUGGAAAUUAUAGUUAUAGUAGUUCUUCAAGUGGAACUUAAUAUAAGCUCUUUGAGAGUUAAAAAAUGUUAGUUGAACACACAAUAGGAAGAUUUGUAACUCAAAGAUAAUAAAAGUAGUCAUAAAAGACUGAUAGUUUUCACUUUAUUAGACUAUGAAUACCAGUUCAUGGGGAGACUAAAUGCAAUUGAUAGCAAAUCACGGACUCAAGUAUAUAGCGUCUUGUUGUUAUUUAUAUAAGAUACUGGAGUUCAGUUGAUUCUCUAUAAUGGGAUGUUGAAUCAACUUUAGAUUUGAAUUUUAAGAAAGUCAGUACUCCUAUGGGUCUUAGUAGUCCCUGUUAUUUAUAUAAGAUAUUGGAGUUCAGUUGAUUCUCUAUAAUGGGAUGUUGAAUCAACUUUAAAAUUGAAUUCUAAGAAAGCCAGUACUCCUAUGGGUCCUAAUAGUCCCCGUUCUGAGCUCAUAUACCUUGUUAACAAGAGUUAUAAGCGUCGAAUUAGCUAUGGUUUACUUUUGUGUAUAAGGAUGUUUUGGUAAUUACGCAAGAUUGCACAAAAGUAAGUAAAUAAGGUCUUUAAAUUAGGUUAAUUGAUUAAUUAGUAGGUCAUGUUGAGUUAAUUAAUAAAUUAGGAUCUAAUUUGAGCUAGAUUAAGUGACUCAAACUUAUAUGGCUCAAAUCACUUAAGCCUAACUAGAAACCUUAUAAAUACCCCUUAAAGGUUAGGGUUUCCAUCAUUUUUUGUUUUCCAUCAUCCAAAGAGAAAGAGAGUCAUAGUCUUCAUCCUUCUUUCCUCCUCAUCGAAAGUGUGCCAAGAUUAAGGAGAGUCAUCGAGUGAAAGAUCAUGGGUCUAUGAUACUUCCGACGACAUUAAUUUAAUUCUUCAACACUUUGAUUCAAGGUUAGUACUUAACCCUAAAAGAUCAAUUUUUGAAAAAUUUGUUAUUGCUUCUGUUGCUUAGAUCUAAGAUGCCAAUAAUAGAACCGUAGUAAUUCAUUUAGUAGAUUUUGACAUAUGCUCUUAAUGAGUUAAAAUAUGUUAAUUGAUCAUAUAAUAGGAGAAUUUAAGACUGAAAGAUUAUGGAAGUAGUCUUAAAAGGUUGAUGUAAUCUACUUCAUUAGAUUAUGAAUAUCGGUUCCAAAAGAGUCUACAUGAAGUGAAUAGUAGCUCAGAAAUCGAAAGAAUUGACUAAAUUGGAUUUAAUUAAUUCUAAUUUCAAUGUAAUGACACAGAAUAUUGAGUGCAAUUAAUUCACUUUACUGGAAUGGUAAGUCAACUUCAGAAUUGAAUUAUGAAGGAGCAGAUAUUUUCUUAUAGGUCCUAAUGGUCUCUGCUUGAACUCGCAAUCUUUGUUAUCAUAAAGGUUUUAGGGAAAUUAAAGAUUUUCCUAUAUGACCCUAUGAGUUUUAGGUUUAGAUUAUAAACUUCUAGACCAUUAGUCUUCCAAAUACCUAAGCUCCUUCUUUCUCUCCUUUCAAGGUGUGGCACCACUCUACAUAAGUAGAGUGGAGUGAUAGGUGAAAAAUUAUCAAGUUUGGAGAUAUCUCCUGGUUAGGAUUUGGGUUUGGGAGAAAUCAAACCCCAUGUAUGAUUUUUAAUACUCCCUUUGGGGCCAAAGUUUUAAUUUUUAUUGCUUCCAUUAUACCUAAGAUACUAUAUGCAUGUACCCUAAAGGGCAAACGGAUAUUAGAUCACUUAACGAUCUUAUUGUAGAUAAAUAUAGCUUUGCUUAACCAAGAUGCAAGCAAAGGUGAGUUCCCCUCGGAAGUGGGUAGCCUAGCGGGUAUGUAAGAAAAGGUUUCAACAUUUCCUGUUCAUGGCAAUCCCCAGGUGCAUGAAAAGAAUACUCACUUAUAGGUAGAUGCAUUAAUAGGAUUAACGUUUUAAAGUAAAUGCAUAGAUAAGGUGAAUGUAUUGAGUGAUUUGGUGUAUGCAAAUAUAGCUUCUCAUAUGUGUUUUUUUUUUUUUUUUCUUAAGAUUGAAGAGUUGUGGUUUUUUUUCUCAAUACAUUAUAAGUGACAUAAAUGUUUAGAUUUGAUCCGGUCCGCUAAUAAAAACAGUAUAAGAACUGAGUGUUCUAACAAGUGUGAUUUGAUCACGUGAACAUUUAUGCUGAAUGAAGCUAUACUUUAAGCGGACCGGAUUAAAAAACGAUGUUGUAAGCUGCUCAAACCGGCCAGAGCCAUCAUCGGUGCACACGGCCCCAGCGUACAAUGGAGCCAGCGGCCGCCAAAUCACGUUUCAGGAAAAGUAAGAAAAGGCCCGACCAGGCUCGGAAGUGGGCUGAGAGGAGGGUGGUAUAAGAUUGAAGCUUGACAUUUUGAUAUGAUCGCAAAAAGAAGUAAUCCAACCCACGGAAUCGACUUUGUGAAGACCCAGGCAACUCAACAAAAGGAAAUUUUGACAUGUACUCUUUUUAUAGAUUGCGAGAUGUCCUGGCAUAGACAUUCCCAUUCUACUCGGUAGGCUUAAUCUGAAAAUUCUCCAAGAAAAUCACAAUCAGUAUAACAGAUAGAUUUGUCUUCCAAACACCAAGUGAAAAAGUUUCUUUAUCCUGUCCGUUACACAAUGAAAUGAUGUAGAUGUAGGUAGGUGCGUCUGGCAGCAAUAGUAACAUAAAGUGCAAACAAGAAGUCCCAAACAAAUUUCUAAUGUCACAGAAUUUUGCCUUCGUAGAUACAUGUAACACGUAGCGGGACAAGGCAAAGCCCACUCUUUAUUGUGAACAAAAUAGAGAGAGAGACGAGUUGUAACAAUAAUUCACUGUGAUACUGUGGUUCACCCUACCUCCUUUUCCCCGUGUAUAUCAAACCAAUAAAAAAAUGAGCAGCAGCUUCUAACCAUCAACCACUGCCACCGCCACCGCCACCGCAACCGCCGCCAGCCAGCUCAAAUCUUGAACCCCUUAGCAUUUCCUCCAACCCCAACACAUAUUAAAAAUCUACAGAUGGUGGACCCCAUCACACCAAAGAUUUCUUUUGUAUAAUUUAAGAUAUCUGUCAAAAACCCCACUAACAAAUUGCCCAACAGAAUAUGCACUACUAAUUACAGUCCAAUCCACAUUCCUCCAGAACUGGGCCAUCUGACUUGGCCAGAAAAGGAUCAAUCCGAACCCACAAAAGAGAGAAGAUGGAGGCAAGCAAAAUUGACCACACGAUAAUGAUCGUGGGGGUUCUGUUCUGCCGACCCAGCAAACCCUUCAGGAAAGGAUAGAGAUGAACUAUCACCCAGAAUGCAAAGAAGAGUUUACCAAACAGAGGUCCCCAUGACUCAUACCCAUUAUUUAUUGCAUUUGAGAUGCCAGCAACAACUCCAAUCAGGUUUAUUAUCAGCAGUGUGGUGGGUGGGAUGAGCAAUGUGGUCCACUUGAAAGCAUACAGCUCUGAGAACUCCACGUCAUCCCCAGCUUUUGAUGUCACAGUGAAGUUUGUGUCAACACCAGCUAACACCUUCAAAAGUCCCUGGAACACCGCGAACAGAUGUGCUGAAACACCUCCAAUAACCCAAAACUGUUCAUUUCUCCACCAUUCAUCAAUUCCAACUCCACUCCAUCUCAUUUCCAGGAUACCAGUUGCAAAAAUACAAAUGAAAAGUGACAGAAACCACAAGCUAGCAACGUUGCUAAGCUGCAUUACAAACAAAAUAAAUGAUUUUAAUCAAAUAUGCAUCUAAAGGAUACUUUCAGAAAAAUUAUAAUAAGAAGCAACGCUGUUUCAUACCUCUGGAGUAAUAAAUUUCCCAGUGAGCAAGCAGACAGCAGGUAAGGUACAAUAUGCUAGCAGGGGAAUUGAAGUCCAUGGAUAUACAGUAGCAUUUAUGUACGACAGACGCUCUAACCAUUUCAGACCACCUCCAUACCCAUACCACAGGGGACAAUGCCGGCUCAAGAAAAUUUCAAUUGAACCAAGAGCCCACCGAAGGACCUGGUGAAGACGAUCAGAAAGAUUGAUGGGUGCAGAUCCUUUAAAUGCAGGUCUUGAAGGUAUACAAUAUAUGGAUCGCCAUCCAUGGCAAUGCAUUUUAAAGCCCGUCAAGAUAUCCUCCGUAACCGAGCCAUAUAUCCAGCCAACCUGGAUGGGAAGAACAAGUUAGUCCCAUCAAAUUUGAAGAGAACUUUGCAACAAUCAUGUUAAGCUAAGGAUUUGAACGGAAGGAACCAAACAUUAUAUAUACCUCCUUUCCCCACUCUGUUUUAUCUUCAUAGCCACAGCUAAUCACAUGAAUGGCUUCCUUAAGCAAGGAAGCUGGGCUGGCACUUUUUAGUGUGCCACCAUUCUCUAGCAGCGUAGAGGCAACAAAUACAGGAGACUGUCCAAACUUCUUUUCCAGCUUCUGCUCAGACAUGAGAGCCACAUUUUCACUUUCAAUACCUGCAUGUUACUAAGUUAAAUGGCAGAAGAAGACUGAUGGGCAGUAUUCAGUGUGAUUGAAUUAUAAAGAAAACAGUUAUCAGAAAGAAGCCUCCAAAAUAGUAAAAUUGACAAUGACUAGAAAAUUUUCCUUUGGUUGCUUAACUAGAAUUAGCAUUUCCAGCAGAAGAAUGAGAAUUAUUUCCUAAAUUUAUCAGCAAAGACUAGCCAACUUGGAUAAAUUUGGUGUGAGCUGGAGAUGAGUAAUAUGUUUAAACUAAACCAACUAGCAAAUGUCAGUGCUGCAUAUGUUAGUGCUAAAACUACCAGCUGGAUGGCUAAAUUGUUGAACACCUCCCUUUUAGAAGCAAAAUAUUUACCUUCAAUUCCCUCUUCAAUACCCUCUAAAGCACACACAGGAACAUGUCCUCCAGCAUCUGCCUUCCUAGAAUUUCUCUUCUUUAGUUCAGACUUAGGCUUGUUAGUCUUCUUCUUCUUCUUCCUUCCACCACAGCAGCACCAUUUUGGCCAGCAGUUGCAUGUCCUUGUCGGUGGCUUCUUUGUCUUUGGAGCAUCAUAACCAUAUAGCGCUUGCCUUCUGAACACACAUCCAGUCCCAACAUAUAUGGGUCCUUGAAUGCCAUCUAAACCUUUCAUGUUAAUCUGGAAAGUAGAGUUUGCAAAUUAGUCUUGGCAUACAAGAUAAUUGAUGUUAUGAGAACAAAGAAAAGAACAGCAGAAGAAAUGAGGCAAUAUGAAAGAAGUGCAUGCUCACAUCAAAGAAAACAGUGUUUCGGUUGGCAUAUCGAUCAUUUUUGUCAAUACCAUCAAACCUCUGGGGGAACUGAACAUAGCAGACUCUCUUUCCAAGCAAUGGAUCCAUCAUGAAACACAUAGACUCCCUAAGAGCCUUACUGUUAUUGAUGUAGUGAUCACAAUCCAAGUUCAACAGAUAUGGUGCAUUUGUGAGCACAGCAGAGACUCGGACCUAUUUGAUGGGCAAGCCAAUGAAGAUAAAGGUAAAAAUUAUAAGAUUUUUGUAGACUGCAUAAGAACAUACGGAAUUCAGUUGUCGCUUUACUAAUAUUUACCAAAGCAUUCAUCGCACCAGCCUUUUUGUGGUGAUUAAACCCAGGUCGCUUUUCUCUAGAGACAUAUACCAAUCGUGGCAAUUCAUUACCAUCUGUGUCAUGCCCCCCGCUUUGACCAAGAAAAACCUAUAGAAAUCCAAGAACACAUGUUAAGGCCCAACUGCAAUGGGUCUCAACAAAAACUAAAUAUACUGAAUUUCAAAUCGUGUACCUGAAUCAUUCCAGGAUGAUCUCGGAUGUUAUUCCCAGGCCAUGGAGUCCCAUCCUGCAUUGUCCACCCUUCUUCUGGGACCUUUUGUGCCUUGGCAACCAAAGCAUUGAUCCGAACUUUGAAUUCCUCAUAUUCUCUCUGUAAUCUCAAUAAAUAACAGAGUAAACACAAAAUCCUCAAGACAAGCCAAUGAAGGAUGGAGGUGAAGGACAGUAGAAUCAACUCAACUCAGUGAUUAACAACCCAUUACCUUCAUUGCUCUUCGUUCCUUCACAAAUGAAGGUAGCACCUUGUCUUUGAGGUAAUCUAUCUUCUGAGCAAAAUAAAACUCGGGUGCCCGUGGCUCAAUGUUGAACUUCUUGCAGAAAGGGACCCACUUCCUUGCAAACUCUGAUGUUUCUGACAAGGCUUCGAAUGUCAGCAUAGCAGCACCAUCAUCAGAAACAUAACAAGAGACCUUGUCAACAGGGUAAUCCACAGCAAGAAUGGAUAAAACCGUAUUCGCAGUCACCAGAGGAGGCUCUUUUAGUGGAUCAACUGUACUCACAAAUAUAUCCACCGGAGAUAGUUGAGAAGGUUGACCUUCCUUCUCAUACCUGACAAAGAAACAGACAAACAAGAAUAAGAAAGGAUUCUAAAUCAAUCCAACAGCCUGACUAUGAACUAGCAUGAACACGUGAAGUUGGCAGAGUACUCACCUCAAGGACAACCUGUCUAGAUAAGUUUCCCUGUCAAUUGGGAGCCACUUCGGGAACUGAUCAAGAAUCCAUGAAAGAGCAAACCAGACCUCACAGAUGACAGAGACUAGCCACAAUGCAUAAGCAUCAUUCACAGGAUGCAUUACUCGAUAAUGGAAGAAGAAACCAAGGACAACCAAUCGUAUUAUGAUGAUCAUUCGGUAUGGGUUGAUUUGGCUAGACGAAAUAGGCAACUUUCUUGACAAUGGCUGUCUUGCUUCAUCCAUCCUGAUUGAAGAGCAGCGAUUAUAAUUUGCAUAAUGGCAGUAAAAUCUAAGAUAGCAGAUCCAAACAAUUGAAUUAUAGAAAAAAAGAAAUAUCAAAAGAUACAAAUUAAAAGAAAUCUUUUUGCCCUUGAAGUAGCGUGUGGAAAAGAGAAUUGGCCGAGUGGAAGAUGUUGUGGGUGAUAAUCAUUCUUAGCAACUUCAUUGUGAGAAGAGAUUUUCUUACAGUGGCAGCUCUGGCCCAUCUCCAUCAUUGUCCCAAUCUUUGCCGCCAUUUUCAUUCUUCAUCAUCUGUAAUUUUUCUUGUUUCUGUUUCCAAUUCUCCAUCCUUUCCUUCCAAGCUACACUUCCGUAUCCAUAUGCAGCCAAGUCCCUGGAGGGAUCCAUGGAUCUGGGUUGCACUGCAAAACAAAAGGGAAAAAAAAAGAGGGAGAGAGAAUGAAAUGAUCCAGAUCUCGGCAAGUAAUGGGCAAACAGGUGAAAGGAGGGAAGAGUAGGGAAGUAGAGAACUAAUCCAGAAGAAUUACCUGGAAGGUUAGGAUCUGAGAAAGGAAGGGGGUGGAUUCUUUUGCCUCCACCACCCAUGAAAGAAGGGACCAAAGCAUGUUGCUCAGGAGGAAUAUCAUCAACCUGCAACAAGCAAGAUGUCAGAGAUAAAAUUAACAAGAGGAAAAGAAAAAAAGGAAGAAAAUUGAAGAGGAGAAGGAUGUACCAUUUGACCGUUGGUAAGGAGAGGAACUUGGGGCAUGGUAUGAAAGACAUGAGGAAGGUCAGAAUCAUAGGCGCGGCCAUAGGUCAUGUGGCCCUGAAGCAUUGCUUCAGCAAGAGCACCCUGCAUAUCCACUUUACCCCUCCCUUCAAAAUUGAACUCGUUGUCCACAUCGUCAAUGUCGUCUUCUUCUUCAUCACCCUCAACUCUAGCACAACCUGGCAGCGCCAGGUACCCACCGACAAAGAGGAAAUUGAGAAGUGAGAUAGAAAGAAAGAGAGCAGGAAGGAGCGGGGAAGAGGAGAGGGAUUAUGGAUUAUGAGUACCCUUGAGACGUUUAAACCUAGUCUUGCACUGGGGGCACACUUGGCUUCCUUCUCUGCGCUCGUACUCGUAGCAAGUUCUGCAAACCGGGAAGGCACAUUCAUUGCAGGCCACGAACAGCUCCCCAUCCACAUUUAGCCCAACAUCAUCUCCACAUAUCUGGCAGAUUUGUCCACUCAGCUGCUGCAACGGCUUUGGCUGCAGCAAAUCAUAAGUUCAUAACCAUUACAUUGUCUACACUUGGGAGUAUUAAUGUAAUGAAAAAUAAAAAUAACGCAGGAAGAAAACACUUAAAACAGGAGCAGAUUUGGCAGCAACUUACUCCAGAUUCACCGUCGCGACGGAUGACGACCAACUCAUUGCGGUUAUGAGAGCCAGCCACUAAACCGGCACUGGCCUCCAUUGGCCUUUCACAGAUCACUACAACUCAAUUCUGCUCCCAGAUCUGUCCCCAAAACCAAAGCCGAUCUUCAAAAAACACAGCGUCUUCUCCUCCGUCUCCCUCUGCCUGGGGCAGACCAGAAGCUUCUCUUUCUUUCUGAUUUACCAAUUGAAAGCACCUCCCUUUUCCCUUUUAUGCCUCCUUCUCUCUCUUAUCAUUCCUUGCUUCUCUACUCAAUCAACAACCAUUAAAAGCCUACCUCUCUUCACUAAAAAAGAAAAAAAUAGAUAUAAUAUAUAACUUCAAACUUCAACUUCAACUUCAACUUCCACUUCAAUAAUUUCGUUUAAUUUUCCCUUUUUUGAUUUCCAUAAAAACCAAUCUAGCUUCAAUAAUGCCAAAUGCUAAAAAGGCAAAAGAAAAUAUAAAGAAAAGAAUAAACUAAUAGGGAAAAGGGAUGGAGAAGAUGAGAGGGGGAGAGACAGUGGAGCAAUAGCAAGGUCAGUUUCUCUGCUCAUAAACUUUCUUUUUACCAUUUUCCCCCAUUUUCUUCCGCCGACACCCCCAGCCUACGUUUUCGUUUUUACAAGGGUUAAAACUUAAAAACAAGGACAGCCAACGACUACGAUAUGGCGAGUUCAAAGUUCAAACAUUCAUUAUUUCUUUUAGCAUCGAGUCAUUUUGACCUCAAGGCUCCAACAGGCCACAUAAUAAUUAAAUUAAUGAUCAACAACUGUCAUUACAAAAUCAUAAUAAUAAACAAAAGUGAUACAGGAGGAUUCAAUUAAUAAAUAUAAUUACAAGUUGAAGAUGAGGGGAAACAGCGACCAAACAACAAACAAGAGGUAAUUGGAGAAUAUUUAAGUGCAGAAAAAUAAGGGGCGGCACAUGUGGAAUUAGGCAGUCACGUCGCCAAACGGUCUGCUAGCUGUUCCCCUCCACCACACCCGACCCCACUCCGCACAUGACGCUCUCCAACUCUAUCAUCUCUCUUCUCUCCAUCCUUCGCUCCAGCUACGUAGGUUUGGUUGGGUUCUCCUUUGACUUCCUCUCUUUCCCCUCUUUCCUUGCAAUGACAAUCAGAUUCAUCCCCAUUCAUAUUAAUCAUGAUUGCCAUCUUUUGCCACACUCAUAUAUACCCUCUUAUCUGUAUCCAGUUCGCCAUUAAAAUCCACCAAUUAAGGAUUUAUUAAUCAACCUUCAGCAAAUAUCAUUCUCAUACAACCCAACCUUCUUUUCCUUACCCUUACUCAAACUAGUUAGAAUUGAAUUAUUCCUUGCAUGCAGCAAGUGAUCAUGAAAUAAAUUGAAAAUCAAGAAUAUGAAUGGAACCCAUCCCCAUACCCCAUUUUAAUCAAAUAUUUCUAAUAUUUUCCCACAAUCUCUUUCGCUCUAUAUUUGCUUGGUUAUUUUAUAUUCAACUUUGUCAUAAAUAAAAGUAAUCAGAAUUCACCAUCUGAUUUAUCCCAAGUAGUCAUUUUUCUAGCUUCCUACAUUCUUUUCAGAAAUGCAGGAAAAAGUGUUAAUAAAUUAAUGUCUAAAAUGAUACACCACUACUCGCACAAACUGUCUCAUUUCCCUUUGAAUUAGUGUAGGCAUUUUAGUAUAAAAAUUCUAUAAAAAAGAAAAAAGAAAAAGAAAGGGUGGAGAAAUGAAGAAGAUUGAAAGGGGAUGUGCAUGAGAGAUUAAAAUUUUGGGGAGUCCAACUACCAUUUGAGAUAAAAAAAAAUAAAAAAAAAAAGGAAAGGUGAAUGUGAAUAUAAUGGAGGAUUUUAGUAUUUAAGAAAUUGUGAAUGCGUAUAGGAUGUUGAUGGCAUCACUAGCUAUUUAGUCGGUGGAAAGAGGACAAGGGAACGGUUGGUGGCAUGUCCUGGAGUUUGGCCUUUGGUGGAAUCAUCUGCCCUCUCUCUAAUAUAUUCAUUUAAUCAAAUUGGUUCUCCCAUUAGGUGGAAUGGAGGUGGUCUAGGACUCUAGUGUAUUUGUCGAGUAAUUAUGGAAUGAUCAUAAUAUAUUUAUUAGAACUUGUAUGAACUAAAUGCAUUUCAAAUCUUCCCUCCUACUAGUAAACAAAAUGGUAAAAUAAAAGAAAAGAAAAUUUGUGAUAUCAGCUACUUCUUUCACAGAAUAUUAAGUUUUCUUCUAAAAACAAAACAGGGACCUAGAAAUCGGACGGCUGGAGUGGACAAGUGGUGAAAGCACCCCCUCACCUUGUUCUCAUCUUGCCUUAGCAUGUUGAAAUAGUCAACUCCAGAAUAGAAGAGUACAAAAGAGUGUGGGGAAGCGCAGUUAGAAAUAUGAUGAAAUCAUUUCGUUUUUGGCCAAAAUGGGAGUAAAAUUGAAUGAUUCAACUAAACACCCCCCUCCCCCCUCUUUUUUUUUUUUUUAUGGGUGAAGCUCCAAAAGGACACUCGUGAUUCAUUGUAUUCCUUUUUUCAAAUAUAAUGCAAUUGGCAACUGGAGAGAAAAGGCAAACAGAGGGGGUCCCGCCAGAGAAGAGUGAAGAGUGAUACAGCUCACAGCUGGGGCAUAGCCGCACAGGACGUCUGAUGCGAGAUUCCGUUGCAUGCUUGACUCACAUUGUGGACUAUUUUUUGAUGCCAUUAUGCUUUCUGCCGACACUUGCCCAUGUCUUUCAUGUCUCAAGCUCUCCUAAGUCCUAAGUCCUAAGUCCUACCCUUCCCACCCUUUCCUUGCAUACCAUUCCUUUUCUUUUUUCUAACUCAAAUUUAUUAAUUCAUCUAAUUUUCUUGAUUCAACUUAUCACCAUCACCCCCUACGAUCAGUCAUCUAUAAUAAAUUAAUAAUAUCUUAUGAAAUUUGUGUAACUGUGCAUAUAUAUAUAUUUACAGUCUGAUCAAUUAAUGUGUGACAGGUUCUUUAAUUAUUUAACCAUAUAUAUGACCUGAUUUAUAUUACAAGGUCGACACUACACUAUAAUUUAAAAUAGGAAAAAUACUGUCACCAAGAUGCGUCUGCAUUUAUUGUUAGCACUGUAUAAGCAUUUUCAUCACACUGAAUAUUACAAAAGCCCAUGGCUGCUGUAAAAUUUGAAUUUGAAGGACAUUGUUAUUUAAAAUUAGCGUAAACUACAAUUAAAUUUUGUAAUGAUUUAAAUUCAUGCAAGAAAACUUACCAAAUUGAAAAUAAACAACAACAGUGAAUGACAAGAUUGACAUAGGCUAUGUUUGGUUCCUAAAAAUUACUAAGAAAUUUUUUUUCUUAGGUUUGGUUUAUUUACAGAAAAUGUAAAAGAAAAUUAAAUAUAAUUAAAAUUAUUAAAAAUAUUUGUAUAUUUUUUAAUUAUUUAUUAUAAAAGUUAAAUACGUGAAAAAAAAAUAUUAAAAGUAAUAUAUAAAAAUAAUUUAUUAAAUUUAAAUAUAUAUAUUUUUUACUUUUCACUUUUUUUUUCUCUAUUUUAUUUCUAUCACAUUUUCCUUCCAAACAUAUAGAUAAAGAAGAGGAAAAAAGAGGAUUUGAUCCUUAUGUCUCAUAAAAUUGCAUAUAAAUAACCAAAACUUGGUAUUUUACUUAUGGUGUUUGGAGUAACUUUUCGGUAUGCGGUAGUAACUUCUCGGGUAACAAUAAUGCGGGACUACUUUGUUUAAAUUCUACAUGUAGUAAUUUAAUGUAAAAAUGCCCAAAGUUGGGAAUUUUGGUUUUCUACCUUCUCAAAAAUCCCCAGUAUACAAUUUGAAUAUUCGUUUUUCAUUGAAAAAUAAAUGUUGAAAUUUGUGGAGUGGAACCCACCUCGACCCAUAAUUCUAUUAAAUGAUGAAUAAUCCCAAAAUUAAAAAUAAAAAUCACUCUACUAUUUUGACAAGGAGACAACCAUAACAAGUGACUAGAUAUUUGGGAAACGCACAACAGAAGAGAUCAAAAAUUUGGGCCUGGGCCAUCCAUAAGGAGUUCCAUAUAAUGAUCCAAGUCUAUCUAAAAGCAGGAAAGCGAAAGGUUGGGCCUGGGCCACCCAUAAGGAUGGGCAAACACCAACACACGUUACUGGAUUGGGUCUCUUCAGCGGCCAUCAUGAUUCAUGCCGGGUCUUGGGGACCCUUAGCCCAACUCAACUCAACCUACCAAAAUGUGGACUCCGGGGUGUAUGGUUUCAAAGGUGUAAGUUGAAUAUUUUUCAUUAUCACAUAAUAAGCAAGGGGAUAGAAAAGUGUUUGAUUACAGCAGAGAAAACAAAAUAGUAUAUGGCUUGGGGAUGGAAAUUGUAGCCAUCAGUCACAUUUUGAUUUUGCAAUAGGUACAACACUAGCUGCAUUGGGUUUUGCCUGGGCCAUCAUGCUGAAAAAAGGUGGCACCUCCGCCGACAUGAGCUUGGAAGCGUAGAAUCCCCCAGCCCAACCCUGAAAACAACAGGUUGAAUUGGGUUGAGGUGACAUCCAUACAGUAACAUUAUACAUGUACAUACACCGAUAUGUUUGCCAUACACUGACAGCUUGAUGAAUUUCCAAUGGGAGGCCCGGUCAAAAAUAAGUCCAUCCCCGAGGCAAUACUGCCCUACCUAAAAAUAAAAGGCUUCCUUAUUGACUAAUUAGUUAUUGACUUAUUUCCCCUCCUAGCCCCGAAUUGGAUGCCUCGGGUUUAGGACCCACCCCCGAUUUCAAAUGCAUAUUCCAAUUGUUAUUGGAUACUUAAAAUUUCCAUAAUCCAACGUGACGCCUGAAUCUAAUCAAAUUGAAGUGUUUACAAGUAGAGGACGAAAUUGAGAAAUAGAAUGAGACGCAGAGAUGGUAUGGAAGUAGUCAUGAAUGGGAACAGUGGAAGGUAAAGAGAUGAACAAGUAGAAUAAGGCAGAUGCCUCGAAAAUUGGGAAAAAAAAAAAAAAAAAGAAGGAAAGAAAGAAAUUGGUAUAUGGGUAAGGGGAUAGAGGUAUGGUGUAGUAUGUAACGUUAUACUAAAUGCGUGUGUACAUAGAAAUCAGUCAAAUAACAUAAUAAUGUAAUCAGGGUGAAGGCAGCCCGCAGUAGUAUCUGAGUUGGUGACGGCACGCGAGCACACAUAAUUCUGAAUUUCUGAUUCGCACUUGUUCCGGAGCAGCAGCUCUGACUUUAAUGGCUUCUCCAAUCCCAACUGCAUAACCUCUUCUUCCCCCUCCCCUCUUCUCAGUUCUCACUCCCUCCAUUUCUACUAACCCUAGAAUAUUUUCCUUUUCUUUUUAUUUAUUUAUUUAUUUUAUUUCUAAAAGCACCCUCUCUCUUUUCUCUCACUUCAAUCCUUUUCACUUUUGUCUUUCCUUGUCCUUGAUUAACAUCCUUUUUAUUAAUUUAUUUCUUUAACCAAUUAAUUAAUAUUAUUAUAGAUCUCUCUCUAUCUAUCUCUGUAUGUAUGUAUCUAUCUCUUUCUCUCAAAGGGAGAGGAAAAUCUGUAUGGUGUCAGCUUGUGAUUAAGGUUCGGAUGAUAUAGAGAGAGUUGGGGGUAGGAGGAAGAAAUAUAAUGUGAAUGGUGGAGUUGGAGAGCGAGCAGUAAGCAAGUGGAGUGGAGUGGACUAGUAUGGGGUCGGAGCAAAACAGAUUCCCGCAGCAGGAACGGGAGCGCGAACGGGAACGGGUACGUGUUUCUGUCUCCCCGCAUCUUUCUCAAUUUCUAACUCCUAUUUAUGCUUUCCGAUUUGCUUAGUUUUAUGGUUGAUUCGCGGGGUUUUGCAUUUUUUAAGUUGUGAUCAGAUCCGUGGGCGUCUUCACUGCUUGAUCCUGGUUUUCCUUUUAGAGAAUGCCAAUGCUAAUGCUUGUCUUCUUCUGUCUUCAGAUCUGAUCUUUCUAUCCCGCCUCUCUGCCUGGGGGCUCCUAAGGAAAAAUCCCUAUUCUAAAACUUGUGAUAUUUCAGUCAACACUACUUGUUGUUUUGUGACCAUUACUGUCUCUUAAUGACUUCCCCUCAUAGAUAUGCAUCCGUUAGCAGAACAGGUCAGAUCUGAUGGAGAAAUGAAGGAAAACAUAGCUCUUUAUUGUUAUUAUUAUGAUUAUAAAUUGGCAAAAUCGGGUGACCCCAGUUCCUUGCCUUUUAAGGCUUUUGCUUAGUUGAGUUGUCAAAAUCAAAAUUAAACCUAAUUAAUUGGAGCUGGUCCAAAUAUUCAGUUCAAUUGUCUGUCCUAACUAUUUCCUUACAAAUUUUUGUGUCAUCUUUUGCCAAAUCCCUAAUUUUCUUUUCUUGAUGAUAUAAUUUUAUUGUUAGGAACCGAUGUUGAACAUGGUUCAAUUGUUUACCCUUCCACAAGAAUGGUAUCACUUUCGAUUUUCUUAGGGACAACAUGAAUUAGGAGCUGUAUCUCAGAAAAAAAAGAAAAAAGAAAAAAAAGGUAAAGUCAAAAAUCUGAACCUCAAAAUAGUUAUUGCUAUGGGAAUAUUGUAGGGUCUUCUGAUUUAACACCAACACCAACAGCGACUUGUUGCUUUUGGAGCCAUCUUAUCCCAAAUUGCAUUACGAACCUUAGGAUUUCCAUUUCCUUGUUACAUUUCUUCCUUUUCUUUUCCUAUGGUGAUGGGAUUCUAUUGCAACUCUUUGUUUGCAAAGAAGCCCAAUUAUGAAAGAAAGUCUCUCAGUAGCAAGUCCCCGCUAUAUGCAUUCCUUUCUGCAUCAGAAGUAUUUGGGAUCUUAUUGUGUUUCAAUUCCAUGGAUCUGCAAUUCGCAUUAGUAAUUCCUUCUAGUAGUUUUGGUAUUUUCUUUGUCAUGUAGAUACGGUCCUCAUUUUCUACAACCUCUUCAUGGCAUUGCUGUUCUUUUGCAUCCUGAUAAUGCUUAUACUUUACUAUACUUCCUUGGUUUGUCUUAUGGAAUGCAUUAUUGACUGCUUUAGACUCAUUAAACCACAAUCUUGGUCAUGGCCCAUGGACACCCUAGAGUCUUUUAGCUCUUGACUGGCAGCACUCUUGCCUGUACACCCUUUAGGAGUAUAAUGCUCAUGUGUGCAAAAUUUGAUCAUGGCCACUGAGAAUUUCUUUAAACCAAACCUGUUAAGGGCAUAGAAGUAACACUAGUUUCUCACCUCUGUGACUCUUCAAGUGUUGCAAAAUCAGAGGAAAAUGAGUUUGUCUAGUGAAUAUUAAACUGAAACAGUCAUGUGUGGAUGUCGUGGCAUAAUGCAAUGGAAAGUCUGUAUUUUCUUCAAGUCUUCCUUGAAGUGCUGAUGAUUGAUAACUGUUGGCUACUUAGUGCUGCAGCAUGUCAAUUGCAGAGAAAAUUGAAAACUGAUUGGGCUGCAUUCAUUAGGUGAUCUAGUAUGACUAUGGUUUUGAGUCACUCCCUUUCCUCCCUUGUUAGUCACAAAACCUUCCAUAAUUUCAAAAUGCUCUUUAGCCCAGAGGUCAUACCAUGAGGUGUGUGGCAUUUUCCCAAUAACUCAAGGCUUGUCUUUAUUUUUAUGUUUCCUUUGCACAGAUGCCAAAUAUAAUCCAUAUGAAUUCACUGUUGAACAUGGGAUCCUUUUUGGCCUUUGUUUUGGAAGUUAACACUCAUAUUUUAAUAUAUUUGUCACACUCAAAUUUGUCUGUAUAACUGUAUUAGUUCAAACAGUAAAAUGGUUAAAAAAUAAUUUUUAUACUCACACUCAUCUUGAAGCUAAGUAUGUCUAAUAAGUUUCUUAUGAGUUUGGCCUACUAUUUCUGUGCAUUUUUGUUAUACUGGUGUAUUUUCUAUUUUAUGUAUAACAAUAAAAUUUUAUACUUACACCUUGCGCUUUGGGCUUGUGCCUCAUGGGACUACAAAAUGCUUUGCAUUUGUUUCUCACUUUUUAAAACUUUGCUUACCUUAUUGGUAGAGUUUGCACCUCCUCUGAUGAAAGAAGAAAAAAAGCUUUAUUUUACCUCUUACCUUUUAAAACUUUUCUUACCUCAUGGGUGAAGUUGAUUUUUUGAUGACUAUUGGAUUCUGAAUUUUGGCGAUUGAAAUGGUUUUAUGCAGUGUGCCUCCUAAUAAGAAUUGAAUUACAUUUACAAUCAAUGUCAUUUAUGCAAUCAAGGAAAUGAAGCACCAAUGGUGCUAAGACAACAAAACAGGACAUACAAUAGAACACAUGCCCAGCCUUCCUAAGAAAACAUAAACUAUUUCUCCUCCAAACACUUGUGAAGUGUAAUGGGUGAGCACUAUACGUCAUUCAUGGAGAAAGUAACAUGAACUUAGCCUCGCGAGCACUGGCUGAAGUGAUGUAAUGUAAGGUUGGAAGCACCUAGCCGAUCGAAGCUUUCAUAAUUUGUGACUUGACAAUAUCUAUGAAUACAACACUGCCUCAUCUCAGUAUGCAUUUUUGUUUUAUGACUGAAGGGCAAUGAUCUGAAUGAAUGGAAUUAUAUAUACUUUUGUAUGGUUAGAAUUCAAAACCAUUUUAAUACAUGGUACAGGAUUCAUUUCUUACGUGUGCCAUUGAUCAGAUGUCAAAAAUUUUACAUCCUCAAGAAAGUAAUAGGCCUCAUGAAAUACUCAAUACAAAAAUGCAUCAUACAAAAUGUGUCUGAAAUUAACCUUUAUUAGACAUAAGAAUUUGCCUAUUUUUAUUAUUAUACUUAAAAUUAUUAACAGGCACUGUAUGUAAAAGGGAAUUUAUAUAUUUGAUUCUACUAGGCUCUGCACAUAUGUGGAUAUAUUUGUAAAAUACUAUCGUUCCCAACCAUGAGUUUAGUUUUGUUGUCUGGGAAAUUGGACAGAAUUAAUAGCAUAAAAUUACUUGGUGUACCCUUGUUGGGGGGGAUACUUGGUCAGAAGGAGUUCCAACAAGCUGAUGACUCUGUUCUUGUCCAAGGCAUGUACUGAUUCUGAUCUAAGAGCAUCAAAAUACUUGGCAACAGCAAAAAUUUAGAACUGUACUAUUCUAGUGCAUGCUUAGCCAAUGGCCAACUUGAGGUAACUAUUAAGAAUUUGGGAAUAGUGGUUUUCAAUACCUAUACUUGCUUAUGCUUGGAACUUCAUUCUAUGUUAAAUGGAGUUGUAUUGGGAAGUUCUGUUGAUGGAUAUAAUGUAUGUUCCCAUUUGAAAUACUUGAAGGCAAUCAAGAAACUUGAGACUAUUGAUUGACUUGAUUAUUUAUAUUUUAUUUGUCUCAGUGAUAGUUGAAAAUUUCGCAAAAAACAUUCAAAAUCAUUGAUUAGAGUGAGAAAAAGGGAAAAGAAAAAGUUGAGUGAAGCAGACCUUGCUUCCUGUCAGAAUUCUGAAAACUUGGUAGAUGUAAACUUUCGAAAGAAGGUUAUGAUAAAACAUGGAGAAGCUGAAAUUAUGUUGGAUAUUAAUUGGUUUCAAGAUAUCAUGGUAGGUGCAAUUUUGUGUUUCUCUUAAGACUAUAACUAGAUAAAUCCUGUCUUGUGGUUGAUAACAUUGCUUUAAAUGAUUGCCAUUAUAUUGGUACCAUAAUGGCUGUUGCAUCAAUACCAUUGGCUUUUGACACCAUCAAGGACCAAUAUAUUAGUCCCAUUAAAAUCCACAGUUUUAGUGGCCUUGCUAGUACCAUUUUUGGUUAUGAAGUGGCAGUUUUAAUAGGGGUCACAAACCCCAUUUUUCUCAUUUUCUUUGGCUCUUUCUCCCUUUGAGAGGCCUAGAACCACAUUUUGUGAAUUAGAUUUACAAAUUUAGACAUUAAAAAAAAAAAGGAGGAUUGAGGUUAGAGUCAAAGAUAAAAGUGUUUUACGGUUCAGAACUGCACUUGUCUUUUGCCCAAGUUUCUUUGUUUUUUUUUUUUUAAAAAAGAAGGAUUUAUUAUUAUUAUUAUUAUUAUUAUUAUUAAAGAUAUAGUAGUUUUGGAUUUUUUUUUGUUUGAGCUACUAUGAAAUACAACUGCUUUCAGGCCUAUGGAUACACGCACACACACACACAUCUUAAAUCCUUGACUUUUCAAUUUCCAUUGCAUUUACGAAAAGCCAAUAAUAGAUAUCAGAUCUUGCCAAAUGCGACUUAAAACCUAAUAUAAAAUUCAAUCACUUAAUAAAUCUUGCAGUGGAAUAAAACAUUCGCUAAUGAUCAUAAUGGCUCCAUGCCAGAGGUUAUCCCUCAAACACUAUGGAAAAUGAAAUGACAUGGUCCAAUUCUCAUGGGAUGUACAUUCCCUCGCUAUGCAACUUUAAUAGCACUUGAUUCCUUGGCAUCCAGCAAUUGCUUUGUGCCUCUCCCUCCCUCCAGUUUUUUGAGUCAACAAAAUAUUUUGGGUGAUUUCUUUUUCAGUAAACUCUAAAUCUGAUCCUUAGCUGCUUUCUGGAUCUUAUGCUGAAUUCAUUCCCCAUCAGGGAAGUCCUUGCAUUGGAAAUGAAAACCAGUUUUAGGAAUGCAUCAAUUUGAUUUUAUGCAUUUAUGAUUCUUAAAAUGGCUGUUGCUAGGUUAACACUUGAUCUUUUUGACAGCAGAAGAGAUGGGGAGGAUGUUGGGGUGGAUUGUCUUGUUUUGGUACACAAAAAGGUGGAAAGCGUAUUGUACCUGCAUCUCGUAUUCCAGAGGGCAAUGCAUCGGCAACCCAACCAAAUGGACCUCAAGCAGUUGGGUUGACCAACCAGACCACUGCACUGGCACCAUCUCUUCUAGCUCCUCCUUCUUCACCAGCAUCCUUCACAAAUUCUGCGCUUCCUUCAACAGCACAGUCACCCAGUUGUUUUUUGUCAAUGUCUGCCAAUUCACCUGAAGGUCCUUCAUCCACAAUGUUUGCAACUGGACCGUAUGCCCAUGAGACACAGCUGGUUUCUCCUCCUGUUUUCUCAACCUUCACAACUGAGCCAUCUACUGCCCCUCUCACUCCCCCACCAGAGUUGGCUCAUCUAACCACCCCCUCUUCCCCAGAUGUUCCUUUUGCCCAGUUCCUUUCAUCUUCCAUGGAUCUUAAAAGUGCUGGCAAGACAAAUUACAUUGCUGCCAAUGAUCUUCAAGCAACAUAUUCACUUUAUCCUGGAAGCCCUGCCAGUAGUCUCAUAUCACCUAUUUCAAGGACCUCAGGUGACUGUUUAUCAUCGUCUUUCCCUGAACGUGAGUUUCCCCCACGAUGGGAUCCUUCAAUUUCUCCCCAAAAUGCUAAAUAUCCAAGGAAUGGAUCUGGCAGGCUAUUUGGGCUGGAUACUGCUAGUUCCUCCAUCUCGCAAGAUUCAAAUUUCUUCUGCCCUGCCACAUUUGCUCAAUUUUAUUUGGAUCAUACUCAGCAGUCAUAUCCUCCAUUUCCUUCUGGUGGGAGGCUAAGUCUUUCCAGGGAAUCAGAUGUUUACUCUAGUGGUGGAAAUGGGCAUCAGAAUAGGCACAACAAGAAUUGUAAGCAAGAUGUGGAGGAAAUAGAAGCUUAUAGAGCAUCCUUUGGGUUCAGCGCAGAUGAAAUUAUCACCACUACUCAAUAUGUAGAGAUUUCUGAUGUAUUGGAGGACUCAUUUACCAUGACACCUUUUACCUCUAAUAAACCAGACAUGGAAGAAAAUGUAGUACCUGCAGUGGUACAUGAAGGACCUAAAGAUCAAACAAACUUGCUGAAUGAGGAAAGCCUUAAAUCAGAAUCAGGUCUGGUGGAUGAAGGGGGAUGCUGUGAAGGGCUUCCCUCAUGCAAAACCUUUGAAGGUGAACCAUUAUUACUUGAUCUAAAAUACAUUAUUGCUCCAUUUGAUUGUUGAAAAUCAUGGGAAAGGAAGAGGAAAAUUUGGAAUCUUACAAUAUCAACAACUUGAAAUCCAGCCUUUAAUAUGGUUCCCAAGUGAUUUAUCUUCCUGUUGUUUCUCAGCAAUCAAAAUGGGGCAUAUGCUUCAAUACAGUGUCAGAAUGGGCAUUACGUAUUCGCUGCUAUUUAUAUGGUUUCUAAUCUAUUUUGUUCCUAUCAUAUUAAUAAUUUCAAUCUUACUUGAGAAAUUCAAAACGUGAGGCACUUUAAGUCCUAUUCUCAGGUUAAGUAUUAUGUUAAGACCCUGUCUAUUCAAUAAAGAUGUUUAUGUGCUCCAUCUCACUCAGCUCCUUUUAUUCUUGCAUCUUGUUUCCUUCAGAUCAUAAAUCAGAGAGGCAAUCUGGGAAUGAGUCUGGAUCAAGUACACCUGGUAAGCAUAUUCUGACUGAUGAAGAGGAAAUAUUUCCCAAGGGGGCAUCCAAAAUUGGCAGGAAAUAUCAUCUGGGUUUAUCAAGCUCUGAUGCAGAAAUUGACUAUAGGAGAGGGAGAAGCUUGAGAGAAGGCAAAGGAGAUUUUGCGUGGCAUGACUAGUCACCAAAGCAUUGAAAAAGAUGCUGUUUGUUUCCAAUAUGUAUUAAAUUGCAGGUUUCUUCUUUCAUACAUUUCUGUUUGGGGUUUUCUGUGGUAGGUGGAAUGAUCUAACGUAUGGUCUAACCUGUGUCUCUUUCUCUCCCUCUGGCUCAGAUGUGUGACCCGAUCUCUUUCUGAUUGAUGAAUGUAUUGUCUCCAUAUUUCUAAUUCUGCCUUCUUUCCAAAUUUAAUAUGUGACGCAUUUCAUUAUAUAUUUGGUAAAUGAGGUAUUAUAUGUAGAAUUUGAUGACUUCUGUUGAACGCAUCAAGUUGGCCAUAGUAAUAAUGCUUGUAUACUCCCAACCACCCUUGCUCAUUUUCUUCCUUUUCGCAAUGGGUUGAGCCAGUAGUCCUUAAAGGGAGUGAUGUCUUUGAGAGGGGAGAAAACAUGUUCAUUUAUUUUAUGUUUAUUUUGUUUACUCGUUUGCUUUAAUUUAGUAGAAAGACAAGGAAUCUUGGUGGGAGUAGCUGGUUGCAGUAGAAACUUCUUUUCAGUAUGUUAGUCUGAAGACUUAUAGAUGUAAUGUUUCCUUCUUGGUUUAGAUGAACCUUGCAGCGCAAUGAGAAAAUCUAAAGCUGGGCUGAACCUUGCAGCACAAGAGAUUCUUCUUUAGUUCUUUAUUUUUAUUGCUUCCACUUGUGCUGUUUCACAAUGAUAAAAAAUUAUUCUUCUCAGUUGUUAAGCAUGUAUCAUUGAUAUGUCACAUUACAUAUUAUCCUCUCGAAAAUUCAUAUAUUUCUCUAAUCAUUGGUGGUGAUAAUCUCUUUUAUAGGUAAUAUCUUUCCAAUUAGACUGAUUUUUGUUUGUAAAAGUUUGUAGGUUAUAAAAGUCGAUAGAAAGCAUCACAUUUCAUUAGAAAAUUUGGUAGGGAGCAUCUGGAUUCUGGGUUUUAUAAAUAAAGCCUAGGUUUGGAUCUUAGUGCCUGAAUCUAAAGUCUUUGAUGAGAAUUAGUAUGAAGCUUAAGACAUACUAACAUUUUUCUAACUUAAAAGACCAAGGUUUUUUUUUUUUUUUUUUGUUAUUUUUAGAUAUGUAUAAUGUUUUGAGUAAUAAUAAAAUUAUGAAGAAUACUUUAAAAACUUUUAGACCAUAAAAUAUUUUCAUGAAAAUAUAUGAUAUUUUAGAGAUAGGUUAAAAAUUUGUUUCACAUUUCAGUGGUGAACAAAAAAUUUUAUUCCUAAAAACAAUUAAAAGUGGUUUUCCAAAACCAUUCUUUAAAAGCCAUUUUUAAUGACGUUCCAAACAACCCUUCUACUUCUUACCUCUUAUUAAGCUUAUGUUCCGAGCAUUUACUGUUAUUUUUUCCAUUUUUGUUAUGGACAGAGAAGUAAACAAUUGAAUGCCAUUUUGGGCAUAUAACUAAUAGAAUGCUAAACAUUGAAGGCUUAUAUGUUCAUUAAUUUGUCCAAUUAACAGUCAGUUACUUUGUGGUCAUACAGAUCAACUUGUCUUUUAUUGCCAUGGCCUGGACAUGUCAUUAGAUAUUACAGGACUCUCCUUCGAAUUACUUUGAUAUCAAACAACUACUUCUAUAAUCGAAAUAAAUAGUUGGGCUUUCAACAGGUAAAUGAUAAUUGAAGCUGACAAACACUUGCUGGUAAAAAACUUCAAGAUACCAAGGUCCUGUGAUCAAAUUACACCUCAGGGUCAGCAUUUAUAUGAAGGGGAAGACUGACCUCUCAUUUAUGGUACAUUUGCCCUUCUCAAUAAUAAUGGAACGUAAAUUACAAUAACAGUAAACAAGAGAAAUGAAGCAAAUCCAACCACUGUAUAUGGAUACGUUAAAACAGGUUGGAUAGUCACGGGUCCGAGGAGAGCUGUGAGUAGAAGCUCCAAGUGGUUAUUCUCUGCUACAAUUUCACGGUCAUACACCUGUCUCAUCAAGCUGUGCAAGAACAACUCCCCCGCCAUUACCUUCCCACUAUAGCCUAUCUGCCAAAUGUGCCAAGUUCAAUCCUUAAGCCAGGCAGAGCAUAUAAUAACAAUACAAGCCAGAGCACAAUUCCUAGUGUUUGCACAGCUAAUGAAAUGCCAAGGCUGUAUGUAAUGUUCAUAAUACAAGGGGCCAGUGGUUUGGGUGAAUUCAUAGAACACAUCUAAAUUGAAUUAAUGAAACGAAUUAAAAAGUCCAACAUUGCAGUUCGGACUCCAAACCCUGCUCUAUUGGCACCUCAUCUAACCAUCUCUUUUUCCAGAAUUAAUGAAACAACCUUGCCUUUCUCAUCAUAUCCCAUCACCAGUCAGAUUUUGUAUAGUAAACCUUUCAUCUUCACUUUAGGACAGAUAAAACAUAAAACAGAAGCCAUAAGACUCUCCAUAACUAGAAGUGAGAAUCUGAGCACAUAGUCAAGGGGUUUAAACGGAAGCUGCCUUGGCAUCUAAUAUUUGCUUCCAAGGCCCUUUCUCAGUGAAUUGCAAGAUCUAAAAGGAAAGAUGUGACAAGGCCCUUUCUCACGGCAUUUUAUUAGAAGGGCAAGUUUUUUUCAUCAUUGUUGAUUUAUAAGACUCAAGAUUUGGAGAGAAAAAAAGGUCCAAAUCAAAUGAAACAGAGAGCGCUCUAUUUUCUUUGCAUUGACCCAUGCCAACCACAAGCGUACCUCAUAAUACUGCUCGGUAUCAGAACAAUACAGCAAUCGUGUGAUCCAGGAAUGUCAUGUUGUUGGCCGUGUCAUCGUAGAUAAACCACGCCCUGCAGGAAUGACUCCCUGUAGGCCUUCAUCUGACUCUUCCUCUUCUACUGUACAGAAAAAAUCAAUUUUGUGAGAGAAGGAAUAUAAGUAUGUUAACUGAAGAGAAAAUGCUUAAAGAACCAUAACUAGUAGAGAGUAUUAAUCCUAGAAUGAUGGCACAUCAGAAAGAAAAAUCUACAGGUAAUGAUCCUGAAAAUAAAUGACGGUUUAAACUUCAAUAAUUUCAUAUUUUAUAUCAGGUGCAAAAAGCGAGUAGGACCUAAGUUAUUUUCAUUAAUACAAAGGAGUAGGAAUAAGAAGCAUCAAAUAACAAACCAAAAAUAUCACAACUAAAAAGCAGAUUGUAGAGGCAAGUUUUUACCAGAAAUUUCUUCAGCAGCCUGAGCCCCCGCAAUACCAAUACAUGAAUACAAGGAAUUUUCAUCUACCUUCAACUGUUCAUAUGCAAGGUAUAUGUCCUCAAUAGUGGCAGCUUCAUAAAGCGACGUGAGAUCUUUAAUGCAUGAUAUGUCCUGAACUCCCACACAGAGGAACAAAGGGAAUAUAUUUAUUCAGAAAUACCAAAUAUAUAUAUAUACAUGAAAAAGUGACAGAAAUGACAAAUUUUACAUUCCAAAAAAGACUGACCAUCCACAUAUUGCAAAAUGUUUGACAAUCCAUAUCAAAGUCUAAGAUCUGUUUCUUUCCAAUUAUGUGAAAAAAAACUCAAAAGAAUGUGAGCUUGAGCUUCAUGUAUUUUCACAAUUUACCUUCCUUGGAACAGUGGAAGCUUGUAAAUGAGCCAACAAUCCCAGCCAAUAGGCGUUUGCCUUGGUUUCAGCUUCAUGUCUCAUCAGCAGGGUCCGUUUUGCCUGUCAUUACAGAACAAAUGCAUUGAUAAACUUUACUACAUCAAGACAACAAUAUAAUAAGAAACAUUAGAACAGACCCACAAAGAAGACAACAAUUGCCCAGCAGACAGAUUGACUUGGAAGCUACUGAGCCAUUUUUGAUAAGCACAUAAAUUUAGAAUUACAGAAAAGGUUAUCUUCUCAUAAAAAGACUUUAUUCAUAUUUUGCUUCAGUGGAACUCUAUACCUCAAAUAUUGAAUGCUACCAAUUACAGUCCUUUAAAGCUGAAACUAACAUUAAAAGUAUUCUGAUACUUGGAAAAAAACUGACCCUGUCUAACUCCCUUUGGGCAAUCUUGCUGCUAUGCAAACCUCUAAGGACGUUCUUGCAAGCAUCAACAGCUUUAUAUACCUGGUUGUAUAUAGAUUAAAUCUGGUGAAGGGAUCAGAAAUGGAAAAUAAUAACUUUAUGCAUAUACAAGGAAACUAAACCCUCACCUUGCCUGGAGUUGAUGUUACGGAUAUCACAUACCACCCAAGCUUAAGCCUAUCAAAGAGACUUAACUCAAAAGAUACAUCAUAUGUCAAUCCAAGAGAAUCCCUGACUGUUGUAAAUAGCCUGUACAGAGACCAUGGAACAUUACACAUGUUAAGUAUUACCGAUUACAUUCACUUUAGCUUGAAAGGCUUUUUAAUAGAACUAUCGUUGCAAUAUCAGGGGCAAAUCUAUAGAGUAAUAAUUAUAGUCUUGUUUGGAAUAGCAUUUUAACUUUUGUAUUUAAUAGGAUAAAAAACAGAAGUAGAAGUGAUUGUUUACCCACUUCUUUAAAACACGGAUAAAUUAUAUUUGAAAGCAUGGAGCCCAUGGUUGAGAAUUCUAUCCACACACUCUUGCAAGUUGUGUUUGACCUUCAAACGUUGGUUUUAACAUUUGAGAAACUCUCCCAAACAGGGCUUAUAAUCUAUAUACUGGAUCAACAGGCCAUGUGUAAGUAAUGAUGAUGUUACCGCUAGCAUGCCUAUGAAAUAAAUGAACUGCAUUGAUUAAUGAAAUUGAAAAGGCUACAAUAUUUACGAGGAAAAUGCACUCAACCAGAUUUCAGAAUUGGCUAUUAUUAUCCAUGAAGUAGUUAUGGGCCACUCUAGUUGGGAAUCAAGCUGUACAAUAUGACUUAGAUUCUAACAAUAUAGCAUUCAGAUUUUAAUGAACAUAUUAACACAUAAACAUGUUUGCACAUCAAUACUAUGUAACUAGAUGCAGCUGAGCAGGUCGAGUUACCUAGAGUUUAUGAUCUCGGCCAACAGCCCCAUUGUGAUGCCAAAGAAAAGUGGAUGAUUGCGGAGUUUUCUUUGAAGAUCCUUUCUGCAAUCCUUCAUCUCUGAGAGUGACUCAGAUUGUGGCUCUUCAUCUACAAAGUCACCACCAGCUUUAACACAUCUGUGGUACUAUUAUUGAAAUCUAAUUCAUGUUCCCUAAGCCUAUAACCUCUUAAUUUACAGUUCACAGGUAACCACAGAAAAAAAGAAAAAAAAGAACACCAACAUUCAAGAACCAACACCAAAUAUUUGAACAGAUGCAAACAGAGGAGCUAAAUCAUAGUUCAACAGAGAACAUGGACUUAAAAAUUUCUAAGAAUGGAAUUAAAACUACAUGGAAACUUAAGAAAAAAUCAAUAUGAAUGCUAAAAAUAAUUGCACUGUAAACCAAAAUGUGAACUUUUGAAUAAUUAGAUAAUUGUGCAAAUUUAGAUAGUUUUAAAGGGAUGGUUGAAGCUAUCGGACAAUAUGGUCCAAAUAUGAAACCUCCAAGUUAUCAUGAAUUAAGAGUUCCAAUCCUUCAUAAAGAAGUGGAGUACACAAAAAAUUCAUUGAAAGAUCAUAAUGUUGCAUGGAUGAAGUAUGGAGUUUCUAUUAUGUCUGAUGGGUGGACAGAUAGAAGAAAUCGAACCUUGAUGAAUUUUUUGGUAAAUUGUCUAGUUGGAACAAUGCUUAUGGAGUCCAUUGAUGCCUAGUUCAUUCAUGAAAACUGGGGAGAAGAUAUUUGAAUUAUUAGACAAAUUUGUGGAGUGCAUUGGGGAGAAGAAUGUUGUUCAAGUAAUAACUGACAAUGGAUCUAACUAUGUAUUGGCAGGUAAGAUUUUAUUUGAUGUUCUUUAGGAUUUAUUUGUACCAUUUGAAUUGAAACAUUAUAUUAUGAAUUUAAGAUAUUAUUAAUCAUUUUUAUUAAUUAUGGUUUUUAUGAUUUUGACUUUAUAUAGGAAAGUUCAUUGAGGCAAAACGAUCACAUUUGUAUUGGACACCCUGUGCAGCUCAUUGCAUAGACCUCAUUUUAGAAGAUAUUGGGAAACUUCCUACAAUUAAGAGGACUUUGACUAAAGCCAUCGCAUUGAAUGGGUUCAUCUACAAUCAUGUGGGAGUGCUAAAUAUGAUGAGAGAGUUCACUAAGCAAAGAGAAUUGGUUCGGCUAGGCAUAACUCGAUUUGCAACAUGUUUUCUUACCCUACAAAUUAUCAAUAUGCAAAAGUGUAAUUUGAGAUUGAUGUUCACUUUUGACAAGUAGUUAGCUAGUAAAUGGGCAAAGGAAGCAAAGGGAAAACAAGUCUCAGAAAUAGUUUUGAUGCCUUCAUUUUGGAAUCAUGUUGUCUAUAUUCUUAAGGUGAUGGGUCCUCUUGUUAAAGUUCUUCAACUUGUUGACAAUGAAAGAAAACCAACUAUGGGGUACAUAUAUGAAGCUAGGAUAGAUGUAAAGAGACUAUCAAAAAGUCAUUUCACGAGAAUGAGGAUAAGUACAAGGAGAUCUUCUCUAUCAUUGAUAAGAGAUGGGAAUGUCAACUCCAUCAUCCCUUGCAUGCAACAGGUCACUUCUUAACCCAUAAUUUUUCUAGGACAACCCUCGUGUGGAGUCUGAUGAAGAAGUGACAUCAGGAUUAUAUUUUUGUAUAGAUAGAUUAGUUUCUGACAUUGAUGUGCAAGAUAAGAUCAUUCGUGAGUUGUCGACUUAUAAGAAUGCAAAAGGUCUCUUUGAUAUUCCAAUAGCCAUUAGAUCAAAGAAGACGCUAGCUCCAAGUAUAAACUAUAAAGUAAUUUAAGAAAGCUAUUACAUUACUUAUUUUGUUAACUGUUAGAUAGUGUACAGUUAUUUCAGUUAUUUACUUUUCCUUGUUUUCCUUAUUGUAUUGUGGGUCCCACUAGCAUGUAUAUAUAUACCCAAGUCCAAUGUGUAUUAUUAUCAGUUUUAAUAACAAAAAUUAGGGAUUCUCCCUUUUCUCUCUUUUCACAUGGUAUCAGAGCCAAGGGAGAAAAAAAAAUACCCUAAUUAUUUUCGGUUUAUCCGUGAUUUAAUUCUAGGAAACCUUUCAAUGACCGUGUUUCAUUCCGGUCACCUUCCCCAUCUCCUAAAGCUUUCCAGUCAACCGUAUCGCUGUCAGAAAACCCUCACCGCCGGCGACUUUUCUGGCAACUCUUUCUGGCGAAGUCCUUUUCCACACCGACCAUACCAUCAGGUGUGCAAGGAGGAGUUCUUCAAGUUUUGUCAAAGCACCGGAGGGAGAUUCUCAGUCACGCGCCGGCUCCGGCGGCCUGAACCUCACGUGCCAACGCAUGAGGGUGCGUGGAACACUUUCCGACAACACACUUCCACCUCCAGCCUCGCCUGACGCCGUCUAGCCACUCUCCAUCUAUGCUUGUGCCAUUCGAGCCUUGCAAGUACAUUUUUUUUGGGUUUUUUGUCUUCGCCGACCCUCUAAACAGCCUUUUUGGCAACCUCCGGUGACUUCCUCUCCACUCUAGCCCUGCACGUGUCUUAGGAAGUGUUCUUCUACCCUUCCAGUAUUGCCACAUUUGUUUUUCUUUACUAUUUGGUCUCUCACAACCGCGGAUCCUCGGUUUUUCUUCUUUCAGCCGCGAUUUGAAGCCGUAUUAGGGCUCUCUUCGAUCCAAACAUAUUUCGUUCUCCAGAUAAGUAGAUAUGGCUACUAAAAGUUUCAUUUUUUCCUUUGUUAUAUCUGAAUCUCCUAUGAUUACUUCGGAGAAAUUGGUUGGCAGUGAAAAUUAUUUGUCCUGGUCUGCCUCUGUGGAGUUUUGGUUUAUGGGUCAAGGUUAUGAGGAUCACUUUGUUAUGCAGGAGGCGGAUAUCCCCGAGGUUGACAGAGUACAAUGGAGGAAGAUAGAUGCAUAGUUAUGUAGUGUGUUAUGGCAAUCAGUUGAUCCUAAGAUUCGGCUUCAUCUUCGAGCCUACAAAACAUGCUUUAAAUUUUGGAAUCAGGCGAAAGGGCUAUACACAAAUGAUAUCCAACGUCUUUAUAAGGUGGCUUCUUCUACUGUCAAUGUCAGACAACAAGACAUGGAUUUAUCUACUUAUAUUGGCCAGAUUGCCUCUCUUAAAGAGGAAUUCUUGACCGUGAUGCCUCUUACUACUGAUGUUGGGGAUCAACGAACACAGAUUGACAAAUUCUUCAUGGUUCUUACCCUUAUUGGCCUCCGACCAAAUCUUGAGACCGUCCGCGAUCAUAUUCUUGGCAGUUCCUCCAUUCCAUCCUUGGAUGAUGUGUUUGUUUGCCUCCUCCGUAUCUCCUCCAUUCAGACUUUGGCAUCUGAUAACACUUCAGAUUCUUCUGUGUUAGUUUAUCAAACUAACUCUCAAGGAGGACGCAGUGGUAACCGAGGUAGAGGCCAACGUCCUCAUUGCACCUAUUGCAAUAAGCUUGGCCACACUCGUGAUCGGUGUUAUCAGUUACAUGGGCGGCCUCCCCACACUGCCCACGUGGCCCAGUCAUCUAAUCCUCAACCGCCUCAGCCUUUAAGCUCCUCCACAUCUCAAGGUAUUUCCCUCACUGACAGUGAGUAUGAUGACUAUUUCCGCUAUCAGGCCACCAAGUCAGCUUCUGUUACUUCUGUUGCCCAGACUGGUAAUGCUUCUGCUUGUCUUACCUACACAUCUUCUCUUGGACCUUGAAUUCUAGAUUCUGGCGCUUCUGAUCACAUAUCUGGUAAUAAGGAUCUUUUCUCUUCUAUUACUACUACCUCUGUCUUACCUACUAUUACCUUAGUUAAUGGCUCUCAAAUUGUGGCUAAAGGCAUUGGUUUGGCAUAUCCUCUCCCUUCUCUACCUCACUUUUGUCCUUUAUACUCCUGAGUGUUCCUUUAAUCUUAUCUCCAUUAGCAAAAUCACUCGUACUCUUAACUGCUCUAUUACUUUCCUGAUAAAUUUGUGACCUUGCAGGACCGGAGUACGGGGAAGACGAUUGGCAUAGGACUCAAGGCCUUUAUCACCUCACCUCCCCUUCAACUCCUGCUGUUUGCAUUUCCACUGAUGCUCCCCUCCUCAUCCACAGUCGCCUAGGCCACCUUAGUCUAUCCAAAUUCCAGAAAAUGGUCCCUCAUUUUUCAUCUUUGUCGUCGCUUGCGUGUGAGUCCUGUCAGCUUGGGAAACAUACUCGUGUCUCGUUCCCAAAGCAUUUGAAUAAUCGGGCAUAGUCUCCUUUUGAACUUGUCUACACUGAUGUUUGGGGUUCUUGUCGGACCGUGUCUACUUUAGGAUUUCAGUAUUUUGUCACUUUCAUUGAUGGUCAUUCUCGAUGUACUUGGUUAUUUUUAAUGAAAAAUCGAGCUAAGUUAUUCUCUAUUUUCCAGAAAUUUUAUACUGAAAUCCAAACCCAAUUCAAUAUUUCUAUUCAUGUGUUACGCAGUGACAAUAUCAAGGAAUAUUUUUCUGCACCAUUUACUUCAUUUAUGUCCCAACAUGGGAUCCUUCAUCAGUCUUCUUGUACUCAUACUCCUCAACAAAAUGGGGUAGCUGAACGUAAGAAUCGACAUCUUGUUGAGACAACUCGUACUCUCCUUCUCCAUAGUAAUGUUUCUUUUCGUUUUCAGGGGGACGCUGCUCUUACAACAUGUUAUUUGAUUAAUCGUAUGCCAUCAUCUGUAUUACACGAUCAGGUUCCUCAUUCCCUUCUUUUCCUUGACCAAACACUUUAUUUCCUUCCUCCUCGUGUUUUUUGUUGUACUUGCUUUGUUCAUAUUCUCACUCUUGGACAAGACAAACUUUCUACCAAAGCCACAAAAUGCAUCUUCUUGGGAUACUCCAGACUUCAAAAGGGUUACCGUUGUUAUUCCUCUGAGACUCAUCGCUACUUUCUCUCCGCUGAUGCCACCUUCUUUGAUGACUCACUAUUCUUCUCCACGUCUGAGUCUCUUCCUGUUUCUGAAGUCUUACCCCUUCCCAUUAUCUCCCCACCUAAUGUAGUGCCUUCUUGCCCACUUCAGGUUUAUCAUCGCCGUCAUCGUGUCGUUGUUCCUCCUUCUUUGGCCGAGGUACCUGCUGACUCACUUCCUAUCCCUUCGACUUCUCCUGCCCCGGCUCUGCCUCCUUUUGCUGACUUACCCAUUGCCCUUCGGAAAGGUAAUCGAUCUACUCGUAAUCCUCAUCCCAUUUACAAUUUUUUGAGUUACCAUCAAUUAUCUUUACCCUAUUCUGCAUAUGUUUCUGUCAUAUCUUCUGUUUCUCUUCCUAAGAGCACCCCUGAGGCUCUUUCCCAUCCAGGUUGGCGACAGGCGAUGGUAGAUGAAAUGACUGCUUUACACUCCAAUGGCACUUGGGAUCUUGUUGUUUUACCCUCUGGUAAAUCUACAGUUGGUUGUCGUUGGGUCUACACAGUUAAGGUUGGCCUUGAUGGUCAGGUUGAUCGCCUUAAGGUCCGCUUAGUUGCUAAAGGCUAUACUUAGGUUUAUGGUUUUGAUUAUGGUGACACUUUCUCUCCUGUUGCCAAGAUAGCUUCCGUUCGUCUAUUGCUCUCCAUGGCUGCUAUGCGUUCUUGGCCUCUUUAUCAGUUAGGUAUUAAAAAUGCUUUCCUUCAUGGGGAUCUUGCUAAGAAAGUUUAUAUGGAGCAACCACCUGGUUUUGUUGCUCAGGGGGAGUCUGGUUAAGUGUGCAGGUUACGCCAUUCUCUAUAUGGCUUGAAACAAUCUCCUCGAGCAUGGUUUAGCCGUUUUAGUUCUGUUGUUCAGGAGUUUGGCAUGUUUCGCAGUACAACAGACCAUUCCGUUUUCUAUCAUCAUAACUCUUCGGGGCAGUGUAUUUAUCUGGUAGUUUAUGUGGACGACAUCGUCAUUACAGGCAGUGAUCAGAAUGGUAUUCAGAAACUAAAGCAACACCUCUUCACCCACUUUCAGACUAAAGACUUGGGGAAACUCAAGUAUUUCUUAGGGAUUGAGAUAGCUAAAUCCAGUUCCGGUGUGGUUUUUUCCCAAAGGAAGUAUGCUUUAGACAUCUUGGAAAAAACCGGUAUGUUAGACUGUAAAUCGGCAGACACUCCUAUGGAUCCAAAUGUCAAACUUAUACCAGGACAGGGGGAGCCUUUAGGAGAUCUUGGGAGAUAUCGGCGACUUAUAGGUAAACCGAACUACCUCACCAUUACUCGUCCAGACAUUUCUUUUCCUAUAAGUGUUGUUAGUCAUUUCCUACAGUCACCAUGUGAUAACCAUUGGGAUGCUAUAAUCCGCAUUCUUCGAUAUAUCAAAAGCACACCAGGUCAAGGUGUGUUGUACGAGAACAAAGGUCAUACCCAGGUUGUUGGUUACAUAGAUGCAGAUUGGGUUGGCUCACCCAUAGAUAGACGUUCCACUUCCGGGUAUUGUGUUUUUAUUGGAGGUAACCUAAUAUCAUGGAAGAGUAAGAAACAAGAUGUAGUGGCCAGAUCUAGUGUUGAAGCCGAGUAUCGAGCUAUGGCUCUGGCAACAUGUGAACUCGUAUGGCUGAAACAUCUUCUUCGGGAGUUGAGAUUUGGAAAGGAUAAACAGAUGAAGCUCAUCUGUGACAACCAAGCCACUUUGCAUAUUGCAUCUAAUCCAGUCUUCCAUGAAAGGACCAAACACAUUGAAGUUGACUGUCACUUCAUUAGAGAGAAGAUCGCAUCACGAUGUGUGGCGACUAGUUUUGUCAAUUCAAAUGAUCAACUAGCAGAUAUUUUUACUAAAUCUCUCAGAGGUACUAGAAUUAAAUACAUUUGUGACAAGCUUGGUGCAUAUAACAUAUAUGCUCCAGCUUGAGGGGGAGUGUUAGAUAGUAUACAGUUAUUUCAGUUAUUUACUUUUCCCUGUUUUCCUUAUUGUAUUGUGGGUCCCACUAGCAUGUAUAUAUAUACCCAAGUCCAAUGUGUAUUAUUAUCAGUUUUAAUAACAAAAAUUAGGGAUUCUCCCUUUUCUCUCUUUUCACAUUAGCUAUUAGAUCAAAUAUUACUUGCUAGUCUACUAAUUUUUUGUUUACAUUUGAAACAUUAUAGCUGAAUGGUGGAAACUAUAUGGCAACACAACCCCAAAUUUACAACAACUAGCCAUAAAGAUUCUUAGCUUGACUUGUAGUGCAUCGCAUUGUGAACGUAAUUGAAGUGUGUUUGAGCAAGUUAAGUAACUUAAGUUGUUAUAACUAAUAUGGCUUGUGGUAACAUUUACUAAUAAAUGUUUAUAGAUUCAUACCAAGAAAAGGAACAAACUAGAGCAAAAACAACUAAAUUACUUGGUGUUUGUUAAAUACAAACAAGAUCUUAAAGCACGAUAUGAUAGAUACAACGUCAUUGACCCCAUCUCAUUAGUAGAUAUUGAUGGAAGUAACGAGUGGUUGAUUGGACAAAUAAGUGAAGAAGACACCACCAUUCAUGCAGAGGAUGACUUGGUUUUUGAGGAUCAUAGCUUGACAUGGUGUGUAGUGGCAAGUGUAUCAAGUGUUAAGAUGCAAAUAUUUCCACUAGACUUCAACCAAGAUCAAAGACAAAUUUAAAGGGGGAUUUAGUGGCUUCUACUUCACAACCUGAUUUUGAAGAGAAAGAGAGCAAUUUAGAGGACAUUGAAGAGGAUGAUAAUGAGAUGGAGGGAUACCAAUCUAGUCUUGAUGGAAGUGACGACAAUUUUAAUUUAAAUGAUGACUACAACGAUGAUGCUUAAAGCUUCUUUAAGACAUUCAUUAUCUUAUUUUGUUUCUUAUUUUAAUUUUUGAAUGUUUGGAACAUUAAUAUAAGCAUAUGGACAUGAUGAAUUUAUCUAAAUAGUAUGACUUUUCUUAUGAUUUAGGGUAUUAUAUUUAACACUUUGAAUGAUUAUUACUAUUUUCUUAAUUUUAUAAGGCAUCACAGGGGAUGAAAAUUUAGUAGCAUUGAAUAUUGAAGAAUAUUUAUAUUGGUUGAGUAUAGAAUAGGUAAAAUAGUAAAUAUAUAUACUAUUUUAUCGCCUUCUUAUAGUUAGGCAAUCGCCUUAAUUUUCGCCUUUUGCCUCAAGCUAAAAGGUAUCCUAUCGUCUUGGCAUCGCCUUUUGCCUUUGACAAUACUGCUCAAAAGUCAAAUUCCCUUCCCACUCACUAGCAUCAAUGUUUGUAAGAAUGUUCUUCUUUUUCUCCUUUAAAUCUCUGAAGGACGCCUUAUUACAUUCUUUUAGCUUUGACUUGACAAAUUGUAGCUUCUUCAUGAAGUUAUGACCUUCCUAUCCAUUACCCUCACUCUCUCCACCCACAAUCGAAUCUUUUCCUGAAAUUAGGGUGGACCAACCACAUAUUCUCAAAUCUUAAUGGAGUCGAAUCCCACUUAAAAGGAUUGGUGUCUAGGACGAUCAAACAAUCUCCCACUAAUUUGUAUAUAAAAAAUCUAUCCAAACUCUCGCAAAUAAGGAUUUCUUGUAUAUUUAAACAAGUGAAAGAUGCAUUUCUAAGAGGAGGGUCAAUUAAUUCACUUUCCCUUAUGAAUCCAUCAAAAUCCCUCAUGCUAAGAGCUACGGAUACACACAAUUUUUCAAAGAUUCUUCUUAUGACGUUAAAUCCAGCUAACACACCAUUUUAGAAAAGUUAGAUUAAAAAGGUCUUAUAUCUUCAUCCAAAAUUCCUUCCCUAGUUUGGAAUUAUUAGGGCCAUAAGCCGAAGUAUAAGCCAAAAUGUUCCCUCUUCAUCUAAGUUAGCUGAAUUGUUACUAAAAAGCAUCCAAGUCCCACCUCUAAACAAUUGAACUCGUUUGAGUCCCAAAUAAUCCCAACCCCUCCUGAUGCCCCACACACCAAAAGGACAACUCACUCUUUAUUCCUUUUUCUUUUAUAGACAACAAAAUCAUCUAUUAAGAAGUACCUAAAAAGAAGGGUGCGCCCUACGUAUAUAUUCAAUAUACGCUCUUUAUUUCUAGCUUACCAUACACUACCCACAAAUCUCCUAUCCCAUGACUCCCUCUUUGUUUCCUAAAGCAUCCUGAUGUUUUAAUUUUCAUGGCAAAGAAAAUCCUUAACAAUCCUUCUUUUCUUCUUAGAACCCAAACCUCUAAUAUUUCAGCUAAUGAUCUUCAUACGAUACUCUAAAGGGCCCAAAAACCUUAAAAUCAGAACCUAGGAAUCACUCAAAACUCCUUAUACAGGUCUGAACUUCCUCAUAAUAUAAACCUUACCCAAAUAACAUGCCCUGCUAUUUGCCUUAGGAAGUUAUUCUCACUACAUUUGACCAUCUGGAUGUUCUUAAUUGCCAAAACAGACUGAACUCUGGCCAUAUUAUUAGGUGGAAGACCCUUUAUGUGAAAGCCUUCUACUGAGGAGGGGAGUGGUUCUAAAGGUUGACCUCUAACUGGGGAUCGAGUCUCAGUACAGCUAUUAGGUGGUGACCUAUGGAAAGAUGCUCCCUUUAACUCUUGGCUAGGAUAAGUAGGGAACUCCACACCUUUGAAAUUGGGAUUGCCAACAUUAGAGACAGACUUUGAAACAAGGCCAGUUGAGGUCAUGACCCCAGAAAGGAGAGCUAGGAAUGGAAACAGAAGGUAGAGAUAAAAAAAGGUUUGAGACUGCAGAACUGGUGACAAUAAGAGAGGAGGCAAAUCAAAAGCCCCAUCUAAACUUUGAACCUUUGCAUUGAUUUGUGAAUUAGAAUGAAAUAUAUGGAUUGGAAGACCACAAUGAUCUGUUCAAUUUUUUUUUUUUGAUAGGUAAGUAAAGAUUGGAUUAUAAACAAAAGAAAAGGCAUGAAGGUAUACAUGAUGUAUACAAAGUAGCCAAAAGGCCAAAAAAAAAAAAAAUUGGCUCUUUGCCCAAAAACCAGCAACCACGCCCUAUAUAGAGCCUAACCAAUCCACAAAGUUUAUCAACAAGUAAUGAUCCCCAAUAGACACUCUAACCUAAUCCCAAAAGAGAUGCAAGAAGGAAUGUUUAAUUGUUUGGUCUAUGAUUUUGUAACUAUCCAAAGCUAUCCUAUUUCUCUCCCUCCAAAUGAUUGAAAACAAGCACAAUAGAGCAGCCUUCCAAAACUUUUUUUCUCUUCUUUCUUACAAAAAAACCUAUGUCAUCUUAAAAGAACACCCUUAACCGAAGAGUGCAUCACCCACAGCUUACCAAAAAGACGAUAAAUCAACUGCUACAAAAGGCCUGCUUUCAAACAAUGAAGAAGAAUAUGGUCAAUCGUUUCUUCUUCUUUUUUGCAUAUAUAGAAUCUGUUAGAAAUCUUCCAACCCUUUUGAGCUAAUUUAUGGUUAGAAUCCUACCUUAAGUUGCUUCCUAAGCAAACAAGUUAAUUUUCAAUGGAAUGCAGGAAUUCCAUACUAAGCCAUAGGGAAGCAACCCCAUACUCUUAUUUGACAAAGAGGAAUAGAAUAACUUAACUAAAAAGCUACCAUUCUUCACAAACAACCAGACCAAAUUAUCUUCAGUGUUCAUUAUAAUGGAAUGCUCAUGCAACCAAGAAUCCUACCUUCCUUUCGAACUAAUCUACAGUUAGAAUUUUGACCCAAGUUGCUUCCCAAGCAAACAAGCUAAUUCUCAAUGGCAAUCAGGAAUUCCAUACCAUGCCAUAGGGAAAUGACACCAUUUCAAAAACUAUUCUACCCUUGAAAGCAUCCCAACCACCCCUGAUCGCCUUCCACACUCCCACUCCAUAACCCUCCCUUGCCUCUCUUGAACACCAAGCACCUUCUUCUUGCCUAUACUUCCUUACAAUUUCCCAUUUCCAAAGAAGAUUUCUUUCACUCACAAAUCUACAACACCAUUUUCCCCAUAAGAGCCUUACUAAGGAUGGAUAAAUUUAUGAUGCCCAAACCCCCUCUCUCCUCUUCCAUGCAAGCAAUAGACCAAUUCACCAUAUGCGGCUUACGUUCCAAGGCUCCCCCUCCACAAAGAAAAUCUUCUUGAAUCUUUUCCAGUCCAUCUCUUCAAUAUUGAAAACCACUAUUUUUAUUGCUCUUAUUAUUUGUGAUGAUGGGUUGAUCUCCAUUUUAAGUUGACAUGGAAAAAUUUAAUACAAAAACUAACUACAAAGGAACCACAUCUAAUAAAGAUUAUGGUCCUAAUCUAGUUGCUUCAAUUAAAAAUUCUACCUUUUUCAACAAUUUUCAACAUAGUAUUUUCUAAUCAUUCAUUGAAACAAUACUAGCUACAGGAUUAGUAUCCUUUUAUUAUUGCUGUCUAGGAAGUAGCAAAUGUAGGAAGUUAGUCAGUCCUGUUUUUUGCCUAACAUUCAUCAAAACCUCUUGCUGAAUAACCACUAGGGAAGGAUACUCUUAGGAAGAUGAAGGUUGAAAAGUUUGAAGUGGAGAAAAAGUCUUUCCAGGUAAAGUUUGAAAGAUCGAAUGGGGGGACUUGGAUAUCAGUAACAGAAAGGAGCCGAGGUUUUGUUGUCUCAAUAGGAUUUGGAAAGGAGGAGUUGGAUUGGUUGACGGAGCAUUUGAACAAAGUUGUGGAGUUGGAGGCUUCCAGAGGAUUUAUACGAAAGAUUAGGGGCAAGACUAGGACUCACUUGAUGGAGAUUUGUUUCAAUAGUAGAGGGCGUUUCAUGAAAAUUACAGAAAUUGUUACAAAAAGGAAACCAUUAAUCCUUGUCGUUCCCGAGGGUGUUAAAGGCAAUGGGUGGGAAGACCUUAAGAAAGCGAUAUCUUCAGUGCAAGAUUAUUCUGAUCAAGCUGAAGGAGCUUCGAAUGAGACGUUUAGAGAUGCUCAGGUGAGUAAGGGCAUUUACAAAGGUUACCGAUCAUACGUAGAAGUGGUCGUAGAGGAUGGACAUAGAAAUGGAGUUCUGUUGUCAGUUGGAAAAUGGGUCAGAGUUGUAAUUUGUGAAUGCAAAGAAAAAGUUCAAGAUUGGACUCACGAAGGAAAAGUUAUUGCAAGGAUGAUGGGUACGAAAGGAAUGGUGUCUAUAACUCUCAUUUCCGCUUUCAAGGGGUGUUUCUUUGUGGGUUCAGCAAGGAGAGCUGAAUGGUUCCAAGAGCAGGGAAGAUUAUUAGUGAAAGAAAGGUCUAUUCUCCUGAGGAGAUGGUCGCCAAGUGAAAAUAUGGUUGUUUUCGGAAAAUUCAGAAGGGGCUGGCUAGAAUUGAAAGGUCUUCUUUUUCACUUGUGGGAUGAAGAUCAGCUGAAAUUCAUUAUGAAGAAGGUGGGGGGGGGGGGGGGGGGGUAACGAAGGUGGCAAAGGAAUCAUUGAAGCUUGCAGACUUGUCGAAGGUGAAGCUAUAGGUGGAAAUGCUUCCAAAUGUCGUGCUACCAGCGUUGCUAGAGGUGGAAGAUGGGGCCUGGACAUUCACAGUUGCAGUUUCAAUCACCGGAGAAGUUGAUGAAGACGACAUUUCCACGUCUGAGUCAACCCGUAGCAGGGACAAGUUGUUGAAAGCGGGAGGUUGCGUCUCUCAAUGGUCAAAAAAUGCAGAGGGGCUACGUUGUAGCAUUAGGGAUAAUGAGUGCUACAGUAGGAGGCUUCUUCCCUAGUCACGCUAUCGGUAUCAAGUACAAAAUUGGCGGCCAAAAGAGAGAAUGGCUGGGGAGGGAGUCUUCUAGGCCCAGCGAAAGUAAUCUUCAAUGGGCCCACUACGCUUGAGCCCUUGUUUAAAGCCCAAUCUGUUAGGGCCCAGAGUGGGACAAAAAAUCGUGGGCUUCAUGCUGGCCCAAUUGUUUCUCAAGCCCACGAGACUGUAGCGCUAUCGUCUUCAACACUCCAGCGAGAUGGUUCUUCUGCAAAGGCGGUCCCGCUGUUUUGCACACUCUCAAGGUCCAGUCGAAGUGAGGGCCGGCGUCGAGGCUUUCUCUAGAGAGUAUGGUCGGGCCUUUGAGAUAAAGGCCCAGUCUCUUCCCAACCCUAGCCCACCUUCAGACGCUAUUGUGGGUUGUAACUUAAAAGGCCUGUCAGGGUUGGGCCAAAGUUUAGGAGGAACGAUGUCCUCUGGUAAGAAAGGUCGGUCUCGAAGGGAAAAAGAUGUUGCAGUGAGAAAGGGGAAAGCUCCCAUGGUUCAGACGAGAGGCUCUACGCAGAAGGAAGAGAAGGUAGUUUCAAAGAAGAUGUGGACCACCCUCUUCCCUCCAAGUUUUGAUCGCCGACAAGGACUUCGGAGUCGCAUCGAGCCUCUUUUCCUCAGGAAAUCUUUGUCGUUUAGCGAAGUUCGCAAUUUGGAAGAGGAUUUCGGGACGGGAUCUCAGAUGGAACGAGGAUUCAGAGCGAGUCCUCUCUUUCGUUGUCAUUUGUCAAGGAAUCAAAAGUGGUGUUCGGGGGAAGGGACCUCGUCGUCAAGAGGUGAAGCGGAUCCGCGCAAUCCCCAUUUCGAAGAAGACAAAGAAGGUUUUUUGGGUCGAGUGGGGUCCGAUUUUCGUGGUUCAUCAGUCACAGAUUUACCUUCUAAUCCAGAAAUCAGAGGUAAAGGGCUCAUCUUUGAGGGGAUUUGCGAAAUUCCCGGAGUGGAAAACAUGGAGGUAUGUCUGUCUUCUCCUUCUCAGCCACCCGAGUCUUCUUCUAUCUCUUCUUGUAGUCUGGCACUUCCUUUGCCGAGUCCCUCUGGUCCAGAUCUCCCUAGUUUAAUCUCUCUUUCUCAGUCUCCUACGAAAAAUCAAGUAAUUCCUGAAAUUUUUUCUAGAAAAGACAUUGUUGGCUCUUUUUAUCAAAAUUAUGUUGGCAUUCCUAUCCGUGAUGAGGAGGAGAACUAGUUUGCUUUAUCAAACCAGUUGUCCGAGUGUUUUACCCCCAGUAAGUCUAAACCCAACUCACCUAAGAAGGUUUCCAACAUGGUUACAGGUAGCCAUGGGGAUACUGUGGCAUCCCCAUCGGGCGAGUUCCUUAUAGAUGGCCUGUCCCCCAGGAAACUGGCUAAAGUGCGAGAGGUUUUAUGCUCUUUGGAUAUUAAGGUUUAUUCCAGGAAGAAGAACAAUUGCUCCACAAGUAAUUGAGACCUGAUGGAUUUGGUUUGGCGGGUUAGGGUCUGUGAGUUUCUCCAUGAAAAUUAUCAGUUGGAACACCAGGGGUUUGGGUUCAAGGAAUAAGAGAAGAGUGGUUAAAGAUUUUCUAAGGUCAGAGAAUUCAAAUGUUGUGAUGAUUCAGGAAACAAAAAAGGAAAAGUGUGACAAAAGGUUUGUAGGUAGUGUCUGGACGGUCAGAAAUAAGGAAUGGGUGGCUCUUCCGGCGUGCAGGACUUCAGGUGGGAUUUUGAUCAUUUGGGACUCAAAAAAGCUACGUAGUGAGGAGGUGGUGAUAGGAUCCUUCUCGGUCUCAGUCAAGUUUGCUUUGGACGGUUGCAGACCUCUUUGGAUAUCUGCAGUUUAUGGCCCAAACAACCCCUCACUUAGGAAGGAUUUUUGGGUGGAACUUUUUGACAUUUAUGGUCUAUCUUUUCCGUUAUGGUGUGUGGGCGGUGAUUUUAAUGUCAUAAGGAGAAGUUCAGAAAAAUUGGGGGGUUCUAGCCUAACUUCAAGCAUGAAGGACUUUAAUAGUUUUAUAAGAGUGUGUGAAUUGCUUGAUCCACCUUUACGAAACGCAUCAUUCACUUGGUCAAAUUUGCAAGAGUCUCCCGUGUGUAAGAGAUUGGACCGUUUUCUUUACUCAAAUGAGUAGGGGCAGCUCUUUCCCCAAGGCCUUCAAGAAGCCCUUCUUAAAAGGACCUCGAAUCAUUGGCCAAUUGUUUUGGAUACCAACCCGUUCAAGUGGAGCCCAACAACUUUUAGGUUUGAGAAUAUGUGGUUGCAACAUCUUAGUUUCAAGGAGAACUUUAGAAAUUGGUGGAGAGGUUUUCAAGGAAAUGGAUGGGAAGGUCACAAGUUCAUGAGAAGAUUACAAUUUGUUAAAGCCAAAUUGAAGGAGUGGAAUAAGGUUUCUUUUGGAGAGCUUAAUGAAAAGAAAAAAAGCAUCCUCAAUGAUUUAGCUAACUUUGAUGCCAUUGAGCAAGUAGGGGUCUCACUUCCGAUCUGUUAGUUCAAAGAGCCUUAAGAAAAGGGGAGCUAGAGGAAUUAAUUUUGAGGGAAGAAAUCCAUUGGAGACAAAAAGAUAGGGUGAAAUGGGUUAAGGAAGGGGAUUGUAACUCUUAAGUGUUUUCAUAAAGUGGCUAAUGGCAGGCAAAAUAGGAAAUAUAUCAAGGUGUUGGAGAAUGAAAGGGGCUUAGUGUUGAAUAAUGUCGAGAGUAUCACAAAGGAGAUCUUGCUUUACUUUGAAAAGCUCUACGCGAGUCCUACAGGAGUCUUGGAGCAUUGAAGGAUUAGAUUGGUCCCCUAUUUCGGAAGAGAACGCGUUAAGGUUGGAUUCUCCUUUCACUGAAGAAGAGAUUUCUAAGGCCAUUUUUCAGUUGAAUAGGGAUAAGGCGUCGGGGCCUGAUGGCUUUACCAUUGCAGUAUUUCAAGAUUGUUGGGACGUGAUCAAGGAGGAUUUAGUGAGAGUGUUUGCAAAGUUUCACAGGAGCGGAAUUAUCUAUCAAAGCACUAAUGCCUCCUUCAUAGUUCUGUUACCCAAAAAGAGUUUGACAAAGAAAAUCUCAAAUUUUAGACCCAUUAGCUUGAUCACUAGCCUCUACAAGAUAAUAGUCGAAGUGCUUUCAGGGCGUCUAAGAGGGGUUCUACAUGAAACCAUCCACUCUACUCAAGGUGCUUUUGUUCAAGGGAGACAAAUUUAGGAUGCGAUUCUCAUAGCUAAUGAGAUAGUGGAUGAGAGAAGACGAUCACGGGAGGAAGGUGUCGUCUUCAAAAUUGACUUUGAAAAGGCUUACGAUCACAUGAGUUGGGAUUUUUUGGAUCAAAUGUUGGAGAAUAAGGGGUUCAGUCCUAGAUGGAGGAAAUGGAUGAGUGAUUGUUUGUCCUUGGUAUCUUAUGCAGUCUUGGUGAAUGGAAACGCUAAAGGGUGGGUUAAGGCAUCUCGAGGCUUAAGACAAAGUGACCCUUUAUUCCCUUUUUUGUUUACUUUAGUCGCAGAUGUACUGAGCAGGAUGCUUUUGAGAGCAGAGGAAAGAAAUUUGUUGGAGGGUUUCAGGGUGAGUAAAAACAGAACUAGGGUGACCCAUUUGCAAUUUGCAGAUGAUACCAUUUUCUUUUCUAACACUAGAGAGGAAGAACUGCAGACUCUCAAGAGUCUUUUGCUAGUGUUUGGGCACAUUUCUGGGCUCAAGGUCAACCUUGACAAGAGUAAUAUUAAUGACAUCAAUCUUGAUCAGAAUCAUCUUUCAAGAUUGGCUGAGAUGCUUGAUUGCAAGGCUUCUGGUUGGCCUAUACUCUAUCUGGGUCUUCCUUUGGGAGGGAACCCCAAGGCGUGUGGCUUUUGGGAUCCAGUGAUUAAGAGAAUCUCAAGAAGAUUAGAUGGGUGGCAAAAGGCUUACUUAUCUUUUGGUGGAAGGAUAACUCUUAUCCAAUCUUGCCUCACCCAUAUGCUCUGUUACUUCCUUUUCUUAUUUAAGUUACCCGCUUCAGUGGCUGCAAAAAUCAAGAGGUUGCAAAGGGAUUUUUUAUGGUCAGGAAUUGGAGAAGGCAAAAAAGAUCAUUUAGUUAGUUGGGAUGUUGUGUGUAAACCAAAGGCAAUAGGGGGAUUAGGUUUUGGGAAGAUUUCUCUAAAGAAUCUCGCUCUUUUAGGGAAAUGGUUGUGGAGGUACCCCUAGAGAGGGUUCAGCUUUAUGGCAUCAGGUCAUCUUAAGCAUUUAUGGAUCACACUCUAAUGGUUGGGAUGCUAACACUUUAGUCAGAUGGUCACAUCGUUGUCCUUAGAAGGCUAUUGCACAAGUCUUUCAAGAGUUUUCCUUAUUUACUCGGUUUGUGGUAGGAAAUGGGGAAAGAAUUCGUUUCUGGGAAGAUUUGUGGUGGGGGGACCAACCUUUGGGAACCCAAUUUCCAAGACUAUUUAGAGUAGUCUUGGAUAAAAAUAUUCAUAUUUUUUCAGUUCACGGUUCUACUCGUCCUUUCUCUUGGAACUUUAAUUUCCGCCGUAAACUUUCAGAUUCUGAGAUAGAGGACUUAGAAGGCCUCAUGCGGUCACUUGAUGGUUUGCAUCUAUCUCCUUCGGUUUCAAAUGCUAGAUUUUGACCUUUAUCUUCUUCAAGGCUUUUUUCAGUCAAAUCUUUCUUUCUAACCUUAUCCCAAUUUUCUGGCUCUCCUCAGGUUUUUCCUUCUAAGUUCAUUUGGAAAUCUCAAGUCUCAUUCAAAGUGAAGUCCUUUGUUUGGUUAGUGGCACACAAGAAGGUAAAUACUAAUGACAUGCCACAAUUGAGAAGACUCUACAAAGCCCUUAAUCCUGAUAUUUGUAUUCUCUGCAUGAAGCAUGGGGAAUCAGCAGAUCACCUUUUCCUACAUUGCUCCUUGAUGAUUGGAUUGUGGCACAGAUUAUUUCAGUUAGCCAAGAUGGAUAGGGUCCCCCCGAUGAGCAUUUUUGACAUGAUGUCCAUCAAAUUUAAUGGUUUUGGUUCAUCUAAGAAGGGGAUAGUUUUGUGGCAAUCUGCGAGCAUCGCUUAAAUUCAGGUUGUGUGGUGGGAAAGAAACGCGAGGAUUUUUUAGGAUAAAGCAAGAAAUUCAGAGUAUCUUUGGGACUCUAUUGUUUUCCUUACCUCUUUUUGGGCUUUUUGUUCCAAGGUUUUUAAGGGGACUCCCCUUAAUGUGUUACAAUUUGACUGGUUAGCGGUAUGUACUCCAUGAGGAAUGGUCCAAUCUAGAGAGUUCGCUUGUUUUACUGUGUACUUUCUUAUAGUUUAGUUUUCUUUGGUGGGAGGAUUUCUCAUCCUUCUUUUGUACUUCUUUUUUCUAUCAAUAUAUCUCUAUGUCGUUUCCAAUCAAAAAAAAAUACUAGCUACAGGAUUGGAGUGGAAAAACUUCUUCCUACUAUGCAUACAGAUUCCUAUAUAUACAUAUAUCAAACAACCUUAGUCUCAUCUCAUCAUUUGAAAGAAUUUCUACCAGAGAUUCCGGAAUAUUUAGAGGAUUAUGGUCCCCCCCUCCCCUCCCCCCCCAUCCCCACUUCAGCAAAAUGUAAUCUAUGAUGAAAAUUCAAUACAUACUCCAGUUAUGAUAAAAACUCACCAUCAUCAACUGAGAUAUUAUUGAUAGACUCAAAAAGGUCUUUUCCUUCAAUGGUGAAACCCCAACGGUUGGGUGCAGGGCCAGCAAUAUAUGCACAUGCUCUUUCAUCAGUAUCCUUCAAGAAGACCUGCCAAAAAGAAAAAUAGUGAUAACAGUAUAAGUUAGCAAGGCAGGGAGGCCAGCUAAUGUUGGAGAUCCUAAAGCAGGAACCAACUAGGGUAGGUAAAUAAACCCUAUACUUCAAAUGUAUUCCAGAGAAUUCUAAUUUCUGAGACAUCAAUCAAUUCUAAGAGUUAGCUUUGCUUCUCACUUGUUGAAACUGCAAAUCAGAUGGAUAUGACCGAAACAUGAUUGAGCUAGAUUGUUGCUCUAUCUCAGAAUCUCUUGAUGCUCUAACUGUCCCCAUGUAAUCAAGAAUACAAGAUUCGAUAUCCUCCUCUGAGAAGUCCCCAACCACACUUACCUGAAAAAUGAAUAAAGCAGCCAUAAGAUGAUAAGAAAUCUUAUUUUCACAUGUAAUUCUCACCCAAAAUGAAAAAUGUAAAAGCAAAAAUUAAGCACCUCCAUGUUAUCACCAACAAACUGAUUCAUCACUGCAUCCUUUACUGACUGCAAUGUCAGAUUCUGUAAUGAUUUUGGACUAGGUUCAACAAAUCGCUCAUCUCCAUUCAACAUUGCUAACAUGAGCUUGUGAGCCGUGGAUCGUUCUAAGCUUUUGGGAAUGGACCGGUAAUAUGACAAAUAUAAUUGCCUUGCUCUAUCAAAUGCAUCAUCCAGCCAUACACUAUGCUGCACACCAACAAGCAUAAUCAUGGAACAAAAAAGUAGCAGCAUAUUUUUAGCAAAAGAAGGGCAUAUGUAAGAUGGCCCAUUGCAAUUACAUUUGCUAACCAUGAGGAUCAAUUAUAAAAGGAAAAUUCCAAACCUCAUUUAGAGAUUGACCAAUAUCAAACCAUUAAGGAUCAAAUUACCUCAAGCACCAUAUGGAGUAGCUGGAAAGCUGCACGCAUCCCAUUGUCUCUUAGAGUAAAACGGAAUUCCAUACAAAUAAAUUCUUCAGUGGACUCCAAAGAGCAAUUUAUCAGGUGAUUCACACAGAAAAGUUCAACCUGGAGGAGCAUACUGACAUAAGUGAGACAAUCACUUUUUCUUUUUUUAUUAUCUUUCUUUUUUUCUUUUUGUGUGUGUGUGUGUGUGUGUUGGUUGGCAGAGGGGGGAGGAAAGGGUGGCGGUGUUGUGUGUUGGGGGGUGGUAUGCUUUUUGGCAUGGCAGAGGGCUAAUAUGAAGAGUUCCCAUGAAGGGAAGAAUAAGGUUAUUUUUGUUAUCAGAAAUAGGCAAGGAAAAAGUAAUGUAAAUAGCACAACUUUAGGUGACCUAUAGAAGAAGAUUAAAGGGUUUCAACAUGUUAGUUCACAAUACAUUUAUAGCAUUUUAGAGAUUACUAACCAGACAAAAUGCAGCAACAUCCAGGAUCUUCCCUAGAUAAUGAAAAAUCUCAAAAAAAAAAAAAUAUAUAUAUAUAUAUGGUGCAGCGGAAGGUUUGUUUUAAAACGAAGCAAAAGAAAUACUCAAUAACAAACACAAGAUCACAAUACGAUCUGAAAAUUGGGGAAUAAUUCUGAAAUUUAUAUUGAACUCUUCUCUAACAAUUACAAUGAGUCUUAAAAUAAUGUUUGUAAUGCAAAAAUAAAGUAAAUAACUGAAAUAGGAAACUAGAAAUAGGAAACCAAGGCAAUUGGAAACUAGGGAAACUAGGAAAACUAGGAAAGAAAUAGGAAACUAAUGAUGAACCUACAAUAGAAACUAAAAAUGUAGAAAAUAGAAACUAACCUAAAAUAGAAACUAAUGAUGUAGGAAAUAAAAACUAAUCUAAAAUAGAAACUAAUGAUGUAGGAAACUAAAAAUAGAAAUUAAUGGAAAUAGAAACUAAUCUAAAAUAUAAACUAACGAUGUAGGAAGCUAAAAAUAGGAACUAAUGAUGAUUGUGUGCUGCAUCAAAAAAAAAACCAAAACCAAAAAAACAAAUUUCUAGUCACGCAUGCUAAAGGGCUGUAUUUAAGUUUUAAAAAAGAAGUAUCAAAGAAAACUUUAUAUAGUAAUACAAAAAAUAAUAAUCAAAUAACAGUAGAUCAACAAAAGAGUACAAAAUUAUGGUACCUGCUCUCUGGAAAAGUUGCCAACACGACCGCCCUCACUAAGGGUCCGAACACCUACAACAACAGCCCCCCUUGACUCAAAGCUUUCUGCCGCUCGGCCACCACCAACUAUAAGCCGCAUUACACCCCCUCGAGCUUCAUUUCUUGAUAUCUUUUAAUAUUUCAUUAAUAAAGAUAAAAGUUAAGUCUAUGGGCAUGGUUAAAGACACUAGUUAUCAUCCAUGCACAUGUUCCCAUCAACAUAUGCACAUAAUAGAGAAGAAAGUAUAUGAUCUAAACCAAUCAUAUUCUUUUAUAAUGAAAAUGAUCAAUACAAACACUGAUGAAAUGAUUCCAAAAUAAGUAAUAUUAUGUCUCAUGAAUCAUCAAUGGAAAUCAUAAAUAUAUCCUUAAAUUGAUUUGAAAUUUAAAAAGUAAUGAAGGUACAAAUGCAUUAGGUUAUCUGGAAAACCACACCUCUGAAUCAACUGUGAUUUUUCUCUCCUCUUCUAAAAAUGAUACGAAAAUGAAAAUUUUAUCAUGAAAAAAUAGGUAAAAAUUGGAUAGCAUAUCUAGCAAAAAAAAUGUUCAAAAAGACAAUAAUUAAAGUCCUAUGUAAAGGUGUCAUUUAUACAAAAUGUUUGGAAAACAUGUGUAUCAGCAUACAUAUAAAAAAAUGAAUCAUUUUUUUUUUUUGAUAAAUGAGCACAAAAUAUAUUAAAGGGCGAAAAACCACAAGCAUACAGGUAGUAUACAUAUAAAAAAAAUUAAAAAAAAAUGAAUCAUAUAUCUUAUAAUUACUAAAAGUAGAAGAUUAAUUUCCCUAUAAUUCCCCUGAAGCAAUUUUAAUACCAGGCAUACCUUGUAGUUUACAGGAAUUCCAUUUGAAAGACGGAGCUGAGUGAUUCCUGUUUCAUUGUCAUACACUUUUGUGACAUUUACUUCUGGAGAUAGAGGAAUAAAAGACGGACUUCGCUCUACCCUUAAUUUCUGUAGCUGUGAUGAAGAUAUCAGUUCUUUUGGUACCUCAAGCUGCAAAAUUAAACAAAACAAAUGAUGCAGUAAGCAAAAGAGUCUUCACUUGUUGUUUUCCCCAGAAUGUCAUGGCAAUGGAAGGUCAAAGUGGUAAGCAAGCUCAGUUUCUACAGAAAGAUACCUCUGGCUCAGCCUCAAUGGGUUCCUCCAAACCUGCUUUUAUGGCAUCUGUGAUCUCAAUUGGAGAUAUCUUGAACUCAAUUUCACCACUACCCUCAACAUGCACUUUUGUUGGAACACAGGCGACAAUAGCAGCAGGAAGAGGUGCAGUAGGUUUUCCAAAAUCAGAGAUGAAUUCUAGCACCUUAGCACCAGUAGAAUUGACCUAAACCCAAGACAUAACAAAUAUUACACUAUAAAUGUUAAAAAGCAAGAUUUACAUGCAGAUUAACAGCCAAGAAACUGAAUAAACUGAAUCUGGCAUGAUCCUUGGUACUAGUAAUAAUACAUUAUUAGUCACCAGAGUGAAAACUACAAUUCAAAACUUCCCAAAGAUUUUUUCUUUCUUACAUUAUCCACAGAUAAGUAAGAAGAUGUCAAGGAUUGGGUAGUGAUCAAUUUUGCGAAUUGUGGAUCUUGUAUUUUUGCAUUUUUUGAAUUUGACCACCUGAUUAAGCAUCUAUAUUAGAGUGUAACAAGGACACCAGCCCACAAGCAUUCAUGUCUGAGACACAAAGUUCCCAGCAUGAUGAUCUCAAGAACACUAUAAAUCCCAAAUUUAAGUAAUCAUAGCAGCAUGGCAGUGCCAAUAGAAGUCAACUCACAAGCUCUUUUCCAAGGAACUCAAGCAUAUUGUAGUAAAUAAUGAUGACUACAAUGGUAAUAAACAACAUCUAUGAUAACCUAAUAAGGUAAAAGAUUUAAGAACUAUUCUCCUUCAACCUUUUAUUCUUGAUCAUUGUAUAGUCUAAAUAGGGAGAGGGAGUUCUUUUUGUGUCUCUCUCUGUUUUGUUUGGUGUUUUGACGCCUUUGUAUAUGCCAUAUAUCCUUUUGUGUGCCCUUUUGUUAGGUGCUUUUAAUAUAUUUGUUGUUUGCCUAUCAAAAAAGACAAAAGUUUAAUAUAUGAUCUUUAUGAGUGAAAUUACUUCUUUGGAGAUUCAAUCAAGCUUUUGCUAGGAAAAUGACUUUGGAGAUUUCCCCUAGAAAGGGAGAUUUUUGGAGGAAAGUCAUUGUUGGAAAAUUUGGAGAGGUGGAAGGGGGCUGGACCACUAGAGAGGUGAGGGAUUCUUAUGGGAUGGGCCUUUGGAAAGACAUUAGAAAAGGAUGGGAGGAUUUCCUUCUUAGAACUAGUAUCCGUAUUGGAAACGGUAGACACACAAGAUUUUGGUGGGACAUUUGGGUUGGGGAUUCUAAGCUGAAGGAUCUUUUUCCUACGCUGUUCAUAAUUGCAGCCCACUACUUCAGUGGCUGACCUUUGGGGAAGGCAAGAAGGUGGAGGCAGAUGUUGGGAGGUGCACUUUAGAAGAUCCUUCCAAGCUUGGGAACUAGAGGAGGUGACUCGUUUUUUCUGCGGUAAAGGUUUGAGAAGAAGAGGAUACCUUAGUAUGGAAGAACGAUGGGAGGGGAAAGUUUAAUGUCAUAUCGUAUUAUAGGUCUCUAAGGGCUGAGAAUAGCUUUUUAUUCCCAUCCAAAGAGAUUUGGGGUUCGUAUGCCCCUCUUAGAACUCGUUUUUUUGCUUAGGAAGCAGUUUGGGGAAAAAAUUUAACAAUUGACAUGUUAAUGAAGAGGGGUUGGUCCAUGGUCAAUAGGUGCAGCCUUUGUAAAGACAACAAAGAAUCGGAGGACCACAACCUGAUUCAUUGUGGUAAGACGAGAGCUUUGGACUUUGCUGCAAUCAUCUUCUGGACUGGUGUGGGUGUUCUCGGCUUUAGUGAGAAAUCUUCUUCAGGAAUGGAAAAUUAAGGGGCUAGGGAAAAAGAGCAGAGUAGUUUGGAGAUUGGCGCCUAUUUGUCCUUUUUAGUGUAUUUGGGGAGAGCGAAACCAAAGAACAUUCCAAGAUGAAGAGUUGUCAAACCAAAGUUUGAGGACCUCUUUUUCCAUUCACUUCUAGAGUGGUCUCAACAAUUUUUGGAUUAGACUUUCCCACUUUUCUGAAUUUUUUGGGUGAUUGGCAUGGUGACUAGCCAUAUAUCUCUCUAGGUUUUUUCUUUCUUUUGCAGCCUUGUUUUGGCUCUUUUUGUAUAUUGUUGUAUACGUAGGGUGCACCCCCUGUUUUGGUGUUUUUUAAUUUGUUUUGUCUUUGUCUAUCAAAAAAAAAAAAAAGAGUGAAAUUACUUCUUCAAGGGUAACUGUUCCAGCAACAGCAACCAAACUCUCAUGUCCCUGUCUCUGAUCCAUCACCAUGUGGCCCAGUGCAUCACUCUCCAUAAUAAAGUCCAAAUUAUCCACUGAUGACACAUUAUCAAUCAUGGCCGCCAACUGUUCACUAUCUUUUAGUAGAGCGUCCAAAUAGCGAGCUAAUUCACCUUUUGUGACACCAAACUCUUUAAGCCUUCGAACCUGCAAAAGACAAAACAUAUUAGAUACUAGAAACAGAAAGAUGCCGACAAACCAGAUCAUCCUCAUUUGCACAGAACUGAGACCUCAAUACAUCCUUUUUGACAGUCAAAUUGCUUUACAGUGCUUUUGGUUAUAUGCUAAAACAAAACAAAGGAGAGGAGGUUUGCAGUACAGAAGUUCUUUUGGACAAAGUUGAGGUAACGGUGAUAUUUUGAAGAGUCCACAACAUUGUACUUCCUUUGUAAGGAGGCUGAGGAGUCAACAAAUCAUAUAUAAUUCAUUGUAGAAAGGCUUGCGUUUUGUGGGGAAAACAAAUGAAAUUUUGGAAGUUGUCUCCUCUUUGCUUGUUGUGGUCUCUAUGGAAAGAACAAAAGAUAAGAUGUUUUGAGGGUGUGGAGAGUUUGACAUUACGAAUGAGAAAUUCCUAUUCUUAAAAACAGAAAACGUGAUGUUUUCAGAUAACAUCUUUAAAGUUAUUUUCAAUUGUUUUCACUUAUUUUCUUAGGAUUGUUUCAAAAAAUAAUUAUACAACUUUGGAAAAUGAUUAAAAAUAAAUCACAACAUAUAAAAGUUAAUUUUUAAAACAUAUUUAAAAACAUAAAACACAAAUUAAAAACAUUUCAAGUUUCCAAACAGACAUUUAUUGUACAAAACAUUAUAAAACUAUUCUCAAAAACUAUUUUUUAGAACUGUUUUUAAAAUCAAUUACCAAACAAUGCCUUAAUUGUUUUUACUUGUUUUCUUAGAGUUGUUUUAAAAAAUAAUUACACAAAUAUGAAGAAUAAUUAAAAUAAAACAUUAUAUAUAGAAGUUAUUUUUAAAACUUAUUUAAAAACAUAGAAAACAAGUUAAAAACAUUUCAAGUUUCCAAACAGACAUUUGUUCUAAAAACCAUCAAAGAACGAUUUUCAAAAACUGUUUUUUAGAACUGUUUUUGAAAAAAAGUUACCAAACAGCGCCUGAUUUUCUGCAAUUUGAAUAGUAUAUUAGCAAUGCAUCACCUACACAGCUUCUCAAAGAAACAAUGCAAAGUCAGAUGGUCAAAGUGAUAAUAGAGAAAUGAAGGGAUUACAAACAAAUAAUCUGAUUGAAGAAGCAAGCAACUAUAGUGUUAACAAAGAGUGGGAACAGACAAAAGUACAAACCUCUUGAACAGCAACUUUAAUUGCACUUUGCCAGUUCUUGGGUUCUGCAGUUACUGUAAGAGUAGUGACAGUGCAUCCUUCCCUUCCAGAAUCACUAUGAUCCAACUCAAUUGAGGUGAAUGGAGGAUUGGAACUCUGAAAUUUUUUAAUCAGUAAGCUAACAGUUUUUUAGGAGAAUAUAAUAAUAUUAUAUCAUGAUCAUCAUACAAUAAACAAAAGACCAUAGAUGACAUUGAGGGAAAUCCAAUAUUUGUGGUAGAUGCCUCCAGUGGGAUGAUAAGUAUCCAGAAAAUAUUAUAAAUGUUAUAAAUGGCAUUACAAAGAUCAGGAAUCUGUUUGGUGAUAUUAUUGGUCACCAUAUCUAUAUGGAAGCUAGUAGUGCCAAUGACAAAUCAGCUAAUCAUAUGGAACAGAGAUAAUGGGAACUAAAAAGCAAAGCUCAUAGAGAGAAAUGGUUAUCAAUUAUUAAAUAUGGUUAAAUUCAUAAACAAGUGGGCAAAUCAUAAAUGACAGUAAAUUCAUAUAAAGAAGGCAAAAUAAUGAAACCAUUGAGCAAGCCAAGAAGCAAUCAAUGGAAACACAAACUCAAAUUUCACAUAAGUGCAAGCCAGCAUACAAUCAUAGUUUUAAUCAUUAAAUUAUAUGCUAAGAUUCAGGAACAAUCUCAGACAAUUUGAAGGAGAUGGAGUUAAACCAAGUCACAAAUAGAGGAAGCACCUUGUAUCUUGUAUUAAUCCGGAAAUGCAAAGCGGAAAGGAAUAUUCUCUUCAUCAGAACAUUUCGCAAGUCACCAUAUGUCUGAACCUUGUUGACAGGAAUCUGCAGCAAUAAUCCCAACUAAUCUAAUCCACUUCCAUAGGUCUAUAUAUAUAAAAGACAGAUCACCAAGAAAUAAAGAAACAAGUACACAUGCAUACAGAAGAUCUGUUCAUACACAUACAUAAAUAUACCCAUAUACAUAUAUCUGUGUGCAUGUGAGUUCAUUUCUUGUCCAUUUUUAAUGAUCUACAAAAAUUAUUAGUACUGUAAAAAAAAAUAUGAAAAGCAUUAGGAUUUUGUUAGUCCAAAAUUAGUAAUUGAUGGCAAUUCUGUUCAAAUGAAAUAGCUGGUAACUCCUGAGCAGUAUAUCUUCACCAUUCAAUGCAGACUGAUCACCAGAUAGAGUUGCAUAAAGUUCCAGCAAGCAAAUUCAAGUAAUUUUAUUCCAGACACCACAUAGAAUGAUAAGUUUGCUUUAGAGACUAUUCUUGACAUAUGGAAAAACGAGUAUUAUCUUUUCAUGAACGUCAAAGUUCUUUUUGCUCAACCAGAAAACCUAUUUGUUAAAACAACUGUGCCAAAUGUAGCAAAGAAUCGGCCAUCAAAUCAAAUCAAUGAUAUAUGGACUAAUAGGAGCAGGUAUUUAAUCUUUGAUAGAGACAUCACCUUCAUCAAUCAAGGAGGAUAAUUUCUUGAGAUUAAUAGGAGCUAUAUUUCAGCUUCCAUUGAGACAUCAAUUGGAAUAGGCCAGUGUUAUGAGGAUUCAGUGUAAAGGGUGGAUUCAUGAAAAACAAGCCCAUGAACGUGGAUUAGAUGAGAGUUCACUAAUCCUGUAAAACUACCUUCUUAUUUCUAGUGGAUUUGAGUCUUACUACAGAGAAAUCCUCUAAUUCCCCUCCAAGAUACAGAUUAUUUGGGGUUUCCAUGUAUGUCACAUGUAUGAUCUCUUAUUUACUUAGCAUUUCUGUUGUUACUUUCACUGGGAUUGAACUUGAAUAGGAAGAUAUAGCUAGGGUUUGAAUCUGAUCUAAACAAUUUUAGAGAACCCAACAAGUUUUUAAAAAAAAAUUAAAAACUAUACACCCAAGUACACAAGUCACAUACAAAGAAUAUCAAAAGGAAUAGCCUAGAGGAAGAAAAAACACAAAAAACUACUCCCUCUCUUAUCUAGAUCCCACCCUAUCUACAAAAUCACCUAGAAGUUAAAAAAUCUAGUCACCUCUCCCCAUCCUUUCUAGAUUAAUCUAGGUGAAGAUAGUUGUUUGCAAGCUAGAUUAGCUAGUUUAGAUUGACAAUUUUGUUCCAAACAUAACUAGAUUCACCAUACGUACUUCCUUGGGAUUACACUUGCCAUUGAAGACUCGAAGUAAUAAAUUCAGACAUGUGAUCAUUCAGGUAAGUAUGAUUUAGUGAGGUUGGUAUGAAAAAUGGCAAGAAAAUAGGUAUGAUUUGAUUUUUUACAGAAGCAAUCUGGAAAAGGGCCACAAAGUGAAAAUACCAAAGGAGUGCUCAAGCACCCCUUGCAAGCUCUUAAGUGAUCAGGGUGAUUUUUUGGGUUUUUAUUUUUAAUUUUGGAAUUUCGUGAAUAAGAAAUCCCACUAUCGAACCUGACCCAUUAGGGUUUUCACUAUAUAAAUACGUCUUACAAAGUUGAAAAAUACACAUGCCUUGAAUUGAUAUUGCCAUUAUUCUUCCAUACAUUCUCAAAUCUAUGAAGAGUUAAACUCAUUAUUCAAGGUAGAGUCAUGGUGGUUGAUUGCAUCCCCCUCAAAAAGAAAAAGAACUUUCAAGAAGCAUUCUCAAAAACCAUAAAAAAAUAGUCUUAAUUAAGCAAUAUAAAUUAAAAAUAAAUAAAUAAAUAAGGCACCUCCAAGACAUCAACAAAGCAAAUUGAAGGGGUAGAAAACUUUUAAUUUAGCAAAGAUAAAGACUAUUAAGGGUUCAGAAGAGGAAGUGGCUAUUAGGGUGUGUUACAAACUGAAAAAAGGAAGAAAACAAGGAGGACUUCUCAUGACUGCUAUAUUCCUCGUCUUUCUUCCUUUUUCUUAGCCCUGGCAUCAUGUUGCCCUUGAAGAGAGGGCUUUGUUUGCUAAAAACGUUUGGUCCUCUCCAUAAAAGCUAGUUUUAUCAUUUCACCUUCGACGUGAAAGCAGCUGGUAUGCAGUGUUCCACAAAACAGAUUAUUUUCUUGCCUUUACACACAGCCAUGUACUUCCAAAUAUCCAGGAAUUAUUUAGAAAUGCAACAAAACAAGGCAGGUCACUAUAGAUGCACUGAAAAAUACAAGAUGACAAACAAAUAAACCAAACAGCACAAUAGGCCCUAUUCUUACCUUGCAGAACAUAUUAAUUGAGAAAUUCUGAAGCAACUCAUGCUGAAAUAUCUGCGGAGACUUCAUAUCCUCAUUGCUUCCAGGAAGAGACCAAUUGUGCUUGACAGGAGGACGAACCGCAUGUCUUUCCUUUUUAGUAAAUUUAGAUUGAUCUACAGGAAUCGGUGACCUAUCAUGAGACAAACUUCCAGCCAGUCCAACUGAGAGUUUGGGAACAAGAAAACUAGCCAUUGCACCAAAUGCACUGGGAGUAGGCGCUGCAGCUGUUUCAUUUUCCAUUCCAGUUUGUCCAAAGAUGGCCUGCAUGAAACUUACAGUGCACAUUACUCAUGAAAGCACCUCAUGAUAGAAAAACUAAUCCUACAACUACAAGAAAGUUAUGAAGUUCCUAAUGCAUACAAAUAAUAGAAAUUAAUUUGGUGCACUUAUUUUGGCACUUAUUAUAAAUUUCUUUUCAUUUGCCUAUCAAAAAGAAACUUGAGAAAUUAAGCAGAUUUCUAACAUACUUCAAUCUGGUAAACUGUCUUUGAAAUGUUAUCAAUAUCCCCCACAAUGUACAAGGUUGCAUUUGCAGGGAAGUACCAACGCUCAUGGAAUUUCCUGAUUUUAUCUGCAUCCCACUUCUUAAUCUGCUCUUCUAGUCCAAUUGGAAACCUUUUACUGAGCUUGUUUUCAGAAUGCAAAUGUUGUAAUAACUGUGCUCAGAAGAGAACCAAACAAAAUAUAAUAUGAUAUUAGCCAACAAUAAGAAAAUAUUGACAUGAUAUAAAUCCAUUAACAUAUCUAGUACCUGGCAGUCAACUCGGUAUUCUAUUGUGUUCAUCAUCUGUAGUUCUGAAAGUAUUGCCCGCCUUUCUUUUUCCACUCGAGAAGCAAGGAAUUUUGGGUGGAAAGCAAUCUGAAUUCAUGAAAGGGAGCAUUAUUGGCUAGCCAUACCAGACAAUUAUAGUUAAGCUAAGAAAUGUUCUUUUAUAUAAAAAUAAAAAAUUAAAUUAAAUUAAAUAAAGAAAGUGAAUAAAAUCCACAUUAACAUAGCACAAGAACCAAGUUAUAGAUGAUAUGCAUAUUGAAGUUGUUCUAGGAAUUGAAAAUUUCUCCUUAAAUCAGUGCAUGUCACAUAAAAGCAAUACAAAAAUUCCAUUAUCCAUACCUCAUUCAAAGCAUCGAGUACAAAUGGUAGUAAAUCUCCAUCAGAGUCCUAAGAAAGUCAUUCCACACACUGUCAAAACAUGUAUAAUGUAUUGGUAGCAUGCAUAAAGGUAAUAGUUAAAUCAUAACCAUAUACAUCCAUAUUCACACCCAUAACUUGAACUUAAAAUGCACACAGCCGGUCUCCUAUGGAGAACAGGAGAAUUUCAAAUUUUAAUUGUAUUCUGUUACACCUAAAAAAUGUUUUAAAUGGAUGCAAGUAGUAAUUGUAAAUAAUUUUUUUCUCUUUUUUUCCUUCUUGGCUCUAUCAAGGAUUAAAAAAAGAAUAUCAACUAUCAAGACCAAAAAUAAUAAAAGAAAAUUAUACUGCAGCACAAAGGGAAAAUAGGUUGCCUCAAUUGUUCACUGUCUAAACAAGGAGCCAUAAGACAAAUAUUGAACAGACCUUGGUACUAGUUGGUGAAUGGAUGUGAAACACUGUAUGAUGGAAAUCUGUAUAAGCAUUAGACCGGGCCCCUGUCCCAAGAAGUUUCUCACGCUUCUUACUUCCAAGAAAUGCAACAUGUUCAAUCAUAUGUGCAAUGCCUUGCUCAUCAUCUUCCUCAUCAAUUGACCCCACAUGAACUUCCAUGUGUGCUUCAAACCUAAAAUUCAAGACGUAUAUUUAUAUAUUAGAAAACAUGAUUUAAUCCUAAAAAUAUUAAGUUGAUGCAAAUGUGAUCCCACAUUCCCAAAAUUUAUGCUGAAGUAGAAGCUAUGGUUGAUAUUCCUUUCAUUUUUAUUUUUCUUUUGUUUUAAUUUAUUUAUUUAUUUAUUUAUUCAUAUCUUUUGGGGGGGAGGCAGCUGAUUGGGGCUGGGGGCUGUUUGUAUUUUGAGUACAAAUGAGCACAAUCAAUUAAUUGAAAUGGUUUCUCCAAAUGUUGGAUUAGAUUUGAAAUGUAGCCUAGUUGCCUAGAUCUAGAUUUUACAUUUUCCAAUUUUUGUCCAUCUGAUUCACAUGAAUAAAAAUUUGAGAACCAAAAAAAAACAAAAAAAGAAAAGAAAAAGAAAAAGCUCUCCUAUAUUGAACUAGUGAUCUUCUAAGGUUUUACUGCUUGAUAUCAUAAGAAAGUAGUGUUGAGUCAUGUGUUUGAUUUAUAAUACAUCAUGGAAUACAUAUUUUAUGUACUUCUACUUGUAGUACAAUUUUCCAUCUUUAGUCAACAUAAUCAUAGAUUUCUCCUUAGGAUAGCUCAUUCUUGUACUGUUUUUAUAGAUCACUUUUUUUUGGGUCCCUAUUGGGACUUGAACCUGGAACCCCCUAUAUCCUCACCCCAACCCUUUAUUACCUAAUCGAGGCCUUAGUCGCCAAGUUUUUAUUCGUUUUCUAUGAACCAAAAUGUUGUUUCUGAUUGAAAUAUAUAUAUAUAUAUAUAUAUAUAUAUAUAUAUAUAUAUAUAUAUAUAUAUAUAAUACAAAUAAAUUAAUAAAAAAGAUUAUUUGAUAUCAGACCAUGCAUAUGAUUGUCCCAAAAGACACUAUUGGCAGACAUGGUAGUUAGCUUAUUUUUGUCUCCAAUUCAUUAAAUUUAUAAAAUAAUUGAAAUCCAAAGGCUAAUUAAACAUAUCUUAGAGGUGUGUUGUCAACUGGUUUUUGAACUAUGAACACGUGUAGGAGAGAGGGCGAGCAUAUCUUUUCCAAACCUUAGACACGUGUUCUCAAUUAGAUUGCACUAGUAGAAGAGAGAUCAAGAAUCUUUGGUCAAGUGUAUAUGAGGUGAACAGAUCCCUUGUAAGGUAGGACUGUUUGAAUACUGGACAAACUUUAAUUGUUUAGCUUCAACCACAUGCAUCUGAUUGCAAAACACGUGCACAAUGUAGAAUGAACAAUGUUCAUUUGAAGAAGAGGCACCUAGAAUCAUUUAUAUUCCUGUGCACCAGUUUCAUGAGCUUUUUCGAAAAGGGGUUCCAAAGGUAAUUUUAACCAUGCUAACAAUAAUAUUUAAAGAUUUGUAACUAUGUACAAAUUUUGAAACCUAAUAGAAACUUCAAAAUAAAAAUCUCUCUCUCACACAAGAUUAAACUAUUAUGAAUGCUUCUACAUUCAUAAAAUCAAGGAAGACAAGAUCCCAUAUAAAUUUAUUUUUAAAGGGAUCUGCAUAUUGUAAGCUUGCUUUUUUGAACAUGAAGUCUACCCUAUGAUUUGGAGAGCAAAAUGUGCACAUGAAUAUAAAUGCAAGGAUGAUUAAUUCAAUGCAAAAAUGCCACAUUUCACAAACUAGCUCCAUCCUUGAAAGCAACAGAAAAAAAGAAAGCUAUGGAUGAAAAUACCUGUUUGGUGGAACUUUAUUAGGUAAAAUAAGGUACCGCAAUCCAUUUUUCAAUUGUCCUCGAUAAAGUUUUGGGUGAGAUGGAAGUUCAGAACAUAAAAAUCCCUCUAAUUCUGCUCUUCCUAUUUCAGGAUCCACUAAAUCCAGACCUUGCUUUUCUAGAAUGCCAUCUGGCCAGGCUGUACUCGCUGCAUGUGGCUCAUCUGGACCCACAGUCGCAUUCAGAACACGAACUCUUUUCACCUAAAAAGAAGUGCAGGUAAUAGUCAAUCAAAGAGAAUUUGUCCAACAAGUGUGAGGAGAGGAAAAUAGGUUCCAUUGCAAGUUUUCUUAUAAGCAUCCCUCGGAAUGACUACAAAACCCAGAUGAUUAUAAUCUGCAUUGUUGCAGAUGCUAACAAAAAAAAAAAGUAUCCAGCAUAUUAAUUGAAGGCCUCACAUAAGAUAAAUCAUAUCAAACAGGCACUAAAUUUGCGCUUUAUAUGGAAGAGAGAGAGAGAGAGAGAGAGAGAGGGAGAGAGAGAGAGAAGGCCUCACAUAAGAUAAAUCAUAUCAAACAGGCACUAAUUUUGUGCUUUAUAUGGAAGAGAGAGAGAGAGAGAGAGGGAGACUAUAAUGAAAAAGUGGUCCGAAACAAUUUAUAUCUGGUUGAAGAUAAAGCAAUUUCUGUUUUCUGGAGGAAAUCUUUCACCUUCUACUGCAUCCACCCCAAAGACCAGCAACAAUAUCAUUACAGAAACACCCACAUUCCCAGGUGUCUACCAUGUACAUGUGUGUAUGCAUAUAAGUUUAUAACUUUGUACAAGAUGAACCCAGUUUUGGGUUUUCUCAGUGUGCCUUAAAUAGUUUGCCUGACAGCACAACAGGAAGCUACAAAGGACUAAGCUUAGUGCUGAUAUGUCUGUUUAUGGAAUGAUGCAAAAAUAGCAUGAGUAUUAGCAGACAAUGGCCACUAUAGUCAUCCAUUUCCAUUUUUUGUCAGAAUAAAUCUAAUUUUUUUAUAGGCAAAUAAGAAUAAUAUUAAUAGUGCCUGGCACACCAAUGUCCAUAGAGGCUAUACAAAGGUGCCAAAACAGAAAAGAAUAGAAGAGAGAAAUAAAAAAGCACCUUGCUCCCAUCAAAAAGUGUCCAACCAAUCAACAAAUUCUAAUAUAGAGCUCCAUCUAAAAACUUCCUAGCCCAAAGCAAAAGAGAGCACAAGAAUGAGUUUUGAAAUCUUGAUCCAUUUAUUCCACAUUGACAGUGUUCAACAAUUCCUCCCCUUCUAAAUGGUCCAAAAAAAGCACAGAGUAGCAACCCUCCAUACCUUGUCACCUUCCUACAUUUCUCUGCCACAAAGGUCCCAUGACAACUUGAUAAAGUCUCUCCCACGAUAGAAGGAAACACCCACUUGACAUCCAAAAAAAAAAGAAGAACCAUAAGUGUCACAAUAUCCUCGUUUUAGCAUAAUGAAGAAGGAGGACAAGAUCAGUUGAUUCCUCCUCAACUAUUUUUUUUUUAUACAUAAAAGGAGAUUGUAUUAAAAAUAGAAAGUAUACACGAUGUAUACAAAGCAACCAUAAGCUAGAAGGGGGCAAAUGCACAAAAACAAGCAACUACACCCUAUGGGGAACCUAACUAAUCCACAAAAUCUAACAACAUAGAACCUCCUCAACUUUACAAAGAUAACAUCCAUACACCAAAAUCCAUCCCCUUCUUUUUAACUGAUCCAAAGUCAAAGCUCUCCCCCAAAUUGCUUCCUAAGCAAUCCUACUUUUGUCAGCAUCCAUGAGUUCCAAAAAGAAGUUUACGUAUCAGGCCUAAAUGAUAUGAGGUCAAUGUGGAUGACAUGCAACAUACGAAGAUUCACAAUACAAAUAUCAGUGAAAUAACAUAUGAUUCCAAUAUCAAUGAGAUAACAUAUGAUUAUAUGAGUAAAAAUUGGGUGAAGAGUUCAAGAUUCCAUAGAAGGGGCUUAGGUAGCUUACUUACAGAGACAUUGUCAAGGGUGUGCUUCAACAAAGGAAAUGUAGAUUUAUCAGAGAAGACUCUUGGCACAAAUCUUUUAAUACUGGAACAACUUCGGGGAUGGUUAAGGAAGCAGGAGAUGCACUUAUGUUGUUUUGAUAAAGGUGCUUCAGCCACGUGCUCAUUGGAAGUAUAAUGAUUCCAAUAACUACUCUUUUUCUUCAAAGAUCUUGAUCCUCCAUUUCCAACUUCACGUAGCCACCUUUAAUGCAGAAGAAUACAAAAAGAAAAAGAAAAACAAAGUAAAAAAGAGGUUCCAAUGACUCCGAACCUUGCACCGCAAACAUAAAUUAGCAAAAAAAACUACCCUAGAAUUGCUUAGCAUUCCAAAGACCAUAAUGAGGUAGCAGGAAAACUCAUGACUAAAAUAAAACAACACUUGUGAUAUUUUGCCUAUAAAAGGAUUAAUUCAGAUGUUGUCCAUAGAUUGAAACUUGUAAUAUGUCAUUGAUACAAAGAAAUAGCUUUCAGUUAGACAACACUUGAAAUAGGGUUUCCCUAUAUGAAAGGAUUAAUUCAGAGGUUUUCCAUAGGCUGAAACUUGUAAGAUGUCAUUGAUACAAGGAAGAAAAGACAUCAGGAAAUGGCUCAAAUAGAAACUGGAAAUCAGAACACUGGACUGCUAAAAAAUUCGAAGUCCUGAUGAGAGUUCAAAUGGAGAAAAAAAAAAGUGGGAUAAUGGACCAAAUUGUGAGAAUUUUUUUUUACUUCCCAGAGUUGAGAGAAUGAAGCACAUCCAUCCACAAAUGCAUUUGCCUAAAUGUUAAAACAAUUAUAUACAUAAAUAAACACGUGUUCAGAAUCGAUCACUGCGAACACGGCUGCAGAUAUACCCCCAGCAGUUAGUUACAUCGGAUGAGUGAUCAUCACUUGGGAAUUAUAUGACAGAGUUUGAAGGGACAAGUCCAUGAUUUUCAAACCGACGCCAUUAAAGAAAAUUGAAGCAAUCAGACUCUGAAGCACCAGCCUAAAUUGUUUAAUACUUCCUAAAUGGGAUGGGAAUGCAAUAACCAACACUUGCAUGUAUAAUUGAAAAAUUCAAAAGGAAGAAGUCUCCUGUUAGUUACUGACAGGGUUUCCAAUGCAAAAGGGAAUCGGAUUAAAGCGAUAAUAAUUUGAUUAAAAAAAAUAUAUAGCAAAGAAAAAGAAACCCUAAAACAAGAAAAAGAAGAAGAAAUUACGGAGGUCGGGAAGAAAUGAGGGAUUGAAAAGUAGUGGAAGUAGGGCAAGCGAGGGAACAUGAAGAAGGAGAAGGGCGAAGGAUGAUGAGAUUUGAGCGACGAGAGGCUGGAGUCCUCCGAUGAGAGUCCUCUCUGAAACUGGACCAUCGGGGUUGAGGAGGACCCACUACCACGCAACCCAUCACAGACGCCGAGCCCGCCAUUCAAAUGCCUCUCUCCUCCCCACUCCUCUCCUCUCUGCCUUCACCCUUUUCAAUCUCUUCUACUUCUUGAUUCUUGAUUUUUGAUUUUAUGCUUUAUUUUUAUUUUACUUUUCUAACAAGAAAACUCCUCGUUUAUAUUACUUUGCCUUUUAACAAAUGAAUAGGCUCUCCCAACGAUAACUGAGUGGCGUCAGAUCGAACCACGUUGCCACGUCACGACAGAGCAUCCUCAGAUCUUUCCAUUUUGAUACAUAUCUUCGAUUUCGGUUUCUAUUUAUCAUUCAAGAUUUUUUUUUUUUUUUUUCUCAUGUAUAUAUAGACUAAGAUGGUAUUUAUUUUUUUACUUAAUUCUAAAUACAACCUUAAUACUUAAUAGUAUUAAAUAUUAGGUUAUUUGUUUUUGUAAUAUUUUAUUUCUAUUAAGUAUUAAAAAGUAAAAAAAAUCAUUAUGUUAUUUUUUCUAUUUAGAAAAAGUCACAUAUUCUGUAUUUUUUUAUUUAGUAAAAAAUUUAUAAUAAGUCAUGAAAAAGUAAAAAAACAAACAACCUAAAUUCUAAAACUAAAUGAUUUUUAGCAAAAAGUCAAAAAAAUAAAUAUCACCUAAGUUUUGACGGUUUAGUAAGGAAGUGUUUUUCGAAAUUUUAAACUUUAAAGUUUUAAUAGGGGUUAAAUAUAUUUUACAAUCUCAAUCUUUAAUUUGUUUUAUACUUUUGUACACUCACAUUCAAAGCUCAACCAUUUACCUCUCAAAUUUGUUAAAGUGUAACACUUAACCCCCAAUUUAAAAACAUUCAUUAAAUUAUAAAAAAAAUAUUCUUUUUCACAAUUUGAUUUAAAUACUGAUAUAAUUGAUUGAAGUAAUUUUUUUCAAAUGUCUUUAAAAUAUGACAACAAGCAAUUUUAAUUUUUUAUUUUAAAGAUAUAUUUAUUUAUAUUCAUGAUUUUUGCAUCCAUUGUGAAACAUGGUAGUUGUCACACCCUUGGUUAUCUCACUUAAUUUUUCACAAGUGUGCGGUGCUAAAGACCCUUCCUUAGCCAACCUUCCCUUCCCAGUGUUUAGAAGAACAUAGUAGAAUAUAGAAAUAAACAAACAACAGGGACACACGAGGUUACGGGAAUCUUUUCCCAACUUGUAUUAAUCACUCUUACAAGACAAAAUUGUUUCUUGAACCAUAAUACAAUGCACUCACCUAAGGCAUAUGAGAAGGAACCCUUUCCCCAAACUCUCUUUCUCUGUUUCAAGGCUACAAGAGCCCUAUUUAAAUGACUCAAUCUGCAAUUACAAAUUUGAAUUCCCUCAAUUCAAAUCUUGGAGCCAACUAGGUGGUCAUGCAAUUGGCUAGAACUACUCUCGACUGCCCUGCAUAACCACCCACCACCCCAGAUAGUGGCCUGCACAUGCCACCCACUUGCACCAGCCAUCAUCCUUCAGCCAACUACAAGUCAAUGACGACUUGACUUGGUCACUGGUUUGUCCGAGCUAGCUAUCACUAGCUAGCUGCACUGCCAUCUCCUCAGGUCUUGCUCGCCAAGCUACUGGUAAGUCCCCCUAACAAGCCGACCCCUCCCCCUCAAGGUGUCUCUUAUGACCGGGUGCCCAUCAGUAUGUCUUUGAUCAAGGCCUUCUGAGCCAAGCAGCGUGCACCACCCAUCUGACCAAGCAUCUAGUGCAUUAGUGUGUCUUUCUCACACUAACAUCUGAGCUCGUGCCAUGUCUAAGUGCUCAUGGCUUGAGCUUUGUUACUUGCUUCCCAGCUUCCUAGCAACGAACCAUGGCAUUGCGCCCAUGGCUAAGUCCUUCUUGGUACACAGGUCAUUGCGCCCAUGUGCUCUGCGUAGGCAUCUCGGUGCGAGUCAGCUAUUGGAGCCAUCAGACCAUGGCAUUGUGUCCCUGGUUUCAUCAGCUGGCUCACCGCACAAGGCUUAGGCACCCUCGUGCCUGCGCGGGGAGGGUGUAGGCCGCACCAGGCCUCGUGCCGUUACGGCCACGGAGUGCACAACACACAUGUCGUGGAGCCCAUGUGUGCGUGCUCGAGUCGCGUCGUGUGUCUUUGGCACGCCAAGGCUGUGCCAUGGUGCCCCCUUGGUGCAGUCAAGGCUUCUCUUGGUGGCUCCCUCCUUUGAGUCACCUACCCCCCCCCCCCCCCUUAAAGAGCAAUACAUGUCGUUUUCAUUAUUUCUUGAGGAGACAUCAAUAUGUCUGAGGAUGCAUAAUGGAAUAUAAUUUUAAUUAUAAAUUAAAAUUCAAAAUCAGCCUUCAUCUGCACCACUUAAGUCAGGUGCACGCGCGAUGCCCAUCUGGUAUGCACGCGGUGCAUGUCUGGCUCGCCCGUAUGCGCGCUCGGUGCACGUUUGGCUCGCCCGUGGUGUGCGUCUAGCUCGCCCACGAUGUGCGCACGGUGCGCUUCUGGCUCGCCCUUGGUGUGCGCGCGGUGCGCGUCUAGCUCGCCCGCGGCCUCCUCACAUGGCUCCUGGAGUUUGAACUACCAAACCUCCAGGAUUUCCCUACUUUCAUCCUAAGCUUUCAUGGGUGCAAGGCCUACCCAUGAGACCUAUUCCUCCAUGGUUAAGUCAAGGGUCUAAGGGGCUCGGUAACUUUGAACUUAAAUAAUAUGUGUUUUUAUUUAUAUUUCAACCCAAUUUUUUAACUUAACAUGAUAUUAUCCUUUUUAGUAAGUUUGUGGGGAGAGGGGUUUUAAAUGUGAUUUUUUUAACAAAUUUGGAGGACAAAGUGUUGAGUUUUAAAUAUGAGUAAGCAAAGUGUAAACAAAUAUAAAAGGUUGAUAGGGUUAAAUUUAACCCUACUAUUUUUUAAUUUUUAAUUUUUAUUUUUAUCAAAUUUUACAUAAAACACGAGCCCUAAAAUAUACUCUUAUGAUGCAUCACAAUAUUAGUGUGUAUAUUCAAAUAGAUGCAUAAAAAUAUAUAUUGGAAUUCGUUUUGAGCUUAUCUUUAAUACUUUUUUUAACAAACAAACUCUAGAAAAAAGGAUUUUGCACAAAGGUAUGAAAAAAGAAAAGGGAGAAGAUCAAAGUAAAAGGUAAGUGUGAAAUCAAAUAAUGAAAAUAAUAUUUUAAUUAUAUUAAACAUUUUUUAGAAGGACGGAUCUAUAAAAUUAAUGUUUUAAAGUGAACGUAUGAAUAGAAUUGAUGUGUAGAAUGAUCAUGUGGGUGUAAUUAUAAAUUCUUAUAUUAUAUAAAAUUUCUUUUAAUUAUUUAAUACAAUUUAUAAAAUAUAACGAGAAAAAUCAUUAAUUAGAUCAAGGAAAUCACCCCAAAGAGGACAAAUUUGGUGAUUCAAAGGUUUUCAAAACAGUAAACUAAAAUGCAAAAGUAAUAAGAGAUGAGAAACAAAUUAAUGAUGAUAAAGAGAUAUUGAGAGGAAAAAAAUGCAAACUAUUUAAUAGAGGUGUGAUAAGCCACUUAAGUCCACUUUUCUUCAGCUCUUAAUUGAAUCAAAGUUCUACUAUUUUCAAAACCUUUAUACCUUAUACCUUCAAAUUUUCUAUACUUGGAUUUCAAAGUUCCAAUGGAUUUUCAUAAUUUUUUAAAGUGCUUAACCUACCUGAAUAAAUUCUCCCAUAAGUAGAUAACGAAUGAUUUAAAGAUUCUAAACCUAGCACCAAGUUUAACUCACAAAACAAUAAAAAGAUUAGGAUAGAUGCACUAAGUGAUUUGCAAGUUAAUAAAUUGAUGCACUAUAAAAGGAGCUAUGGAUAAGAAAAAUAAUGCUUUUCAAUUGAAUGCAAUUGUUUUAUGUUUAGUAAAUAUUAUAAAACACUUCAAUCUAUAGGUUUCUAGUUAUGAGAUUCCAAAAGCCACAUAAAGGUUUCAAUCGUUUGAACAAUCGGUUUAAUCAAUUCACUAGCUAUUGGACAUUUAAUACUUGUUAGAUGACCAUCAGAACUCGAAGCCUUGAUCAUUUAAGCAAAUGAUUUGACCGUCUUUUGAUUAGUCAUGGCUAUACCAUAGCUACUAAAUGUCAAAGGUGCACAAAGUGUCUCUCAACUAGUUGAAUCUAAUCGUCUUAAUUGGUUUUUUGAUACCUUAAUUGGUUGUAUUGAAAAGUGUUUAAAAAAAUUUGAUUUUGGGUCUAAAACUUCCGACAACUUAGCCAAACCUACGUAAAAACAUUUUUCAAGUUAGUUUAAAAAGAAAUUAACUAAAGGUUUUAAUCGAAAACAAUAAUUCAUCAAACUCUUUUAUUAAAACGAUUGUUUUAAGCUAAAUAAAAGUAUGAAAAUAAACCUUGGAAUGCAUGCAAAAUGAUGUAAACUCAAGUGCACCAACAAAUAUCAUAUUGCAAUUUAUUUUAGGCCACUCAAAGUCUUUAUGAGUCCAAAGCCUUUAUGGUAUUCACUUUUUUCCAUAAUUAUUUGAACUUUCUUUGAAUUUUCACAAAUAAACCUAAAAACACUUGAUUUAAUCAAUUAAAUAUCUUCAAUCUUGUUUUGUAAUAAUCAAAACCUAGUUAUGAGAACCAUUUGAUUAAUGAAUAAUUUAUGAAAUAAAAAUAAUAUAACCUAUAAUUAAGGGUCUAUUUCAAAUAAGUAUCCCUUAUAAUUAGGUGUCCAUCUUGAUACAUGUUCUAUUUUAUGUUUUCAAUAUGGGGAAAUAUGAGUAUUUUUUUGUAUAACCUAUAGGGGGUGUUUGGUACAUCGGAAUAGGAAAUGGAAAUAAUAUUUUGUUUCCUUUCCUAUUUCUUAGUGGAAUGGAAUGAAUUUGAUGAUUCCAUUUUUAGCAUUUGGAUGAAUUUAGGAAUGCAAGAUUGGAAUGAUUAUUUGUUUCCAUUCUAAUGUUUGAUAAUAAUAGGAAUGGAAAUGAAAAAUAAAUAAAUUUACAAUAAUAUCCUUACAUAUAAUUAAAAAUAUUUUUUUUAUUUUUACUUUUAUUUUAAAAAAAUAAAAUUUGAGAGGUUUUUUGUUAUUAAAUAAUAAGACUAAAAUAUAUAUAUAUACAUACUCAAUAAAUAAAAAAUUAACCAUAAAAAAUCGUAUAACCCUAAUGCACAAAUAUUCAAUUAUUAUUUUUAUUAAAAAUUUGAAUAAUUUGUCAUGCUUAAGUAGUUAUAAAAUUAUAUUUUUCAAAAAAUAAUUAUUUAUUAUAAUAUUUAAAUUCUCAAAGCUAGCAAAUGUUUUUCCUAUUUUCAAAAGAGGAAAUAAAAGAAUUCAAAUUUAUUCUAAUUUUCAACAAGUAUCAUAUCCGAUAAAAUCCAUAACCUUAAAAAAAUUUUGUUUUUAUUUGUUUUUUUCUUUUUAUUUUUUUCCUAACCAUUAAAAAUUUUCAAUAUUGUAAACGCAUGAAAUCCAUUUCUAUUUUUCUCUCUAGUUUCCAUUGAUACAAGCUAAAGAAACAUCAAAGAUUCCAAACAUAAAUUAAUAAAAAAAAAUUAAUCGAUUUAUAGAGAAGAAUAAACACAUAUAAAGAAGUAGAAUAAGAAAGAGAAAAUAAGGUAAACCUGAUCGAAGAUGUAGAAGGGAGUUUUCAGAACCUAGUUGCAGCAAACAAUGAUGAAUCCUAGAUCCAGCAAUCAAAAUGAACAUCCAAAACCCUAUAAAUUAGAAAUUUAUUUUUUAUUUUUUAAAUAUCGUGGAAGGUUUAAUUGAUUCAAUUUGGAAGAAUCACUUGUUACAGAGAAUUGGAUGAUGAGUGGGUCUCUAGCUUUGCAAAGAAGAUAAGAAUUGGAUGAUGAGUGGGUCUUUAGCUUUGCAAAGAAGAUAAGAAGUGGAUGAUGAAUGGAUCUCUACCUUUGCAAAUAAGAUAAACAUCGGGUUUGAAGAACAAGUUAAGAGGGUAAAAUAGUAAUUUAGGUUAUUUUAUAUUAUCAAAUAGGUUUAAUGAAUCAGAAUACCACCUAUUUUUAAUGAAUGCAAAUCCGACUCAUAAGUUGGAUUUGAUUUCUGCCGGAAUAAUUUUUUAUUUUAUUUCCACCUUCUUAACAUUUAUCCAAACAUAGGAAUAAAGGAGAAACGGAAUGAGAUGUCUAUUCCCACUCCCUAUUCCCGUGCACCAACAAAUAUCAUAUUGCAAUUUAUUUUAGGCCACUCAAAGUCUUUAUGAGUCCAAAGCCUUUAUGGUAUUCACUUUUUUCCAUAAUUAUUUGAACUUUCUUUGAAUUUUCACAAAUAAACCUAAAAACACUUGAUUUAAUCAAUUAAAUAUCUUCAAUCUUGUUUUGUAAUAAUCAAAACCUAGUUAUGAGAACCAUUUGAUUAAUGAAUAAUUUAUGAAAUAAAAAUAAUAUAACCUAUAAUUAAGGGUCUAUUUCAAAUAAGUAUCCCUUAUAAUUAGGUGUCCAUCUUGAUACAUGUUCUAUUUUAUGUUUUCAAUAUGGGGAAAUAUGAGUAUUUUUUUGUAUAACCUAUAAGGUUUUUUAGAGGCUUAUCUAAAAAAAAAUGAAGUACUACCUUAAAUUUUAAAAUGUCUUAAAAGUAAUAUUUAAGCAUAUAAGUAAAUUUAUGUUUUGUUAUACUAGUUGUUUUAUUGUUAUAUAUAAGGUUUUUAUUAAAAAAAAAACAAAAAAAAAAUCCAAACAAACACAGGUGAUAAGAUUAUCAAUUUGUAACUAUUUCAAAAUGGAAGAUUUUAACAAUCAUCUUGAAAAUAUAUUUAUAGACCUUGGCCCACACUUUUUAUUUUUUAGGACUUAUUUGGUUAGUGUUUUUGGGUUUUUUUAUUUUGAUAUUUGACCUAAUUUUCAGGCUCAUUUUUAUACCCAUUCGAUUAUCACAUCUAGACCCUUCAUUUUGAAAUUCAAUCCUAAGACCCAUUUUCUACUCCUCUCUUCUUCAACUGCCGUUGUCACUCACUACUUUCCGCCGCCAUUCCCACUUCGUUCUCAUAUUCUGUUUUGUUUUCUUUCUUUUCCUUCCUCUCUUCAUCCCCCCUCUCACGCUGCCACACCCCUCGUCUGUGUCGCCACCCAUCGCAAUAUCUUCGCCUUGCGGCCAUACCUACGACAACCGCAACCACGCGUCACCAUCCUCCAUGCUUCGGUUACCCCUCUGCCUCCAACCGAGCCACUCAUGGCCACCACACUCCUUCAAGCCAUUACCGCCCCUUCUACCAUCAUCUUUUUCCAUCCAUGGGUUUCAUGCUAAGGAGGUUUCCAUCUUGAUUUACAUGAUAACUGUUUUUGUGUUUGCGUUAUUGUCAUAAAUUACGGAUAUGAGCUUGAAUUUGGGUUUAGGCUUUGUUUGAAGGGAGAAUUAUGUUUUAGGGGUAGAUGGGCUAAAUUAACAAAAGAUCCAUAUAACUCUUUAAAUUGAGUUGAAGGAUAUGAAAUAGUAAUGGACAAAUAUACCCUUUAAGAACAUAUAUAAAAUAUUUUAUAAAAUUAAGUUAAAUAAUUUUUUUUCAAUAAUUUUUUUUUCAAAAAUAUUAAAUUAAAUAAAAAUAGUUUUCAAAAAUAUUAAAUUAAAUAAUUUUUUUUUCAAAAAUAUUAAAUUAAUUGUUUUUUCAAAAAUAUUAAAUUAAAUUAAAGUAUUUAAAAAAAUAUUAAAUUAAAUAAAUUUAUUUUAAAAAAAUAUUAAAUUAAAUAAAUUUAUUUUAAAAAAUAUUAAAUUAAAUAAAAAAUAUUAAAUUAAAUAAAAGUAUUUUUCAAAAAUAUUAAUUUUUUUCUCAAAAUCAAUAAAGAGCAUUUUUGGAAAUACUGAACAACUCAAUUUUCAUACUUUUAUUGGGUCUUAGACUCAAUUUGAAGAGUUACAUGGACCUUUUGUUAAUUUAGGGGUCCAUCUACCCUCAAAACAUAAUUCUCCCUUGUUUCAAUAUCAUAUUUGGAUUAUUGAUGAAUUUAAGCCUAACUGAAUUAAUCUAAACUGUAAUUUUGGGCUUGGACGUAUGGAUAUUUUGUUUGGGCUUUGCAUGUUAGAGCAUUUUGGAUUUGGGCUUCCACUCCCUAUUUGAUUUGGUCUGUGAUACUUUGGAUGAACUUGGGGUUACAUUGGUACUGCACCCUAAGGGGUUCAUUUAAUGAAAUUAUUUGGAUAAAUAUUUUUCCAAAUGUAUUUUUAAAAUAAUAAAUUUGAAAUCCAAACAACUUGCAAAGUCUUAUUAAUGAAAUCGAAAAACCGUUCCACAAGCCAAACAAAUAUAAUAUUUUUUUAAUAAAUCAGUGGAAAGUUGAAAAGGAGGUUGAGUGUAGGUAUUGUUAACAACUUAACACUUAAUAUCAUCCAAUGAAUUCGAUCCUAUUCAAUACUAAAAUUAUCAUUAAAGCUAAUUAUAUUUGAUUAAAGUAACUGUUAAGAGAUUUUUUUGU